rnacentral:lncRNA from 1 species
UAUGAAGUCACCACAACGGAGGAUGAGGUUGCGGAGAUUGAGGUCUAGUGGGUUUAAUAAGGUUUCCCAGUUGUUGUUGCCUAAGAGUUGGUUCCAUGUCUCUUGGUUUAUUGUUGUUGGUUGUGUUGAUGAUGAUGUUUGUGUGUCUGUUGCCAUGUCUAAGGGAGUUUUUUUGUGUGAUAUUCCCAUGUUAAAGGUACUGAGUGUGUUUUUGAGGAGUGGAUAUAUAUUGUGAGGAGUUGAUGAGGGAAGGGAAGUUUGUGGUGAGAACUGAUGAGAACCUAGAAGAGAAAGAAUCCAAAAGAAAUUAUGAGAUGAGAUAGAGUAUGAUCAAGUUUGUGAAAUUUGUCAUCUUUUUCUUGUUGUCAAUGGAAAAGGAAAGUAGUGUGCUGGUUGACCCACCCUCCAUUAUUUGGUCAUGUCCUGUCUGUAAAUUGGAGAUAUUUAUUUUCAUUUUUUUAGUUUUAUUAUGUUGAGGAGUUUAAUUUCGUUAUUGUCAAAAACUAUUUUUGAGAAGAGACAAAUCUUAGAAAAGAACUUCACUCUACUAUACUCAAAGAAUUUAUCCAUAUAGAUAGAUGUAUAUGAUUUUUUUUUUUUUUUUUGAAGAUGUAUAGAAAUAUAUAUAGCAUCUUUAUCGAUUUUUUUAUUGCUAUAAUUAUCAUUAUCUAGUGGACAGUACUCUUCAAUUAUUUAUGGCUCAUCAAGGAAAAGGAUGGUGUGCCCUACAAUGGGAUAACUAAGGGAACUUUGGAUUCUCUUGGAAUUCAACAAUGAAAUUGGGCUUAUUGAGCCAACAAAAAUGAAAGUAUUAUGCUAGAACUCAUGGAAAUUUCGAUGCUGAUUCUCUUUAUCUCACACCACUCUUUCAAGUUUCUUAAUACAGAGUGAAAAUCAUUUUUGAAUGAUAUUAGAGAAAAGGACAAAAUGAUAAAGAGAAAGGGAUAUAAGAAUGCAAAUAUAUUUUAUGCUAGUUCACAAGAAAUGUUAUGUUACAUCUAGUUCUCUUCUUACAAAGAUAAUUUGUCUGCUUCACUCACACGACUUAAUCCACCAUAUCAAUUGUCAAACGUGUUCGUUACUCGACUUCUCAAAUACUUUUUAAUUUAACUCUUCGAUCUUUUCAAGAAUACUUUAUUCUAUCUCUUUGGAAUUUUCAAGUAUUUUUAUUCCACCUCUUUAGGUUUCUCAUGUAUUAUUUACCCCGUCUUUCAUGCUUUUCAAGUAUUAUUUACUCCGCCACUUCAUGCUUUUCAAGUAUUUUUUUACUUUGCAUCUUCAAACUUUUCGAGUAUUCUUUACUCUGCAUCUCCAGGUUUCUCAAGUAUUUUUUACUCUGCCACUUUAUGAUUUUCAAGUAUUUUUUACUUUGCAUCUUUAGACUUUUUAAGUGUUCUUUACUUUGUCAUCUUUAGACUUUUAGAAUGUUCUUUACUCCGCAUCUCCAAGGUUUCUCAAGUAUUUUCUUUACUCUUCCGCUUUAGAAUUUCCAAAUAUGUUUUACUCUAUCUCAUCAUACUUUACAAGUGUUCUUUACCAUGCCUAUGCAGACCUUUUCAUUAAACAUCUUCAAGUCUUCUCAACACUUCCCAUUACUCCCUUGUUGAGAAUCUAAAUAUUGUCGUUUCACGAGACAUCCCUUUAAAAUAAGAGAAAUGAUAUUUGCACAAUCAUUUUGCUGCAACUUUUUGACAACUUUCUCUCUCAUACUCACAUGAUAUUAUUAUCCUCUCUCUUUCUUUUUCUCUCUCCAUUGUUUUUGAUCAAUCAAAAGAGAGAAAAACAAAGUUGUCAUUAAAUGGAUGUACAAAUAUCAUUGCUCUUAAAAUAAAGGUUGUUGCCACUACAGAACUACGAUACGUACAAGGAUUUGAGUUUCUGUCUGACUUGACAUAAAGUCAUUUUAGGCUUCGAGCCCUCAUUAGAGGAUAUAGCAAUUUCGAUCAUAUAUCAAUUCAAGUUUCUAUUGCUCUUCACAAAGUCAACUGCGUUGAAAUACUUGGAUGGUUUGCAAUUAAACCUAUCUUGUUCAAGACUUUUUCAAAAUAUACAUUUUUUUAGUAUUGAACAUGCAUUUUCUUUCUUUUCUUCUUUUCCUUUUUUGUUGUAACUAGUUCAUAUGAGCAUAUAGUCACAUUUCAGGAGCCAUUUGUAACUAGUUCAUAUGAGCAUAUAGUCACAUUUCAUGAGCCAUUUGAAACUUACAUUUGAAUCUUCAGUUCGACAUAGUCAACUUUAUUACUUGAAAUCAAGUUUCUUAUACAGUACCGAAGAUACAAUGGUUGAGAAAAAAGUUGUGGUAUAAAGAGUUGUUGUGAUUGUACAAGGAGCCGUUGAGAUUACAGUAGACUAUAGAGUGUAAGUAAAUUGUAUCAUGUUACUAUAAGGUUGUUACUAUACUUUUCAAAGUUGUACUUGGACACUGGCCUUGAUGAUUGUGCUUGUAGCUAUUGUUCAUACACUCUCUCUAUUGUUGAUCAAUCACUUUUGACUUUGUGUUGGUACCAAACCAUUUUUUGCUCCGAUGUUGUUGAUCUUGCAUGUUGAAUGUUUUACACAGAACUAUGUUCUUCUAGCUGAGAUCUUUGUAAUUUGCUUCAUGCUGCUAUCAGAUUGUGGGCGAUCAAAUUCCAUCAUUGUAUUUUGAGUUAAAUAUGUUUUUAGUCCUUACAAAAUUACAAACUUUCAAGUUUAGUCUCUAUAAAAAAAUUAUUCACUUCGGUCCAUAUUUACAUUUCAUAGAGACUAUUUUGGAGAACUAAAAAUGUCCAUUUUUUUGUAAAAGGUUUUCAAAAUAAUGACUAUCUUUACAAGCUACAAUAUUAUCGAGAACUAAAUUUACAAUUAUAAUUUUAUAGGGGCUAAACUUAAAAACAUGUGAUUUUGCAGGGAUUAAAAACAUAUUUAACCCUUACACUUUCAACAUGUUAUGUGGAAUUUAAUGUUAGAGCCAAUUUUAUCACGGAACAAAUACAAAUAAAAAAUUUAUGAAUACACUCUUGGAGAAAAAUAAAUGAGAAUGAAUUUAAUCCCUUAAGUUAUUAAGACGAUUUGAUCAAACUUUUUAUUUUAAAUUAGCAAAUAUUAUUAAACGUCGUCCCCGCAAGAUGCGAUGUAUGGACGAAACAAGAUACAAAUGAUGUCGCAUAUAGACGGUACACCAUAACCACCAUACAAGCACCUGAAGAUAACUCAUCAAAACACAUCACCACCUAAGACGAACACCUCAACAGAAGCAAACACUGUAAACACAACAUCCACCAUCAUCCAUCGUCACUACUCACCCCCAAGGAACACCCCUCAAAAUAAAACAGCCAGACUUCAACACCCAAGCUUAGCCACAAUCGAAAAGCUCCUAACCGAAUGAACAUGCAGCUUCCACAACCUCUCGACCUCCGAUCCACUGAAAGAGCACAAAAACAAAAGCCCAAAAACCAACUCAAACCAAAGACCUAACUUCCGAUCUCGAAUCAAAAGUGAUCGGCCCACCAGACUUUAGAACCAAAUCAGUAGGGCACCCCUCGCCCCCGGUACAUCAAAGAACACCAUAUCAAGUCAAACAGGAUUGCAGCUAGUCACCGACUCCCGGUCUCGAAGCAAAAGUAACCGGCCCACCGGAAACCAACACAUAAUAAGCAAGACAGACGACAUGAUAAGCGGUGGUGCAAACGACGAACACAUCAAAAGGAAGAGACUCAUCACAACGGGAACGCACCCUCCAAAACUCCCUAAACACCUUAAACAACCCAAAAAGACCAACAAGAGCUAGUGACGACGAACGUGGACCCGUGUACCAGAGGCUGCCUCCAAAGGAAAACACCCAAACAAACACCCUCCUCUACACCACACAUUAACACCCCCCAUUACCACCACCCUGCUUCACCACCACCACGCAUCCCCACCACUACCAUUGCCUCACCACCGCGCAUCACCACCACCAAAUACCGCCAAACCACCUCAUCACAAAAACAGGUAGCAACACCAACACAAAUCUAAAGGAAGAUGUAACCCAACAACAAAACACGGGCAGCGACGCCGGUCUGAAGCGGACACACAACCCAAAUCGUAAAAAGGCGGCCACCGAUAACAAGGAGAAGUCGUCUGAUAUCACUGUUAAGUGCAAAGUGGUUCCAACACUGAUACCAACCACCACCACUAUCAGAACAAAAGUCUAACAAGGAUGCAACCAUGACAAUGACAUACGAGACUCACUUGGGAAAAAAAAGAGAAGUUAAAACACACAAAAAAACCAAUACCCACAUAAUUAACAACACCAACACAAGAUAGAAAAAAAAAUCACCAAAUAAACAGCAAAGCCUCCAAUAUCAUGUAUGGCAUAAAUCGCAGAUCUAGCAUCCCAAAACCAGUUGCCGUGAAAAGCCAUAAAACACAGAUCUAGACACCUACAACUGCGACAAAACGCAGAUCCAACACCCACAGUGAUACGGCAGCACCACCUUCCUGAACAGCCCUAAAUCGCAGCAAAACAUCUACGACGGAUCGAAACAAUGAUCUGUAAUGGUGUCAAUUCGAAGGGGAAAGAGGCUCACCGGUGGUGCGGAUAGUGAAUCUCGUCGCACCACCACUCAUGUAGUCUACAUCGAAAAGAGGAACUUUGGAUUUGAGAAAGGAGGAGGCGGGUUACUUCUAGAGAGAGGUCAAAGAAUUUUCUAGAGAGUUGAUCAAACUAUAUAAUACUUCAUCUCUAAUUACAAAAUUAUUUAAGAAUUUUUUUUGUCUCUAUAUAUAAAACACUUUACAAUUUUUUAGAUGCAUUUAUUACUUUUUAAAAUUAUGAAAAAUCAAUAUUAAAUUAAAUACGUUAAUACAUCAAUGAUAAUUUAAUAAUAGUUACACGUAAUUUUUUACUUCAACUAUAUUUAUUUGUACCCAUGAUUUUUGUAUAAAAAGGGACAGAGAGAGAAACUAUAAGUUAAAUGACCAAAAUUAACCAAAAAAAAACUUAAUGACAAAUUAAAAUAAAUAAAUAAUUUAGUAGAAAACAAAAUUAUUACGAAAAAAGUUGCAACUCAUUUUUUUCCCAAUACGAAAACGGACUGUGGUCUGACCGGAGAGAAAAGACGGAGGAUCCGCUUCUCUCCGAUUCAAUCGUAUUUCUUCGGAAUCUCAAUCCCUUUCCACUCUACUCUUAAUUCAAAAGCAUUACUCGAUUCAACUCUCACUCGCAUCUCUGCGUUUGCGUUCAAAGGAAUGGCUUCCGUCAAUCUUAUCAAAUCUUGCAUCGACUCCAUUACACAGGUAUCCAAUUCCUACAAACCCUUAUAACUCAAUAAUCUUCUAUUUUGUUUUAGGGAAGAAUAUUAACCUAUAUUGCAUUACUGUUAUCAAUUAUGAUCCUUUGUAUUUGAUUAAUUAUUCUAUGAAUUUUACUCAUCCGUCGUUCUGUUCAGAUAUCAGAAGACAUUGAAGGUGCAAUUGUUUAUUUAGAUGCCGGAGUUACAGAGAGUUUUCAAUUUAUUGAAGCAUUUCCAGUUCUUCUUGAACUCGGCGCACGAGCUGUUUGCAGUUUGGAAAACAUGACUGCACUUGAUGUGGUGAGUAGUAGUUUAAAUGAGUAAGUUACAAUGUGUUUUCAUUCUUUGCGCCAAUAGAGCAAAUAUGUGUUUUUUGCUGUUUAAAAUAAUAAUGCAACUGAUAUUGAAGGUCAUAUUCUCUUUUAAGUUGAAUGCAACUAUUAUUUUUAAGAGUUUUAUUAGUAUGUUUUAUGGGUGUACAAUUAUAUUUUACACAUGCAUCCAAUGUUGUGUUGCUACAUCGAUUAAUGAAUAUGACAACUCGUGUGUUUUCAUAUUCAUUAAUUGACGCGACAACACAUCAUUGGAUGCAUGUGUAAAAUAAUUAUAUUCUGACAGUGUAUACUAAUUAAAUACAUGAUACAUCCAUUUGAACAAGAAACCGUGGAAAGUUUUAGCGCUUGCAAAUCAUUAUUAGACACAUAAAGUUAUUUUAUAAUCAAUGUUGUAUGUAAUCAUACAUGUAGUUGCCAUCAUUUGCUUGUGUGUAUAUAUUCUUUACAUUUUACGGCUCAUAUUUCUGUGUUUCCAAAGGUGUAUGUUUUGUUCCAUAUUAGACUAUGGCUACUUUUAAGUUAGUCACACUAUAUCUACUCUUUAUUAAUUGUUCCUCGUUCAGGUGGGUGAUUGGAACUCAAGUUCUGAUCCUGCGAGAAAACUUGUGGUUAUCACGUCACGUCUACUAAGUGAUGCACAUCGGUAUAUUUUGCGUUGCCUGACGACACAUCAAGUUGUUCGUCAUUGCAUUAUAUUCACAUCUAUCUCCGAGGUGCUUAUUUAUCACUCCUGAUAGUUUCUCUCUUCUUUUUUAUCUCUUUUUUUGGCUAUAUAUUUUUGGGUAUUAUUGUUUCAUGUUAUAUUUAUAUUUGAUGCUGGUUUACCUGUAUUUUUUUUAAUUGCGACUUUACCUUUUGAUUUUAAUGUGUCAUGGUAUUUUCUUAAAUUUAUGAUAUAAUAGUUUGUCAGCUAUCUAUCUACGAACCUUACUUCAUAUUUUUUUUUGGAAUAAUUUGAUAUGGAUGAAAUCUAUGUUUUUCUUCUUUUUUUCUUUCUAAGAACGAGGUUACUUUUAUAAUCAAUUUAGUAUUGGAGUAUGAUAUCCCAAUGCAACUCUAGUAUCAAACCUUUAACAUAAAAUCAGAGAUAAUUUUAGAGUGUAGGACUAUUAACUUGGCAUAUACGAUAGGGACUUCUUUGUCUGUCUGUUGCAAUGGUAAAAUCAGCUGCUAGUCUCUGAGGAAUGAAUUAUCUUGCACUAUUGUCCAUGGUUUGUUCAUUAUCAUUCAGAUCUUAGUAAUAUGCGACUGGUUGGCAAGUUGCACUGCCAGUAAUGAACUAAUAGUAUUAACUAGAAGUAAAGUUGAUUUCUAUAGUUAUUUUAAAAAAAUGGUUUUAUGGUAGUGGUCGAAUUGGCUAGCUGAUGUGGAAUAGUUUGGGCUGUCUCUAGUACUUUGUACAUAAAUGUCUUAGGAACAAGUUAACACAGGUCAUAUCAUCAGUUGAGGUAGCUUAUUUAAUCAACAAUAUUAGUUUCUGUUCUCCUAAAAUUAUAUUGGUCAUAAGCAAUGAUCAACACAAGGAUAAAAAGUUUGUCAAAGAAAAUUAUAAGGGUAAAAAUAUUUAUCUGUAAAUAUUUGUAGUAUUAAUUUACAUUUAUUUUUUCCAACACUUUUUUCCUAUCAGCUUUCCUUCGUAUUUAUCUUUUUUUAAUUGGAUUUUCUAAUUCUAGUUAAAAUGCAGAUGGCUCACUCAGUGUUUCCUGAUUCACCUCUGGGACCAGGGGCAUAUAGUGACUAUGGGUCGUUACUAGUACAAGAUUAUGAAGAACUAAAUAAAUCUGGGAAAAAACCUAGGCAGAUUGGUAGCAUGUUACAGGAAAAACUUAACUUUGUAGAUGGAGGUCGCUUUCAGUUUCCUUCCAGUGGAGAGGAUGUUCCCCAUCUUGAAGCUAGUUCAAGCGGAAGAGAUUUUUAUGAUCACAAUCCAUUAGACCUUAUUGCAGAUACAGUGCAGGAAUUGGUUAUUUCUGUUCACCAUUUUCCCAUGAUUUUAUGUCCCAUUUCACCAAAAGCAUUUGUUCUUCCUUCAGAAGGAUUGGUGGCUGAAUCGUACUUAUCAGCAAAACAUGAAGAUUCCAUUACUCCUGGUUUGCCUCCCUUCAGUACUGGCUUGAUCUCUGAUACUGAUGAUGUGCCUCCUGGGGCAACUCUUACAGCCCACUUCCUCUACCAUUUGGCAGCCAAGGUAACAAAUGACAUGCAUUAUUUUGCUGAAAUGUGUGCAACAACUUCUGGUGACUUGACUUCACGAAUUUUUUAUUCUUCAUAAUAAUUUCUAAGAAUUUUUGUAUUAUUUACUGCAUACAAAAGACCUGUUUUAACUCUGUACAUCGUAAAAGAACUGUCAUAGAACUAGUAUUUGCCAGCAUCACAAGCUUACUGGGGUACACUUAAGCCUUUUUUUGGAAAAAAAAAAUAAUAAUACUUGAAUAAAACUUAUUUAUUAAGAUUGUUGCCGAUUGAAAUAGUCCUUGAUCUACAUUUCCUAUUCGAAGUAUUUAAUAGAACAUGACGGUGUCAUUGAAUCCAUGUAGCUAACCUCACUUAAUGGGGAAAAGGAUUUUGUUGCUGUAUAUAAAAUAUUGCUAUUUUUCCAUCAGUUAGAGUACCUUUUUGUUUGUUGUUUGUUUCUCCUCUAAUUACUAAUUUGAUACCUCGACCAUUUCUUCUUUUGUUUAUGGUGUAGAUGGACUUGAAAAUGGAAAUUUUCUCCCUCGGUGAUAUGUCAAAAACUGUUGGCAAAAUUUUGACAGACAUGUCAAGUCUUUAUGACAUUGGUCGCCGUAAACGGUCCGUGGGGCUUUUACUCAUUGAUCGCACACUCGAUCUUCUCACUCCUUGUUGCCACGGGGACUCACUUAUUGACCGUAUAUUUUCUGCUUUGCCCCGUAGAGAAAGAACAACUUCCCAUAUUCUAGGCAAAGGUUCAGGAAGCCAACUCAAACUUGGUUCUUCUUGCCUUCAACGUGCUUCUUUAGAUGUUCAGAUACCACUUGCGAAGAUCCUUAAUGAAGAAGAUUGGAAACUAGACAAUUUUCGGCUUUUAGAAAGUGUUGAAGCUUUUUUAUGCGGCUGGAACUCUGGUGACUCUGAUUCUCAGGUUGCAGACUUGAUUAAUCUUAGUCAGAAAAUUUAUGACAAGCCAAGUCACUCUGGUGUAGAUAUACUCACCGGAUCUUUUGUCUCCUCUGAUAAUUUUCGCGGUGUGCCAUUCUUGGAAGCUAUACUAGAUGAAGAAACAAAACGUGGGGCCGUACUGGUAAAGAAAUGGCUACAAGAAGCUAUGCGCAGGGAAAUUGUUACCGUGAAUGUGAAAUCUCGUUCUUCUGUUGUUACAACUCCUGAGUUGCAAGCUAUGAUCAAAGCAUUGUCCAAGAGCCAAUCAUCUUUGCUAAGGAACAAAGGAAUUAUCCUAUUAGCGUCAGCCACAUUAUCAGCCCUUGAGGAAUCAAAUUGCACCAAAUGGGAUGCAUUUAGCAGUGCAGUGAAAACUCUGAGUGUAAGCUCUGGAGAAACCAGUCAAAGUCUUGCCGCUCAAAUUGGCGAUCUCAUAAAUCAGAGUGCUCUGUUGGGAUCACACAUAAAUAAAGGGAAAAAGGAUAUCUCGAAGGGUUUGAUUUCUUUGCAAGAUGCUUUGCUGUUAAUGAUCAUCGGAUAUAUUUUGGCAGGUCAGAAUUUUCCAACAGCUGGUUCUGAUGGGCCAUUUUCUUGGCAAGAGGAACGUCUGUUAAAAGAAGCCGUUGUUGAUGCUCUUCUUGAAAACUCAUCUGUAGUAAAUCUAAAGUUUCUAGAUGGACUAAAGAAAGAGCUUGAAGCUAAUAUAAGCAAGUCAAAAUCAGAGGAAGCUACCAAAGAGCCGGAGAUUGAUGAUUUUGACGAUGAUCAGUGGGGCAAAUGGGGUGAUGAAGAUGGUGAGGAUGAUAAUAAAAAUGAACAAGUAUAUGGUGACAUGCAACUAAAGUUGGAGUUGCGUGAUAGGGUGGAUAACUUUUUCAAAUUUCUUCAUAAGUUGUCUAAUUUGAAAAGAAAGAAUCUACCAUUGAGGGAUGGUUCAUUGACCGUGGAAGGCAGUUUUGAUGAAGAUGCCUAUGCCGGAAAGGGAUUGGUUUAUAAGGUAUUAGCAAGGGUGCUGGGCAAGUACGAUGUGCCUGGGUUAGAAUAUCAUUCUUCCACUGUGGGGCGCAUUAUUAAUCGUGGAUUUGGAAGACUUCUUGGCCAUAGUCAGGUGAUUGUGGUUCCUUAACCUAUGCAGGACUUUUGAUUUAGUCAUCCAUUUUUUCAAAUAUGCUAAUCACUUUUUUUUUCCCUCUUCCUUUUCCAUCCUUACUGUCUAUACAAAUGUUGCAGGCUAAACCAAGUCUUGCUGAUCAAAAUGUCAUUUUGGUGUUUGUCAUCGGGGGCAUUAAUGGACUAGAGGUGAAAUUCUCGAAUGCCUUGGUCUCUUGGUAUCUUCCAACUUGGCUAAUAUUUUCUAAAAGAUGACAUUGAUUGUGUGUUUUCUCUAUAUAUUCAAAUUUGUUUAGAAUAAAACUUGAUCCUUUAUUCGCAUAAAGCGGUAACAUAAGACGAUUUUGUAUUACCUUUCUUUACCUAGGUCCGUCAAGCAAGGCAGGCAUUGGUUGACAGCGGAAGACCUGAUAUAGAGUUGCUUGUUGGCGGAACAACUCUUCUUACUCCUGAUGACAUGCUCGAUUUACUACUAGGGGACUCAAGUUACUUUUAAUUCUUUCAUCAACAAGUAAAUUAGGAGUUAGAAAUUAAAAUGAAUUUGGCUUUCUUUAAUUCUGUGAGUUGUAAUUUUUAACUUUUAUAGGCAGUUUACAUUUUUAAUUUUUUUGGUACACUUUUAUUUUCUUUCGUUACAAAUGUAAAAAUGAGAGAUAUAAGAAGAAAAAAAAAAAUUCAUUUACAGUCAAAAUUGGUUUCCCAAAUUAUAAAUCAUGGGCAUUGGAUAUUGUACAAGGGUGAUAUUCGUGUCAGAUAGAGUUUCAAAACCAGUACUAACGAGUUAUGGUCAUCUCAUCUCUAUUAAGGAUUCUCACCAUUUAUUCCAUUUGAAAAGAUAAUACAAAGAAGAUUGAAUAAAAUAUACAAUAAUAGUAAUUAAUGAUGAUGGAAGUCAUUUAAAAUGAUUUGUGUACCCAAAUUUUUUUUUGGUUACAAGAUUUGUGUACCCAAUUAAAAAAUCAUACUAAUUCCGAAUCAAAACAAAUACACUCUCUUCUACAAUUGAUAAUUGUUCUAAGUGGUAAAGAAUUUGAACUUCUUAAAUAAAUUAGCAGAGCCCUUUAAAUAUUAGCAGAGAGAAUGUAUUAUUUUCACUCUCUUGAUAAUUGAGGAUCGUUUUGGAACCUUCAUCACAUAUUGGGGUUUAAUGCAAUUUUUUCUUUAAUUAUUUUGCUUUUAAAUAACCAUUUUGAACCCUUUUCUUAUUUAUUGGAGUUUUUCUUUGGUCAAAAAUAUCUUUAAACAAUUGUAUUCAUAUAGUUAAUGGAGCUCCCAUCAAAGGACAAAACAUUUGAAAGAACCGAGUUCAAUUUACUUCAAAAUAGAUUAAACAAUUGUGAAGAAAUGCUCAAUCACACUAAAUUUACUUUAAAAUCAGACAUCGAAUUACCAGAAGCCCACGUAUAAAGAUACACAAUUCAAUUUUUAAAGUAUAUGAACUUCUAAAAAAAUAUUCUUGAUCCUUAAGUAUAUGAAAUAUAUCAAUUUAGUCAUAACAAAUUAUAUUGAUGAAUUUUUAUAUAUUUUAAAAACUAUUUUUUUUUUUUACAAGAAAAACUACUAAAUGAUUAUCUCUCUCUCACAUAUUUGAAUGUGCUUCUUAGUCCGGUUCUUAAAAAAACCCGAACCAACCAAGUGCUUUCUCUUCUCCAUCACCUUGACCCGGUUGUCCAAACCCCCCAAAAACCCUCUCUCUCUCUCUCUCUCUCUCUCACUACACACUCACUGUGACUGCAAUGGCGUCGCUGAAGCUUCUUCUCUCUCAAGCUCGCCGCCACUGUUUCACCAACCACCCUUCCCAUUUCCACUCUCCCCUUUCUCAUCCCUUCAGAUCCUUCUCUUCUUCCUCCGAAUCAAACCCUCUCUUCCAACAACCCAUUCCAAUCCAACCCGUCUCCUACCCCGUCAAACCUCAAGACCCGCCUCCACCUGAACCCGAAUCCCAACCUUCCUCCGACACUCAACCUCCUCCACCGCCUCCUCAAGCUUCUAACACCCCCAUCCCCGAACAACCACGCGCCUGGACGCGCGAGGAUAUUCGCUAUGUAAAAGACGCGCCGUCAAUAACUCCGGUUUCUUAUCCUGUGAGAGUGGCGCCACUUCCCGACGAUAAGGCACCAGUGGAUGUCGAUGCAAUGGAGACUGAGAGGAGGAAAAUUGAGGCGGAGGAUCAGCUGAGGAAGAAAAUGAUGAAAUCUGUGGAAGAUGAAAAAAUGAAGGUUCCUUUUCCUUUGUUCAUUAAGCCUAAGCAAAAGGAGAAACCUCCUCUUUUUGAUUUGUCUGAAGCCAUUCGCCAAGUUAAGGUACGGAAAGAGAUUAUUACCCUUCAUUCUAUCAUUCAUUUUGUAAUAAUUCAUUCGUGAUUGGCCUGUGUUACUUAAUUUUUAACCCAUUUAAGUAGAAUUAAGCUGUUGGUUUAAAUUUAACAUUAGGUUUUGCAAAUGGGAAAUUGUUUGUGAAACUUUCAAUAAGUAGUUAUUGGAUAAAUAACUUAAUUAAGUGCUUUUAGUAUAAAUGCUUAUCAUGUAAGUACCUAUGCAUAAGUUGUUUCUAUAACAAUAGAAAAAAUAAAGUCAUAUUGUUUUGAUAGGUUACUAUAAGCUGUUUUCAUAAUCUCUCCCAAAUUGGCUCACAAGUGCUUAUGCCGGUAGACAAGCUCAAAUGAGCUUAUUCUAACAAACCCAGUGCUGUAUUUUUUAAAUAGUCAUGCAGCUUAAUCUAUUUACUCCUUCUACUAACUUCUUCAUAAACAUUUAUAAAUUUACAAGAGCCUAUCUCAGUUCGAAAGUUCCUAAAAGUUAGAAGUUUAUUCAAACUAAACCCUAUGGUAUUGCUAUUGUAAAACAAUUUGUACGUUGCUGUUAUUUAGAAAUUUUGGAAAAGCACCUGUGUGAUAAAUCGUGUUAAUGUGGUUGAACCUUAGUUGUUCGUAUAUACUGUCGAUAAGAUACAUCAAAUGGCACUUUAUAUAUUUUAGUGAGAAAUUGAAGAUGAAUCCCACAAAUCUUCCUGGAAAGAAAUAUCAAUUGCAAUGAAGUUCUAGAAGGGCCACAACUUGUAGAUGUGAAUGUGUACAUACAUGUGAAUGUUUAUGCAUGUAAUCAUAGGUAUACUAUAUAUUAUAUAUGUUAUGUGCUAGUGUAAUGGGUGUACUCUGAGACAGUUUCCCCCUGUUGCACUUUGAAGUUUGAAUUUCAAAUAUUCAUUGUUUAUAACAAUUCUAUUGGUUGUUUCCGUACUCUCUUGCACUCUUUACAUUUUCUAAUGACAAAUGAUGCCAAAUUAAUGCAGUAGUAGGAAUUAGGAUUAGGAUAACUAAAAGCCAUAAAUUAAGUAACAUGGCAAAGAUAUCUCUAUUCUUGAUUGGCUGAGAAAGAGAAAUUUGUCUUUUCCAAAUGUUUUCGUCAUUUAUAUAUUUUUCAUUCACUUAUGUCUAAGUUUUGGUGCCAUUGGCUGGAUUAUGGAUACUGCACAUCUGUAACAAUUACCUCCAUCCUAUUUUACCUGUAAUGUUCCAUUGCUUACUCUCAGUUAAUAUAAUUACAUAUUGUUCAGGCCAAUGCCAAGGCAAAGUUUGAUGAAACUGUUGAAGCACAUGUAAGAUUGGGCAUUGAUUCAAAGCGAACAGAACUGGUAUAUUCAAUAUAUUUCUUUUUCCUGUUCUGCAUCUGUUUGUGUAUAUUUUGUGUGCUUCAGUGAUUCUUUGAAUGCCAUGUAUGCUUUAAAUUUGACAUGUUAACUGAAGUUCUGUAGGUUUGGCCUGUUCAACAAGUUACAUACUAUCAUUGAUACUCUCAAAACUUGGGAGACAUGCCCUUUUAAUUAACAUCUACUAGUUAUUUGUUGUCAAUGGAUAAAUAAAUAGGCUCUCAUCUAUAUAACUUUCAUGUGCUAGAAAUAUCUACGAGUACUUCAAAUUAUCCCAUCUCGAAUCACCUACCCUGUAUUUGCAAGUAUACUUUGAAUUGAUAGUUAGAGAAAGGGGUCUUAUUUUUUGAUAUAUUCAGCAAACAUGGAACAUCUCUAUGUUAUAUUCAGAAACUUCUUGAUAUCAUUACCCUUGCUCACGACAUGUUUUUGAUUAAUAUCUUUGAGUUAUAUAGCUUUUUCAAAUGUUUUAAGUACUGCAUACUGUGAGAUCUAUUAUUAUUUAUGUCAAAUGAAUUAUUUAUUGAAGAAAUUUCUUCCAAGACUGCAAACUAGUUGGAUCUAAAAAAUUCUCAUUAUUUUUCAGUUUAAACUUUUUUGUGCUUAUACAUCUCAUAUCACUACUAUAUUCUGUUUUUGGAUAAAAAUUCUUAUAUGCUGUUUUCUCAAUCCUUUAUUUUAGAAGUUAAUGGUUUCAACUCUGGCAGGCAGUUCGUGGUACUGUGAUUCUGCCUCAUGGUGCCCCUAAGGUAACUUAUGUACAUUAAGCAAUUGAUAUUGAUAUAAAGAUCGGUUUAUCAUCUAACUAUCCAUAUCUUCCAGGCUGUUACUGUGGCUGUUUUUGCAGAAGGGGCAGAGGCAGAGGAAGCAAAAGCUGCCGGAGCUGAUAUAGUUGGUGGUAAAGAGCUUAUUGAGGAGAUUGCUAGUAAUGAACUGAUCUCUUUCUCCAAACAAUUUUGUUGAUCAUGCUGAUAGAUUUUUCCCAUACUAAAUUUAUGGAGAGAAUGUGCAGAUGCAUAUCGUCUCUUGUUGGUUCUGUGCUUGCUUUUCUUAGUCGCAUGUUCUUCUCCCUCUGUGUAUAUAUGCUAGCUUAUCUGUGUAUAUAUUUUUUUCUUCUGUUUUUCUCUGUUUGUGCUUAUGCCUAAAAUAUUUUAGUAUGCACUCUUUUAGUUACAUGUGUGACACUAAUUUUUUUCCAUCACGUGUUCAUGUUUAGAGACAUUUUAAAUUUUACUCAACAGUGCAGCGAGGUUUAACUUGCAUGUUAAAUUGCCUUGGUAAUUAGAACUUUCUCUCUUUAGGCUGAGAAUGUAAAAUCUAUAAAGUAUGUUAUUCAUAUCUAAUAGAACUUAUACUCUUAUAGGUGGUAAUAAUAAGCUCAAAGUUGACAAGUGCUUCUCCACUCCUGGAAUGGCACCACAUCUUGGAAAGGUAUCUUUAAUCUGAAUCGUCUUGUUCUUUUACAAUCAUCUAAAUUAACGGCUUCUUCUAAAGCUUAUAUGAAUUGGUAUGCAGAUAGCACAAUAUCUCAGAAAGCGGAGACUGAUGCCAGACAAGAAAGUUAGUUUCUCAAUGUUGGUUGACAUUUUAUAUUUUUUUAAAGUGUAGGGCAUGUGGACUGUAUUUAACUCUAGUUUUGGCUGUAUUAAUAUGGUUUGCAGCUAGGUACUCUGACUAGUGAUAUUGCUGGGCAGUUGAAAGAGCUAAGACAGGGUCGCAUUGAGUUUAAAAUGGAAAGUAAAUCAAUUUUGCAUGUGGGAGUUGGAAAGGUACUGUUGUAUUUACUUCUAACUACUUCUAGAUUUCACUACAAUAGGUGUGUUGCACAAGAUAUUUUCAUGUGCUUACAGUGAUAUCCACAGGUAAGCUACAAAGAAGAGAAUUUACGGGAGAAUAUUGGUGCAUUUAUGAAUGCUGUAUUGCAAGCAAAGCCUGCUGGCUUAAAGAAGAGUAAGUAGUAUACACUCUCUUAUGCUGUCCCCCUCCCCAAUAAUCGUUGGAGAAAAGGAUGAAAUGUCAGAUCAGAACUGUGAAAAUUGAUGUUAUGGUUGUUCUUUCUCUCCACUUUCCAUAAUUUUCUUAGGUUUUCUCACUUUACAACAUUAAAGAACUUUUAGCAGAGUAAAAAAAAGGAAAAGAGUCUGCUAAGAUUGAUUACCUCACACACAAGAAAACAGAAUAUGCUGUCAUCAUAAGUCGGAUAAUCUCUCAGAGAAUGCAUUCCUUUAACUUCUACUAUGAUUAGGUAUAGAAGCCUAAUGCUAUAUGGGUUAAAACUAAAACAUACGCUGCUAAAUCUUCAAGACACAAAAACAAGGCCCAUAACUCCUAGGUAUCAUAAACCCAGGUUUAUAUACAAACCAAUACUACUAUACUGCUAUGAAAUACAAAUAUCGGUAACGUUGCACUAUGUUUGAAAAAUAAAAGUUGAAUAAAGUAACAGCUUAAAAUUACCAGUGAAUAUAAGAAUACUGAUUUAUUGAGGUAAUGGAAUAAUAAAACCUUCCUCAAAGUUAAAUAACUACUACCAAAAUGAUGACUUGGUAUGCUGAGGAUAUUUCUAUUAUCUUUGAUCUUAUGCCUUUUUAAUCCUGGUGUAACAUGAUCACAAGUUUUGUAUGCUGAGGAUAUUUCUAUUAUCUUACACUUGCUUUUUUGUUGUCCAGCUUCUAAAUAUGCCGGGUACGUGCUGUCUGUCCAUAUAUGCAGCACGGUAAACUCUUACAUCCCCAUUCUGUUUUUUUCUAAUGCUUAUUUUACAUAUUUAAGGCUGAAAAGUUACUACUCCCUCUGUUCCAAAUUACAUGUCAUUCUAGCAAAAAAAAAAAAAUUGUUCCAAAUUAUGUCAUUUUACAAUAUCAAUAAAUAAGUAAUGCUUAUUUUCCCAUUAUGCCCUUUACUAUUUAUUGCUUUAUUUUUUUCCAGUUCUUUUAAUUUAUGUUUUCCAUACCAUUAGUGAAGGAUAUUUUUGUAAAAUAACUCAUAAUUGCUUUUUUCUAUCCAAAAUUAAUUGCAUUUCUUAAUAUAUGUGAAAUUCCUAGAAUGACAUAAAAUAUGAAACGGAGGGAGUACUUCAUUCUAGCUCUUCAUAUUACCUGUUGUUUGUUACUGAGUUUUUUUUAGGGGAUCUGUCAUUCUGUUGUUGCUGAGUUAGACAUUGAAUGUGUGUGAAAUUCCCCUCUCCCAUCCCUAUUCCCUUCUGAAAAAGGAAUACAGUAACGGAAUUUGAAUUCGAAAUGAUGGAACAUCUACUAAACAUUUUGCUGAAAUAAUUAAUGUGAAAUUGGGAUUUUUUUUAUUCACGGGGAGAGUUUCGUGGAGUGGGAAACGAGGUUUAGCCAACGAUAUAAUCAACUAUGAAAGAUAAAAAGGAAGAUACCAUUGUUAAUGUCUUUCUGUGGAGGAUAAUAAUUGGGAUUCUAUAUUCCAGUAUGUUUUGGCCUUUUGUAUGUCUGCAGAUGAAUAUAAAUUAUGCACUUUUUUGUGGUAUCAUUUACAAUUGGAUAUAUCAAAAUGCACAUAGGAUAAAGGGUGGGGUUACAUGAUAUAGUGGAAGGUUUCCGAUUUUCAUUUGUAGUGAGAUCACACACUGUAGAUUUGCAAUCUAAUCAGAUUUAUAUGAAACUUUAUAUUACCUUUGUCUAGAGCGCAUACAUGAUAGAUAUCCAUAAAAAUGUGCGACCUGGCAAUUUACUGUGAUAGCAUAAAGGGAGGAGAGAGGUGAUAACCAUUUGCACGGAAAAAUUAUAUUUCUUAAUACACGGGUUUCAUAAAAAUUUGUGAUUGCACGAGAAAACAGAGGGUAUUAAAUAAGGGAAGAAGCGAAGAAAAGGCAUAAUUUGCUAGUGUCAUUAUCUGUAGUGAUGGGGAACAUUGUCGUAUUCUUGUAUGCAUUUUCUUUCUUUUAAGUUAUUCAUUGAAAAUCGUAUUGAUGCAGAUUGGCCCAGGUAUACCUGUAUCAAUACAGUCGUUAUCCAAAGCAGCAGAUAACUAUAAGAAAGCGCAUAUGGUAUAAAUCACGUGGAUACAGGCAGGCUUUCGACGUGAAAGUGAAUUUUGAUGAAUCAUAUGUUGCUGUAGUUUUUUGUUCAUUACCAUUGAUUUUGUAAGGUUUGUUGUGUGAUAUAGGUGGCAAUAAGUAAAUCAAAUAUUACAUUUUUUGUAGUAGCUAGAUGAACUUUUUGGUCGUGUUCUCUUGGUUCAUGUUGCUCAUUGUAACACUGAAUAUAUAGCUUACUAAAUUUAUUCUUAGUAAUGUUGAGCUAACCCCUUGAUUCUUAGUAAUGAAAAAACCAUGCUUUACUGAUGCGGUGGAAACAUAUUUCAUAUGACAAUUAUUCUAUUCUUAACCAUGGUUUUUUUAAAUCUUAGAAGGGAAUUAUCAACAUCAUUUGAAAUUUUAUCCGAUGUUUUUUUGGCGCUAAUUUGAACGACCCAAGCCACGAUUUUCAAGCUUGGGUUUUCUUGUAAUGUUAAUAAACCGCAUGUUACAUUUUUUUUUUUUUUUAGGAAAACCGCAUGUUACAUUUAGUGCUAAGUUUGAUAUGCAAAAUGAUGACACGCCUGAUUUGUAAAUGCCAAUUCUCGGCAUCAUGUGUAAAAAAUGACAGCUUUUCAUUUUUCCCUUCAAUGAUCAUAUUUUCAUGAAAAGGCCAGGUAUCAGGAGGAAAUCACGACAUCUCAAUUGAGUUUUUAAGAGGCAAUUGAUCUUUACAAGAAUUUUUAAGAAAAGUUGUCAUUUUCAUAUUUGCCUACAAUUGAUAUUUUCAUGAUCACGAACUUUGAGUUGUUAAACUUAUCAUAUGUAAAUACUAAUUGAAUUUUUAAUAACACAAAGAAUGAUCAAGAACUUUGACCUCCUCAAGUCACUGUUCCUAUAUGUAUAGAUUAGAGAAUUAUGUAUUUUUUUAUUUUCAUUCAACCUCUUACAAUUAAAUGCCAUUGCCUUCGCAAAGUUGUUUUUUCCAUUUCCAACAUAGGCAGAAAUGAUGGCAUGGCAUCAAAUUAGCCGCACUCACUAGUCUCAAUCCAACUUACAAGGACUGUAAAAUAAUCCAAGCUUUUAAAUAUCCUUUCUAGCAUCAACAAAAGCGUAAAGAUACACAGCCAAGAAAAUCCUUUUCACAGAAGAGUAAAACUGUAAGAAUACUCAUUAAUGAAACCUCUUAAUCUACUUCUCAAAUUGUUUAAUCUUGAAUCACAAAUGAAACAAGAUGAAAUUAUAUAAGAUGGCUACAUGUGCCCAAAUUUUAUUGUACUCCCUCCCUUGAUUCUACUUCUGAGCUUUUGUCAUUUCCAAGGACAAAAUUUGGUGUGUAGCAUAAAUGAAUAAUUUAGGCUGAUUUUGUAACUUCGUUGAUAGCGUUAGCCACAUAUCCAACGUUGCUUGUAUUAAGACCAGCCAUACUGUCAAAAAUCACAUAUAUGUAAUGUAAGUAAACAUAGUAUGUGUCAAUCUUCAAGGAACUCAUAAGUCAUAAUGUAAAGAUAAUUCCAAUAGAAAGAGACUUAAGAUUAGGUGUGUAACCUUAUACGACCACUACGAGUCAUGUAAAUAUGAAACUCGUUUGUCAAACGAUCAACUUGUUCUGGUGUCAUCCCGCUGUAGCAGAACAUUCCAAUCUGCACAAGUUCAAUCCUUUUUUUAACACUUUGUUGUGAAAAUGAUGAAAAGAAGUUCAAUCCAAACAUAUAUCCCUCUCCCAUACCAAGAUGCUUGGUCUCCAAGUAACCAUAAAUAUAAGGGGAAAGGGAUGAAAACUCCUCAAGCAACUAAAAUAAGCAAAGAAAAAUACCUGAUUGGUUAUGUGAUUCCAUGGCAAAGGAGAUCCAAGGUUUUCCAAGUUCUCUCGUAGUGCAGUCCUCAUUCCAAUGAUGCGGUCUGCCAUUACCUGUAAAGAAGUCAUCUUUGUAAGUUCAUUUUCUAUCCAUUGCCACAACCUAUAUAUGUAUAUCUGUAAUCUCCUACUGAUGAACGGGGGAUGAGUAGCUCACUUGGUUAAGCUAAGGGAUCAAAGAAGUUAAUAAGUUAAAAAGUCCAAUGUUCGAUUUCUGACAAGGGAAAAAAAAAUACUAACAUAACAAUUCACAACUCAUCUCAACAAUUAACAACUCACUUGGUUGAGCAUUGUCAUUUUUGAUAUAUAGAAAUAAGUCUGAGGUCAAACAGUAAGCCUAGAUUUAGACGAAUUUUACGUAUGGUGUAUCACCUGUGUUUUUAGCAUAAAGUUCUUGAGGAAAAAGAAAAGGCUGAGAGAGAUGUGGAGUAAAGGAGGCUAAGAAAUAAUAACACUUUACCUUAACUUCUUUAAGCCAUAGCUUCUUCAGUUCUGGAUCACCAAGGACAGUUGAAAUAACAAGUGCUCCAUGAAGAGGUGGAUUACUGUACAUGGGUCUGGCAAUCAACUGCAAUUGACUUUUUACUGCCACAGCUUGUUUUUCAUUUUCGCAAAGCAAGCUGCGAGGAACUCAAAAUUAUAAGCGUAAUAUUUGCAUAAUGUAAUUUACAUUUUAUGCUUAAGUAAUACUUUAACAGUUUACUUGCCAAAAAGAUAUAUCUCUGAAUUCAAAAGAUAAAUAUAAAAUUACCUAAGGCAUCCAACUCUCUGGCCAUACAGUCCCAUAUUUUUUGCAUAUGAUUGAGCAACUCCUAUUAAAUGACUAUCAUUAAGAAAAAUCCUGAUCGCUUUUGCAUCUCUCUCUGGAUCGCCACUAGCAAAACCUUGGUAUGCCAUGUCAAACAAAGGGAAAUGACCUUUAGCCUGAAAACAAUCAUAUAACAAUCAACAAAAAGCAGAGUCUAUAACUGAAACAAGAACAAAAUUCCAUGACUCAAUAUAUCAUUCCUCUCUUUUACCUUGAAUUGGGAAGAGAUCUCUCUCCAUUGUUCUUCUGAAGGAUCUACUCCAGUAGGAUUGUGAGCACAAGCAUGAAGCAGAAAGAAAGAACCAUCUGGAGCAUUCUGAGUGAGAAAGAAAUAACCAUUUUAAGAGGUAAGGAGAGUGAGAGUAAUAUCAUAGAUUCAGCUAUAAAAAUUGACAUCUAAAGCGUCUCUAAAUAAUGUUACCUUAAUGUCAACCAUCAGUCCAGGAAAAUCCAAUCCUUUAGACUCAGGAUGAUAGUAACGGAAUGUCUUGAUAGGCACUCCUGCAUCUCUCCAAAUGUUAUGGUGGCCGUAAUUUAUUACUUAAGAAGAUUAAUAAUUAUAGGUAAGAUAUCGAACAAAUAUCUAAAUUUAUAUGGGUUAAUAGUGUUUUUCACCCCUGUAAUAUAGGUCAUUUCCGGUUUUCGCUCCUAUAAAAUUUUCGGUUUGAAUUGCAUCCUUGUAAACGAAUAUAGAAAAAAUUCAGAUUUUUUAUUCGAAAAUUUUAUUCCGCAAUUUUAAUAAAAUAUUGGAAAAAAAAUCAUUUCAUUCCACAAAUAUAAGAUUUAUGAUUUCUACCUCCUCUAGGGAAAAGCUUAAUUCUAGGAAAAAUGAAAUUUCCACGACUUUUUUAAAACCCUCUAAAUUUGUAUUCAGAUUUUUAAAAAUUAUAUUUUUUUUCAGAAUGUUUUUAAAAAAUCUGACCUUUUUUUUAAUUUUGAAAAUUUAAUUUUUUUGUAUUUUGAAAAUUUAAUUUCAGAAUUUUUUAAAAUCUUUUUAAUCGAAAAAAAUCUUAAUAGUUUUUAAUUUUUUUUUCGAUUUUUCUAAAAAAAAAGACUAUUUUUCUGUUUUUUUUUAUAUUUCGGAAAAAAUCUUAAUAUUUUUUCUGAAUUUUUUAAAAAUUAUUUUUCGAUUUUUUAAAUUUUUGAAAAAAAAACUGAAUAUUUUUGUUAUUUUUUAAAAUUUGUUUUUAAAUAUUUUAAAAAUAAAAUCUGAUGUGGAUAUAUUUUUUACACAUGGCCAAUUAAAAAAAAUGCAAAAUCAGCGCCACGUAAGCGAAUUUGUUGAGUUGGAUGGGGGAGGGGUGUUUUCCGGAAGAAAAAAAAAAAGUUUUACAAGGAUGCAAUUCAAACCGAAAAUUUUAUAGGGGCGAAAACCAGAAAUAGCCUAUAUUACAGGGUGAAAAACACUAUUAAUCCAAUUUAUAUCAAACUUGGAAGACUCAAAAAAUAGUCACUUGGCCCAGGUGAGAACUGGCAUAUAGAUUUGGGUUUUGGGAUGAAAACGCUGUUGAAAUGCGGCAAAAAGUCGACAUGCACCAGUCCCAGAUAAAGCCUGAACUGCAGCUAUUCGUUUAUCCUUGAUGAACUCAGAAUCAUCUCCAUAUGCCAGCUUCAGUGAUUCUUCAAUCAUAUGGAUGCUCCCACCAAUAGGAAGAUACUCCCUGCUCAAAUAGGAAUGGCAUAAACUAAAUUAAACAGUAUUAUUUAACAAAAAUACAGCAUAAAAUAGGGUCUCAUACUUUUAUAUUCCCGUAUUACUAUUAAAUUAAUUAGUAUUUUCAAAUCUAUAACAGAUAUCUCAAAAUCAAUGUUAUCAUUAGCCAAAAAAAGUAAAUAAAAAUUUAUGUCUAAAAACUAAUAUAUUUUUUUAGAGGAGACUGAAAAAUAAACUAAAAGCAUACGUUUGACUCACAUGAAUUGGUUUCCUGCAAUUCUCCUCUCAGCUUCUCUAACACAUUCCAAAACCACUGGCUUUCCUUUAUCAUUGUGAUACGCACACUUCUAUAUUUUGCAAAUAAAACAUAAUAAAAUUCAAAAUAAGCAGAAAAAAAAUAUCCGAAACAGAUAUAGCAAAAAGUACUUGAAGAACUCACAACUCCAACAUUGACUUUGUAUGGACUCUGAUCAGCGAGAAAAGCUUCCGCAACUCCAAGGAUUGGAUCCUUAGGAGCUGGCUCGAUAUUCCUGAACCACGAAGACAUGAAUCUAGCUCCGGCAACGAAGCUCCGGUUGAGUAGAUUACGAAUCGCCAUAACUCGUGGGAACUUAUAUGUAUUUUUUUGAUAAAAUAAUUCCCACUGAAUUUAUUUUGCGUAUUUUAAUGUGUUUUUAUAUCCUACCGUACGUUCUUUUAAUAUGUUAAUUAAUGCAUGUCACGUUCUUGUUUGAAAAUCGUAUUGGUGUUCAUUUGAAUGAUCCAAACCACGGUUUUCAAGCUCAUUUUUCCUUGUAAUGAUAAUAAACCACAUGCUACAUUUGAUACAAAACUUGAUUUGCAAAAUGUUGAAUCUCACCGUUCAGUUUUCCCUAUGGUGAUCAGUUCCUACAUCGGAGUUGGAACACUAUAACUAACCAAACUCUCUUUUAAGGCGCAGAAAUUCAAUUGUCUCCGGGAUGAGGAAAGGGUGUGGCAGUGCUAUGUGCCUAGGACCCACAAACAAAUGAUGGCGGGUCCCACAUAAUUUGUAAAUGUUGUGUUUUUGAAAAAAAUUAGAGAGAUAUAAGGUGACAACUAGGGUACCCAUGGAAGAAUGGUGGGUAAUUUACCUCAACCAAUACACAUUAGUCACAUGAGCACAUUUUUAAGUGGUAUCAUGAACUAUCUUGACUCCACCAGCAAAUUGCUCAUUUUCAUUGGUUGGUGGAUAAAUUACCCACCAUUCUUCAAAGGUAAUCUAGAAAAAACCGAGAUGUAAACACAUAGAGCACUGCUAAACGGUGCGAAAACACUUUAACAUAAACUGACAACCCAAUUGCCGACACAUAUAUAGUGUGGUAAUAUUGAAAAUGUAUGGAGGACAAAAUUGGCAACCUCAAAAAUAUUGGAUUAUUUCUGUCACAAACCAGCUCAGCCUUUAUGGUGAUACAACUCAAAUUAUAUAAUCCGAUAUAUUUUUUCAAUAAAUUCUUAACACAAGGGGGUGCAUGUGGAUAUUCGGAUUUUAUAAUUCGAACGUCCCUUAUGCAUGCUUCAAAGUAUUGUGCAUAUGAGCUUGUAUGGAUUAUAAAAUCCUAAGUACUUAUUUGUUCAAAUUUUAUAUAUUUGAAUUGGUGAAAAACUUAUUUUUCUUCCAAAAAAAUAGGGUAAGUUUUUUUUUUGUUUUUGAAUUAUAUAAUUCGAAGAAUACUGAGAGAAUUUGGGAUCCGGAUCAUCUCCUGCGUCAUAUUUGUUCUGCCAUCAUCAUGCCCCUAAUCCAAUGGCUGCCAAAUAAAGUAAAUAAAUAAAAUACAAAAGAAUGAGAGAGAAAUGAACUUCAUUAUUUCUACACGCUGCUUUCCAUUUGCCAGAACUUCUCAAUGUUCUCAUCAAUCAUCCAUGUAGCAAACACAUCUAGUUCAUUCAUUUGAUUAUGUACAAAAUUAAAAAUUAAAUAAAAAAAAAACUAAAAAAUGGUAGAAACAUUGUGAAAUUGAAUUGAACAGAGGGAAAAGGAAAACGAAAGCGGCUGUUAUUAUAGUCAGAAAGAGUGAACAAAGAAAGAGUAGUUGAGAGUGUAUUGAAACUUGAAAGAGUAAAUGGCUUAAUCGACCAGUCGUCUCAACGAUUUUGUUGGGUUUUUAUUUUCCUGAAUCACAAACUGCUCUUGUUUUUGUUGCGUUUUUAUGCAAACUAACCCUCGGCCGCUGUGCUAACAUGGUGCAUAUUCGAAGAACAACUAGUCACCGCCGCCGAGUAAACGAACCCUCCGCCGUCGUGAAAACGUUGUGUUCAUUUGAAGACCAACUCGUCGUUGCUUUUCACCGGUGAUGAAAGUUGUGUGCUUGAUCAUUGGCGGUUCUGUUUCUGUAUUGUUUUUUAUUGUUCUCUUUUUAACCAUUGGAUUGAUCGAACGAUGGAAAACAGCGGAGGAGAGAUAGCAUGAGAGUAAACUGGAGAGGAUCCGGAUCCAAGAAUUUGGUACACACCACUUGAAAAGAAAGAGGGUGGAAAAUGAAAUUGCGAUUUAUUUUAUAGAUGAGUGUGAAGUUAUUCAACUGAAGGUCUAAGGACACACUUUUUUGUAAAGACAGAAAACUACUGCCUUGUAUUUAAUUUUAUUUUUUUUUAUCUUUAGUACACCUUGUAUUGUAUUUGAUUAUUUUAUUUUAUCUUUAGUACACCUUGUAUUUGGAUAAUUUUUAUUAAUAUAUAUUACCUUCGUUUCUAGAUAUAUGACCAUUUUAAAAAUAUUUUAUCCAUUUUCAUAAGACCCCAUUGCUAUUUUCAGCUACAUUAAUUAUUUUUUUACAUACAUAUCCUUAUUUAUUAUACAUCUUUUUCUUCAAUCAACAAUAAAUAACAUGCUGAAAACAAAAACUAAUUAUCUCUCAAAGGAUAAAAUUAUAAAAGUAACAGUGAUUACAAACAAUUUAAUACAAAUAUGAUUUUGACAAAAGAGUCUUAUAUUAAAGACGGAUGUAAUCCAAUACAAGGUGUCUUAAAGAUAAAAAAUAAAAAAAAUAAAAAAAUAAAAAAAUUAAAUACAAGUCACGAAGCAUAAAACCAAAGACAAUCCUCAACAAAAACAAACAACUACCUAAGACAAAAUAAACUCCCAAAAAAAUACAAAAAAAGAAAACACUCAGGUCAAAGAUCACAAGCACAAAAUCACAUGAAUUCAUCAUUGAUGAAAUUUAAACUCAAGUCUUUAACAUGGAUUGUGAAGUGUGAACCACCACCAAGAGCACAAUUUAAUGAUUUCUACAAUGUUAUCGAAGACAAACUCAAACACAAAUCAUCCAAAGAGUACACUUGCAUGCAAAUGCAACUGUUGAACUGUACUUUAGUCGUUGUUACCAACACGCAGCCGUUUGUUUUUUAACUCUCUAUUUUGAUAAAGUUGUGCUAACCUUACUUGAGCAACAAGUUAUCUUUACCUGAAAAUGGAAAUGUUAACGAGUGCCUCCGGGGCACUCUUUAAGAAUCAUUAAUAUUAACUUUUUUAUAAAAAACUGUGUAAUCAAUGCAUAGGAAUUUGUAACAUUUGACUUUUUCAAAGAAUAUUUUCUAAAUUUAUGAUCCUUAAAGAGUGGCCCGGGGGCACUCGUUAACAAGACCCGAAAACUUAUGCCAAUAGAUAAACCCAACUAAGUCAAUCCAAACACACCUAUAUGUCUGUCUGGCAAUUAAAAGGCCAUUUGCCUUAACAAAGCUGUUUUUCCAUUUCCGACAAAAGCUGAAAUAUUAGCAUGGCAUCAAAUUAGUCGCACUCAUUAGUCAUUAGUCUCAAUCAACUUAUAAGGAGUCUCAAACAAUCUAAGCUUUUAUAUAUCCAUUCUAGCAAAAACAAAAUCGUAAAGAUUAACAGCCAAGAACAAUCCUUAUCACAGUAUAGUAAAACUGUAAGAAUAAUCAUCAAUGAAACCUCUUAUUCAAUCUACUUUUCAAAUUAUUCAAUAUGUCGAAUCGCAAAUGAAACAAGGUGAAAAGGCAUAAGAUUGUCACUAGUGCCCAACUUUUAUUCUGCUCCCUCCAAUAAUUCUACUUCUGAGGUAUUUGUCGUUCCAAAGGACAAAAAUUUGGAAUGUUGCAUAAAUGAAUAAUUUAGGCUGAUUUUGUAACCUCGUUGAUAGCAUUAGCCACAUAUCCAACGUUGCCCGUAUUAAGACCAGCCAUACUGUCGUGAUUACAUGUAUGUAAUGUAAGUAAAAUCGAAGCUCCAGUCUCCAAGAACUCAUAAUAUAAGAGAAAUGGCAAUAGAAAAAAAAGAAAAUUAAUAUAAAGUGUGUCACCUUAUACGACCAUUACGAGUCAUGUAAAUAUGAAACUCGCUUGUCAAACGAUCAACCUGUUCUGGUGUCAUCCCACUGUAGCAGAACAUGCCAAUCUGCACAAAAUAGUAACAGAUACUUGUUUGAAAACUCAACCAACCAAGUUUUUAACACUUUGAUGUGACAAUGAUGUUAGAAGUUCUAUCCUUCAAUAAAAGAUGUAUCCCUCUCCCCUACCAAGAUACUUGAUCUCCAAGUAACCAUAAAAAUAAGAGAGAAGGGGAUGAAAACUCCUCAAGCAACUACAAUAAGCAAAGAAAAGAAGAAAAAGUGGUUGAGAAAUUGUGCAUUCAACUGAACCUGAUUGGUUAUGUGAUUCCAUGGCAACGGAGACCCCAGAUUUUCCAAAUUCUCUCGUAGUGUAGUUCUCAUUCCAAUGAUGCGGUCUGCCAUAACCUGUAAAGACGCCAUCUAUGUAAGUUCAUUUUCUAUCCAUUGCCACAACUUAUUUAUGCUUGUUUAUAAUUUUGUUUUGAUGAUUUACUAAAUUUAAAAAUGGUGUCUUCUUAAAUUAUCAUUUGGAAUAUAUUAAUAUAGAAUAACAUGGUUAUUUGCAAAACUAAGCAUAAGUUGUUGUUCAACCAAUUAUGUUAAUUGAGCAUUGUUAUUUACAAAUUACAAUAUAUAGGAAAAAGUCUGAGGUCAAAAAGUAAGCCUAGGAUUGGAUGAAUUUCACAUAUUAUGGUGUAGCAUCUAGCAAUGCAGCAUAUCAGUGACUGAGCAUAGCCUCAGUCACUAAUGAUAAUCAGAUAUAUGAAUAUGAUAUGUUCAACCAUUCUACCUUAGAAAAAUAGCAUACUGCAGCAUUAUAUAUGGAAUUUAUACCAUCAAAUUUUUUAUGGAAAAAGCAAAGGCUGAGAGGUGGGAGUAAAACUUUUAUAGAGGACAUUCUUUAUCUUUAAGAAAUAGUAACACUUUACCUUAACUUCUUUAAGCCACAACUUCUUCAAAUCUGGAUCACUGAGGACAGUUGAAACGACAAGUGCUCCAUGAAGAGGUGGAUUACUGUACAUGGGUCUGGAAAUCAAUUGCAAUUGACUUUUAACAGCCACGGCUUGUUUCUGAUCUUCGCAAAGCAAGCUGCAAGGAACACAAAGUCAUAAGUGUUACGUUGCGGAAAGUAAUUUACAUUUCACAGUCAAGCUAAAGUUCUGUAAACCAACUUAAGGCUUCAAACUAAAGAAUUUCCAAUGUUUGCAUACAUAUCAUUGUACACUUUUCAACUAAUCACCCUUCUUUUAGUCAUGUUAAAAGAUAGAGUUAUGGACAGAAUUUUUUUGUAAAGUUACACACAUGUUUUAGUACUUGUUAGUGAGUAGUAUCAAGUUGGGGUGUGCAAAAAUGUGGUUAACUGAAUUGUAUCCAUUAAUGUGGUUCAGUUCCAAUGCAAUUUAGAACCAUGAACACCCCUAGUACCAACUAACUCUUUGGCCUAAUACUAAUCAAUAAUAACAGGCUACUUACCUAAGGCAUCCAACUCUCUGGCCAUACAGUCCCAUAUUUUUUGCAUAUGAUUGAGCAAGUCCUAAUAAAUGACCAUCAUCAACAAAAAUCCUGAUGGCUUUUACAUCUCUCUCUGGAUUUCCACUAGCAAAACCUUGGUAUGCCAUGUCAAACAAAGGGAAAUGACCUUUAGCCUGCAAACAAUCAUAGAAAUGAACAACAAAAAGUGUCAAUAAUUGAAACAGCGAGAACAAAAUCAAUGAUUCAAUAUAUCAUUGCCUUUUACCUUGAAUUGGGAAGAGAUCUCUCUCCAUUGUUCUUCUGAAGGAUCUACUCCAGUAGGAUUGUGAGCACAAGCAUGAAGCAGAAAGAAAGAACCAUCUGGAGCAUUCUGUGUAAGAAAUAACCAGUUUGAAAGGUAAGAAGAGUACAUAGUAUGUUUUAAAUAAUUAAAGUGAGACUAAUGGUCAUUUUACAACUGCUUCGACGGGAUUUGAACUUCAUCCCUAGAGUUUACAAUGUCAAACUCUUAUUGAUAAGCUAACACCUCAUAGACCAAAAGUAGAUAGUAACAUAGCAAAGAGUUAUGUAUAAAGUGUGUCGGAAAAAUGUUAUGAAUCAGAGCAAUGUACCUUAAUGUCAUCCAUCAGUCCAGAAAAAUCCAACCCUUUAGACUCAGGGUGAUAGUAACGGUAUGUCUUUAUAGGCACGCCAGCAUCUCUCCAAAUGUUAUGGUGACUGUAAUUUAUUACAUUACAAGAUCAAUAAUUCUAGGCCAGAUGUCUACCAAAUAUCAAAAUUUAUAUAAAAAAAAUAUCAAAUUCUGUAGACUCAUAAUCAAUGGCAGUAUUUAAAGGAAGAUUUGGAUUGAAUACUGACUUGGACCAGGUGGGAACUGGUAUAUAGAUUUGGGUGUUGGGAUGAAAUCGCUGUUGAAAUACGGCGAAAAGUCGACAUGCACCAGUCCCAGAUAAAGCCUGAACUGCAGCUAUUCUUUUAUCCUUGAUGAACUCGGAAUCGUCUCCAUACGCCAGCUUCAGUGAUUCUUGAACCAUAUGUAUGCUUCCACCCAUAGGAAGAUACUCCCUGCUCAAACGUUUGAAACGGUAUAAAGCAAUAGCAUAAACUAAAUCAAACAGUAGAGAAAAAAACUGUUUCAGGAGAAUGUUACUAAGGUCUUGUAUUAGAAGCCUUGUUGUCCAAGGUAGGUCUGAACCUGAUGGUUCAUUUAGUUCAAUACACCGUAGGAAAUUAAGUUUUACUAUUUAUUUGUUUCAUUCUUUCUGAAUAGAGAAAUGAUAUUUGAACAUCCAUUUGGUAACAACUUCUGGGACAACUUUCUCUCUCAUACUCACAUCAUUUUUUACUUUAUCUCUCUAUUACUAUGGUUUCCGUGUCAAUACUACUUUUUCUUUGUAAAUUAUGGUUGUCAAAUAAGUUGUCACCAAAUUGGUUGUUUAAAUAACACUACUCUUCUGAAUACCAUCAUUUUAAAACAGAGGUGAUAAAAACUAAUUCAACAAACGUGGUUUAAAUGGCAGGCAAGCAGAAGUCAAAACUGGAAAUAUUAAAGAUGUGCCGCAGUAAUUGAUCUUAACCGUCCAAUCUCAUACCAUUCUUGUAGAUAUUAAAGAUGACUUGUAAUAUGUCAGUGUUUUGUCUUCUUCAAUAUAGCUUAUAAAAACAAUUUAUAGCAUAUACAAAAACAGUUUAAACUUAUUUUAUCUUUUGCUCUAAAAAUAGCUUAUGCAAGCUUAUACAUAAGCACCUAUUUGUGCUAUAAACCGUAAAUAAGUUGUUUAUCCAAACAGACCAGUUUUCUUCUCACUUUUAGAAAUAUUUUGGUAACCUGCCGUACUUUUUUCUAACAGAAAGGCAAAGUUAAAAUCAUAAACUAGCAUUUGAAACUUUGAAAGUACUCCUAAAUUUUUUUUUUUGUAAAUUUCCAACAAGUCCCACAUUCUACAAAACCAAUUAUUCCGUUACUAUGAAAUUCGGUCAUCCAAUACCUAACCUACUAAGCAUCUUCUUUCUACUCCUUUCUAGCUAGUUUGGCACGCAAAACAAUAAAAAUUUAAGGUAUGCGGACCCCACAAAUAUUAUCUUUGAAACCAGAAAAAGCAGCAGCAGUAAAACAGGAUUCCCUACAUCAUCCCAAAACAUCUCAAGAAAGAAACAAAUUGCACCACACAAAGCAAGGAAUCGUGAAUAUCUGUAGCUGUCAAAGAACACUGCAUCAACAAGUAGGUAGCGUUGUAUUUCCAAAGACAUUAUUAUGCCAUCCAAGGCACGUACCAAAAAAGCAAUGGGUUACGUGAUCACCACAAAAAAUGGCACAUGAAAGCAAUUAUAGUCCCAUUAAAUUAAAUAAAGUUGAAAAAACAAAAUGCUACCUAAAUGUUGUAUUUUCUUUUGGUAUACUAACAAUUAUAGUGUCCCUCGUAUACAGGUUUAAAGAAACAAAUUGUUAAGAGUUUGACUAUACAAAUUUUAAGAUAUUUUUACUAGUAUAUUUGUAUUGUUAACUAGUAGCAUAAGUAACUUGUCAACAAUUUCCAUUUUUUAAUUAUUGUACGAAGCUUCCAUCAAUGUUUAACAACGACUGAUCUAACUAACAAAGAGAAAAGAAUCAAUCCAAUAACCACAUGCUUAAGUUUAAGAGAUUCAAAUAUCUUACCAUUUGAACCAAUCUAAAAUUAAAUAAAUAAAUCCAAUACUAUUAAUCUUAUAAUUAAAUUAAAUAAAUAAAUUACAAAUAAAAAAUCCAGUACUUCACAAAAAUACAAUAUUUAAUAGAUUCUCAAUUAAAUUAAAUAGUGAGAAGUCGGGAAUAAUGGAUUACUACAACUUUUUUUUUUUUUUUUUUAUAAACUGCUACUAUUAUUAUGAGUUAUUUUCAAAUCUUUAAUAAAAUAUGUAAAAAUCAAUGUUAGCAUUAACCAAAAAAAUAAUAAUAUUUGACUCACAUGAAUUGGUUUCCUGCGAUCCUUCUCUCUGCUUCUCUAACACAUUCCAAAACCACAGGCUUUCCAUUGUCAUCCCGAUAUGCACCCUGUUAUAAUUUUCAAAUCAAACAAAUAAAUUUAAUAAAAUCAUUGUGUGCAUGCAAAUAUAAUUUUACAAAAACAAAAUAAUAUCGCACGAAUUAUAAAUCUGAUGAUAAAAAACGAUAGAACAGUGUUGCUAUGUUAUGGUAUUACAUUGGAUCAUUUCAUUUCUCAAAUAGAUUUGAGUUUGAUGAAAACAAGAAGAAAAAUGGACCAAAGAUAGAGAAAGACAAAGAAAAAAACUUACAACUCCAACAUUAACUUUGUUUGGACUCUGAUCCGCAAGAAAAGCUUCGGUAACUCCGAGGAUUGGAUCCUUAGGAGCUGGUUCGAUGUUCCUGAACCAUGAAGACAUGAAUCUAGCUCCGGUGACGGAGCUCCGGUUGAGAAAUUGUCCGUUGAGAAGAUUGCGAAUCGCCAUGGAAACAGAGAACAGAGGAAAUGAAAGAAGAAAAAACAGAAUGUGUUCACUAGGAUCCAAAUCUAUGUUUGGGAACUGUAAUUUAUUAUCAUCGAGUUACGUGUUUUAUUUAUAUUAGAUUUUGACCAUCAUUCUUACUUUGUCAAACUCAUUUUAUUGUUAAAUUUAUCUUACAUAAUUACUAUUAAAUCCAGAAAAUAAAUUACUACUAUUAUUUUCUUUCUAAGAUUUACAUGAACGUAUAUGUAGACUUUGUCAAAAAUAAAUAAAAAUUAACGUAUAUGUAGACAGAGAAAGUUACGUACUUGAAGGAAAAAAGGAAAGUUUUUUUACAGUAAAAAGGAAAGCUAGUUGAGCAUGAUUUUAAAAAGAAUAAUAUCAAGGAAAAUGCUAGAUAUCAAGAAUGAUUUUAUAAAAAAAAUUCAAGAAUGACAUGGCACAAUAAUCAUCUUUAGAUUUCAAUCUCAUUUAUUAAUCUUUCAUAAAAAAAAGAUACAUAACACCCAUCACCCCAUGAUUUCCGGCCAGGCUGAGAUUUUAUUGGUUAACAUUAAUUUCAGGACUAUUUCUUGAUAAAAUCUAAGGGUGAUUAUUCUGCCAUGUCAUUCUUGAAAUUUUCUUGAUAAAAUCUUUCUUGAUAUAUAGCAUUGCUCUAAUAUCAAACUGUUUUUUUUUUUUUUUUUUUUUGCAAAAGGGGCUUCUAAAUAAGUAAAUCAUCUCAUAAAUAUACCAAUUUUAAUUUUAGUCCCCCUAAAAUAUUCAUUAGGCUUUUGGUCCGUCAAAUUUUUCCUUCCAUAAAAUUAGUCCAUACGUUUUAGUCAACGCAUGUUUAACUUUCAUAUUUUUUAAUGAAAUUUUACAGAAAUGACAAGAAUAUUAUGACAAUCUCUAAAAAAAAAAUAGAAUUUUUAACAAAACAUAAAUUAAAUAUGAAAUUUUUGGUUUUUCGUGCUAAAAAAUUCAUAUUAAAUUCAAGUCCUCUUAAAAAAUUAUAUUUUUUUUGGAAAAUAUUAUCCUGGGAUUAUUACAGGCUCUAUUAUUGUGGCCGUAGUGCUAGUUUGACUCGAUUGUGUAACCCCUGGCGGUACUGGUGGAUUCGUUGCUACUCCUGGCGCAAUAGCGGAAUUCCUCAUUUCAUGAAGUUGUUUCUUAUUCCUCAAACGCAUGCACAACACAAACCGAUAAUUUUAAUAAUAAAAUUUCAGCAAGAAGAUUGUAAAUAAGAGCACAAAAGGUCCCACCGGGGUGUGCCAAUUUGUUUACACUAAAAUUUGAUAAACAAUCGUUGGUUUAAAAAUAUUAACUUGCAAGAUCAACCAGUAAACCUUAAGGACGACAUAUUGUGUCUAUUAUCUUCUGGAAAUUUAAUAUUAUUCUUGAAGAACUUGGUAAAACGAAGUAAGAAAAAGCAAUCGAAUUCAACCCAGUCAAAUCCAAUCGAAACCGGUAUAAACAAAAGUAAAUGAAUGCUCAAAAGAAACAAGAAAGCUCUAAAGACAUUUAAAAAAAAUGAACUUAAAUUGCAUUGAUCGAAUAUAGAUUGGUACACAUGUUCACACAUUGCAAUUUGUGACUCGUUUCUCUCUUCCAUGCGGAUAAUUUGAGUGUAAGUUUUUUGUAUGAUUGAAUUGUGACCCCUUUUUCCUUUGGAGGAAACUACUAUUUAUACAAAUAGAAAUAACUGCCUAAGCUUAAAUUUAAAAACUAUAACUGCAGUAACCAACAGAACUUAUCCAUUCAGUUUGAAUUUCGAAUGUGUCUUAAAAAAUAUAUGUUGUUUCGACCUUAUCCAAAAAGAAACUACUUCUUCGAAAGUUCCGUCAAUCGAACCGAGACACGCAACUUCAAGUAUCUUUGGUAAGUCCAACUUUGAUAAGGAUAAAAGAAUAACUCUUUUAAUUAUGAGGUCAACCUACUUUGACUGUAUUUAAUGAUGCCUUAAAAAAUAUUGGCUUAAUAGAAUAGGAAAAUAUAUUUUUAAGGAUUAAUCGAGAAAUUCCAUAAUCAAAUACAUGAAACUCAAUGAUGGAAUGAGCUUGGUAUUUAAGAGCAAACGUAUAAAUACGAGAGAGAAUUUUCAUACAAAAGAAGAUAAGUUUUGUGACAAUGAUGGACUUUUUUUUUUUUUGAAGGGAAUCUAUAAAGAUGAUGGACUAUUUCAUUUCAUUACUUUGCACUAUGACCAAAUAAUAAGCAAUACAGUUACAGGCAGUGGGCUCCAUAAUGGAGACUCUAACAACCUACCAAUUCUGCAUACCACAUCAGCAGGUCCUGGCCGAACAUAUUCUGCAACGUGCAUCACCAAAUCUAUCUUAGGAGCUAAGUUAGAAAAUAGCAAAGCCUAAUAAACCAUAGUCCAAGAGUAAUAUAUGAUCACACUAUGCAAAUACUAAAUAAACCACAGUCUUAAGAGUAAUAUAUGUUUACAAUAAGGUCAUGCAUGCUACCACUCCUAAACAAAAGGUGAAAUUAUCAUUGUAAAUAUCGUGUAUAACAGUAUAAAGCAACAUCUUUUAUCUACAAAAGAAACGGAAGCAAUUGUAAAUCUGUAAACGUUACUUACAUUAUUGUAAGACUUUUUUUAACAUUAUUGGAAACUAUAGGGUUAGUUUUAUCGGUAGACAAGCAAACCUUGUUGUUCAUACCCUUGUUAAGGCGUCAAAGAUUUAUGCUAAUUUUCAAGUUUUUGAUUUUAUGUCAACCUUUAUUACAAACAUUAUUUUAAAUGAAAUGAAAUAAGUUUGUUUCUUUUAAAAACAGUGAACAGAAAUAAGCCAAAUCAAGCCUAUUUGGAUGUAUAUCAAUUGAAUUACAUCAAAUAAGUUGAAUUUAAUGAAAUAUUAUUAAGCUAUUGAAACAAAUUUAAUGAAAGACUAUAUUAAGCUAAUUAACAAUGAAGAAUGAGAAUAAAUUUAUCAAAAAUUCGAAUGAGUUGAUUAUUUUUUUGUUUGAAAGAGUUUAGAGAUGAAACUCUUAUACGUUAUGUGUGGAGAAGUUAGAAAUAGAAAAUUCAAAUUCUUGUCGAACUUUUAAUAUAUCAAAUGUCCUACGGUUUUAUCUAAUUUUUGUACUUACGAAGUUACAAGACUAAUAAGGUGCACCUCUUUUCUUUUUUUUCUUCUAAAAAGAGUGAUUUUUUAUGUAUAUAUUUGGUAUCGUUUUGGUAAAAAGAUCGUUUGAGUACUUUAUCUUUAUCUCCGUUACCUAUUUUGGUAAUACAAUCACCGCCCUUUCAAAGGCUUAAAUGCUCUUUUGACGUAUUUAUUUGGUAUCGUUUUGGUAAAAAGAUUGUUUGAGUACUUUAUUUUGAGUAAAAAGGUUGUUGAUGAUGAAGAUCAUGAAGAAAAUGAUGGAAGGAGAAGGAAAAAGAUGAAUAAUAUAAACCCUAACGGUUUUUUGAAUUUAUUUAACAGAAGAGACCAAAAUCGGUAACGGGGAUAAAGAUAAAGUACUCAAACAAUCUUUUUUUUAGUUAAGGGACCGAAGCAAUACCAAAUAUACUUAAGGGACCAAAAGAGCAUUUAAGCCUACAUUAAAAUGUGUGACAAUACUGUGAAUAACUGCUUAAGUAGGCUAGAUUUUUUUUCCAUGUCUAUACCCUUAGGAUGCAUGUUAAGAGACUUGUUGUUUCAAAAGUCAUGAACUCGUUGUUUUAAAAGUCAAAAUAAUGUUCAUAUCAAUAUAAAAUUACUUCUUUUGGGAUCCUUAACUUAACAUGUGCCUUAAGGCACAAGUUAGCAAAAACUCUUAUUUGUUUAGAAAGGUCAUUGUAUGAAAGUAUAAUCCUUCUAUGCACAUUUAUCAAUUGACAUUAUUAUAUUCUCCCUUUUAUUGUUUGUGUGACAUCUCCAUUGAAGACAAUGUCGAAAACAAAACGAAGCUCUGAAGCACCCAGAUUAAGGCGAUCAACAGUUCAGCACCAAGAUAUAAAUAUUGAGAACGAAAAAGAAAAAGGGUAAAUACCCCUUUUCGUCCCUAUAAUAUGAGCGAAUUCCAGGUUUGGUCCCUGUAAAAAAAAAGUUUAGAUUCUGUCCCUAUCAUUUGAGAUUCUUCCACUUUUGGCCCCUCAUUGAAACAUGUCAGCAGAAUCUGCCUACGUGUCUAGCUAACCGUAUAAUUCUUUUAUUUUUUUAAUAAAUUUAUUUCAACGUGGCUUUUCUUUGAUUUAUAAUUAUUUUAUACUUAUUUAAAAAACUUAAAAAUAUCAUUAAAUUAGAAAAAUAAAAAACAGAAACAAAACAACAACCCCUCUUCAUCUUAUUUUUUCGUUACAAACCCUCUUCAUUUAUUUCUUUCUCUUGUUUCAACUCAACCCAUUCCAAACUCUCUUUCUUCUUCUUCUUCUCCAAUGCAAAACCCUAAAUCAAAUUGAAACUCUCAAAUCAAUUAACACCACAAAUCAAAUGAAACCCCAACUUAAAAAUUUAGAUCUGAAGUGUUAAGAAACAAAUGGACAAAAGCAAUUCGAAACUCAGAUUCGAAUGAAGGAGGGGGAAAUUCGAAACCCAAAAAUUGCAAAUGGAUAUUCAUACACGCACAACCCAAUGGAUCAAACGGAUAUGCGUUUGGGUUUUUAUUUCCAUUAAUUUUUCUGGAAAAACAUUGUAUGGGUUUCUGUAAAAUUGGAUUUUUGCUUGUUUUAAACUUCGGCGGCUGUGUAUUGCGUGGAUUGACGGUGUAUGUGUAUUGUGGACUAGUGUUAAUUAAUUUUGUAGGUACAUAGAGAAGUAGAGGAAAGAAGGGGGACGGUUGAACAACGGGGACCAUGAUGUUAACACAACAAACAAUCUACUUAUGGAGGAAGUUUGUCUGGGUUUAGAGAUUUGGGAUUAAGAGAUUUGAGUGUUUCUGGUUGUUGAGGUAGAGGGUGCGGUAGGCAUAUGGGUUGUCCAGGGGAUAGAACUUGGUCAUGAAGAAGAUGAAGCUUUAAGAACAAAAUAAGAAAGAUGCAGAUGGAGUUUUGAUUUUAUUAUAAGUUAAUUUAUUUUAAUUCAAAAAUUUGAUUUUAAUUGUUUAAAUAAAUGUAAAUAAUAAAAUAAAAGCCACGUGGAAAUAAAUUUAAUGAAAAUAAAUAAAUAAUUAUACAGUCAGCAUGACACGUCAACAGAUUCUGCUGACCUGUUACAACGCGGGACCAAAAGUGGAAGAAUCUCAAAUGAUAGGGACAAAAUCUAAAUUUUAUUUUUUACUGGAACCAAAACCGGAAUUCGCUCAUAUUACAGGGACGAAAAGGGACAUUUACCCAAAGAAAAAUAACAACUUUAAAUUUGAAGACAUUAUCUUCUUUACUUAAAGGAACAAAUAUAUAAUCCGCAAAAUAAACGAAUUUGGGACCAACGCGGUUGUGUUUUUCAACAAUGGCGUCAAGCAACAAGUUGCUGACUUAAAUUAAACGAAUUUGUAGCAACAUCAAUAUAGGUUAUCUACUUUAUACUUCUCUUAUCUUUCCUUAAUAAACUGUGUUUAUCACUAAAAUUCAAAUUCUACUUUUUCCAUAUCCAUCAAAUGUGGAAAGAAGACCAUUGCUAAGAACGAGCUUUCACUUUUUCCUUUGGUAUACAAAAUGAAAACAAAAUUUUAAAUCUUCCUCUGCUACUCCACAACUAGAAUGAUAGAAUAAACUAUGAAGAGAACAGAAGCAAAACUAGAAUGGUAGAAUAAACGAUGAAGAGGACAGAAAACAAUGACAUGCUUUUCCCAAAAAAAAAAUUACUAUGUUGUAAUAUGUAACUGAAAAAGGAUAAACAAAGAAAAUGAAAAGGAAAAUUUAUGAAAACAUUCUGCAAACGCCCCAAUUGUCGCAAAGAAUAUUACAUUUCAAAUUUAGAAAGGAAAAAAAAAAAGAAAAAACAUCACCUAAAUAAGGAGAAACCUCAGUCACGUUUGGAUUCAAGAGGAAUCCCCAGAUUCUUCUAUGCAUGGUGAAGAAUCUGAUUCUUCAGCCAAAGAUUCUAGCAUAUUUAUUACUUCAGACGUAUCAUCUAGAUAAUACUUUGCUUUACUUGGCUUUUGUCCAACCGUGCAAGCAAAUACAGAAGCAUUGGAGGAAAGAAUAUUCCUUGAGAUUGCACUACUAACUAUUUCAAACAUGUCCUCAUCUGAUCUGUCAUCACCAACACACAGGACAAAGUCAGCCUGUUUGUCACUUUCGGUCAUUGACGAAAAUAUCUUAUCCGCAACUAAGCCUUUGCUCACAUCCUGCAAUGCAAAUGGUAUAAGAUGAAUCAUCCUUUUCCCAAAGGGGUGUAGCACAAUAAAUAGCAUAUAUCAAUUAUAAUGUUAAAGCCAAAAUUAUAUGGUAAAAUCAAACUGCUAUGCUGGAUAUAAGAAUUUCUAUAUUCAGUAAAAAUAUUAUCCAAAAAGCUUCUCUAAAAAACUACUUUAACAGCAUCAUUUAUGUCUAAAGGAACAACAGGAGGCUUGUCAAUCCAAAACAUUAGAACAGAAAUUUGCAGGACUUCAAUGUCAGAUAUCCAAGACAAAGAUAAAAUAGAUCAGGUUCUUGGUCCAGUAGAUGGAAAAUUUUCUUAUUAAAUGCCCGUGGUAGGAAGAAAAAAAAUAAAAUUAUAAGAAGGCAUUGUUGCGUCUUACGUAAAGUUGGACAACAAAGGGCCUACUAGUUUUAGAUAACAUUGUUAUGUUUUAUUUUCUGUAUCAAUUACAAAAAUACCAACUUGCUUUCGGGUUUUCGAAGACAUUUAUAGGAAACGGUGAAAACAACUAGUUGUGUUGUUUUCACUAUUUACUGCAAAAAAAAAAUGUAAAUAAGCACAAAGUGAAAACAAAUUGCCAUUUAACAGAAAGUGUUUUCUGAAACCAAUUAGACCCUAGGGGCCUUUUGGGUUUCUGCACAUAUUUCUUGUUCCCAUUUUCUGUUAUCACAGACUUACACUAUGCUCUGUUUUCAAAGUUAACAAUGGAAAUGGUGAAAAAAAAUUAUGUACAGAACUUUUUAUAUGAAAACAAGGUGACAUUUUCGUGAUUAAAAUUGAAAACAGAAAUUGGAAACCAAAUCAUGCCCUUAAUAUUGCUAUCUAAGCUCUUCUUUAGUCUCUGACAAAUAAGAAAUCCAAACUCCAGAAUGCAUUUUAGAAAGAACAUUUUCAUGUUAUCAAAUGUAAAAUGAAAAGCAGAAUUCUUUUUGUAGACAAAUCAUUUAGAGAAAUUGUAUAUACCUGGGGCUUCACUUCAACGAUAAACUGACCACUCUUUGCAGCAACAGGCUCAUUGGCCAAAACACUUUCUAGAUGAUCUAACAUUUCCUUAGCCUGAGAUGAUCCAAAACCAAGGUCGGCAUCCCUGUAUUGCCAAACCAAAGCACUUUCUUUUCGUUCAAUGCUGGAACCGUCAGUUGCCUCUGUAUAUAGUUUCAUAACAGGUUCAGCAAUCUGCAUCCAUCCAAAAUCAGAGCAGUUACCACAAGUUUCCCAUUCACCGUCCUUGGACCACCUGAAAAUUGCUCAAAUUGUUAAUAAAUUGCCAGAUUAUAAAAAGCCGAGAACACAGGACAAAGUAGAUCAAUACAGUGAACAUUUAGGAAUUUAUGUUAGCAAAGUGUAAAUUUAGCUUCUAGAUCAAUGCAGAUCCAUACAUGGAGGAAGUAUUCAAAAAUAUUUUCAGCAAACAAAAUAUCACUUAACAGGAACUUCUCCCUGGCAUGACUGCCAAAGACAAAUGAUGUUCUCAACUCUGGUUUAAACAACAGUGUAAGAUGAGUUACUAACAGCAUUUACAAAACGAUACACAUGAGUUUCAAUUUACAGUAAAGCAUACACAAUCCAAUUGGACUUCAAACACUUUCAUCCCUACAUAAUAGCUCUUGUUCAAACUUAGGGAUGAAAGGAAGUUAUUGUCAUUUUCUGCAUUUAGACAAAAAGAAAUGGCACUUUCCAACUCUACAGCACAAGUUCAUAGUAUGAAGAUGCCUAACUAUUUUCACAUAAUUCAUAAGUAAUUUCUGAGCAACUAAUACAAAGUAAAACAAAAUAAACAGAUGAAAUGUCAGAGAAAAAACGGCAAGAGAGAAAGUACAGACCUCAAGAAAUACCCAUGUUCUGCAGCAAUUCCAAGUUUUUUACAGGGAGUAAACCAUUCACUUAAGCUAUCCCUACCCCGUCCACUAACAAUGAAAACAACAUUUUUGGGGUCUGCACAGAGACUUUCCAAAAGAGAGAUGACCUCUUUGCUUGGACUCUUGUUAAUGGAGUUUUGUGGCAUCACAGUACCAUCAUAGUCCAACAAAAUGGCCCUACUCCUUGCCCUCUUGUAAGCUGAAACCAUAGCAUCAAUGGAGAGCUUUUUAAAGUUAGGGUCAAGAGCCACAACUCUAAAUCCAAAGCUAAGACCUAUUCCCCAACAUCUUUUUCUAAGAAGGUCCGUGCAAGCCCUCUCCAUGUCUUGCAAGAAACUACGUGACCAGUAAGCCACGUCAUGAGUGCUGACAUACCGAUAAUGCUUUUCAUGCCGCAACUGCUUCUCUCCAUCACUCAUUGAAAUGGCUUCAUUCAUUGCCUCCGCAGUUGCUUCAACAUUCCAUGGAUUGACACGGAUAGCCCCACUUAGCGAUGGAGAACACCCAAUAAAUUCUGAUAUUACAAGCAUGCUCUUCUUUGGGCUAUUCGCAUUGGAACUUGAUUCAGGACCAGAUAUUCCCUGUCUACAAACAAUAUAUUCAUAAGGAGUUAGGUUCAUCCCAUCCCUUACAGCUGUGACAAUAACACACUCAGCAAGGCUGUAAUAGGCAACUUUUUCAGUAAUUGGAACCGAUCUGUCAAUAAAAACAAUAGGUUCAUAACCAGGCCGUCCAAACACUCUGUUGAUCCUGCUGCAACUUUCUUCUAUUUCAGAAUGGAUUUCAUCUACGUGUAUCCCUUUACCUCUAGCAGGGUUAACUAUCUGGACUAAAACAGCUCUUCCUUGCCAUUUGGGGUGUUGUUUCAGCAUCUGCUCCAUAGCCAGAAUCUUCAAAUUUAUACCUUUAAAAAUGUCCAUAUCGUCAAUACCAAGCAAAAUGGUUUUUCCUUCAAAUUGCUGUUUGAGCUCCCUUGCUUUACACUCCUCAUCCGACAUCCUCAUAACAGAUUCAAUCCGACCCAUGUGAAUCCCAACAGGCAUGAUCUUAAUACUGAUAGUCCUCCCGUAAUAUUCCAAUCCUAGAUAACCCCUCUUUGACUGAUACUCUAGACCCAACAUACGACUGCAGCAGGAAAGAAAAUGACGAGCAUAAUCGAAAGUAUGGAAUCCAAUGAUAUCAGAAUUUAGUAAAGCUUUAAGUAUCUCCUCCCUGACAGGAAGAGUCCUAUAUAUCUCCGAUGAUGGAAAGGGGCUAUGCAAGAAAAAUCCCAUUUUAACCCUGUUAAAACGCCUUCUUAGAAAAGUUGGCAGCACCAUCAAAUGGUAAUCAUGAACCCAAAUAUAAUCAUCCUCCGGGUUUAUUAUUUCUACUACCUUCUGAAAGAACAGCUUGUUUGCCAGAACAUAGGCUUCCCACAAAUGGCGAUCAAAGCGGUGGCUUUUAUCAGUUGAAAACGGUAACUUGUAAUGAAAAAGUGGCCAUAACUGCCUUUUGCAGAAGCCGUCGUAAAAGUUUGCCAAAACAUCAGGAGGCAGAAAAGUGGGGACGCAUUUGAACUUCUCCAGCAAAUACUGCGAUACAUCAUCUUGUUCAGCAGGAUCAAUGUCAACGCGCAAAGACCCAACAUACAAAACUUCCAUCUCUUCUGGAAAUCCAUCCUUAAGCUGUAAUAGCAAAGAAUCCUCAUUCCAACUAAAAUUCCACCCUUUGUUGUCCUCUCUUUUAUUAGCUUUCAAAGGUAGCUGAUUUGCUACAAUGAUGAUUCGAUCAGUAGUAAUAGUUGACGGAUUAUCCGAAGAAACACUUACUGCCUGAUCAUCAUCCACCUCUGAGACAAUCCCCGGGACACUCAUAACCCUCGGCAUCCGCCUUCGUUCUUUAAACUCCCUCCCCGAUCCUGAUCCCAUUGCUGGGAAAUUCCCAGAAGCCAAAUCUAAAAGGUUUGUAUACGAUCUGGACAUCAUCUUUACGUCCUUCCAAAAAAUACACACUUCUCCACAAAAUCUUCACUCUGCAAAAUUGCCAAAUACAACAAAAAACACAAAAAUCAUUAAUCACGAACAGGACAAAAACAAUCAUACUCAAAACCAACAAAAAAAAACACAUUCUCUUACAUCAAGACAUGAAAAUAUCAGAGUCAUGACCAACAAAACACACACAUUCUCUUACAUCAACACAUAAAAACAGUAUCAGUGAAUUGAUAAUCAAAACACACUAUUUUAUGCUCUGACCCUUCCCGAAACAAAUGAUCACAGUUUACCAAAAUGCAGAUACAUCAUCACAUACAAUCAGACGUUAAUUUUCUAAGAAAAGUUUCAAUUUUUACACACUACAUACAAAAGCCCCAAAUUCUAUACCCCUAAAACGGGUUACAUCACAAUGAGUAUACAUGAACAAAUACCCUUCACAUAAAGAGACAAAAAAACGCAUUAAACAAUCAAAACGCAACGAUUCUCCCUACAAUAAGAUCGAUAACAAUAAAACUCGAUUAAAAACUAAUAAACCUAAAACUUCAAUUUUCCCUUAUGAUACAAAACAAUGAAAUUGAAAACUGACCUUGUUGGAUUGAAGCAAUGGUUAUUGGUAACAGUAGCAGAUUGAGAUUGAAGGUGAAUUAAUCUGAAAAAUUAUGAAAAUAACCGAAAAAAGAAAAAACUAGGGUUUUCUUAUUUACACAACAAGAUCUCCCUUCUUUCUCUUUCUUUCUCUCAGAAAACAAAAAAGAAAUUGAAUUAUGAUUAUGAAUUAGAAAAAAGCGUUAUUGAAUGAAAUAUAAAAGUGGAAGAUUCACAGAAUUAAUAAAAUAUUGACAUGUUGAUAAUUAAUUAAUUGACAAUAUUUGAAAAGAUUUUAAAAUUUAAUUGUUUAUUGUUUUUAGCACAAGUUAAUCGUGAACUCUUAUUCUUAUCUAAUGUUUCGUACAGUGACAACUAAUAUGUUGAAGAGCUUACGUCACGGACCAAUAGGAAUUUUAAGUCACAAUUUUCAUUUGGUCCACAUUUUUUUUAUCAAAUAGUCUAAAAGAUAAAAAUUCACUUUUGUUUUUCUAAAAAAAAAAAAAAUCACUUUUUUAAAAUGAAUAAGUUAGUGUACGAGGUUCAAACCCUAGUGUUACAUAUAUUAUGUAUUAUGUAUUGUGAUAUUAGUUGAGUCAAAUUUAAAGUAAUUUUUUAUAUUUCGAUCUUGCUAAUCAGUGUCCUCAGGGCAAUGAUUAAGGAAUCUAUAAAUAAAAAUUUUGUCUAAAAAAUAUAAGAUGUUACUUUUGAUAAAUUCAUUUGGUCUAUAUUUUUAUCAAAUAGUCUAAUAAAUAAAAAUUCACUUUUUUUCUCUAAAAAAAAUUCACUUUUUAAAAUGAAUAAGCUGGUGUACGGGGUUCAAACCAUAUUGUUACAUAUAUUAUGUAUUGUCAUAUUAGUUGAGCCAAAUUUAUAGUAAUUUUUCAUAUAUCGAUCCUGCUAACUAGUAUCCUCAGGGCAAUGAUUAAGGAAUCUACCAAUAGAAAUUUUGUCUAGGAAAUAUAAAUGUUACUUUUGAUAAAGUAAUGAUUACACAACUUUUUCAUAAAAACUUACUCCCUCCGGUCACUAUUCUAUUAUAAGCAAAAAAACUAUUUUUUAGGUUCAUUGAAUGAGUGAUGUAUGUGACCAUUAAUAUAGACCACAUACAUCAUUUAUUCAAUGAAUCUAAAAAGUAGUUCUUUUUGCUUAUAAUAGUGACUAGAAGGAGUACUUGUUUAAAUGCUUAAUUAUUACUUGGGUAAAUACUUCUUUUUGUCCCUGUAAUAUUAGUGAAUUUCGAUUUUAGUCCCUGUAAAAAAAAAAGAUUUAGAUUUUGUCCCUGUAAUUUCAUAUUCUUCCACUUUUGGUCCCUCAUUCCACCACGUAAGCAGAAUUUGCAUACAUGGUACGUAAAAUGAAGGACCAAAAGUGGAGGAAUCUGAAAUUACGGGGACCAAAAGUGGGAGAAAUCUGAAAUUACAAGGACGUAAUUUAUGUAGAUUCUAUUGACUUGAUGAAAGGAGGGACCAAAAGUAGAAGAAUCUGAAAUUACAGGGACAAAAUCUAAUUUUUUUUUUUUACAGGGACUAAAAUCGAAAUUCGCUAAUAUUACAGGGACGAAAAGAGAUAUUUACCCUUAUUACUUUUGAGGUAUUGGUUAGCAUUCUCCUUUAUAUUUUUAUAACCAAAAAAUUGUUUGCUUUAACCCCGUUAUACACUUUAUAAUCAUUAUGAUAACUAAAAAAAAUCACAUUAUAAAUUUAUUAAAUAAUUGAUUUAUCUGAUUUGAGUUGUGAUAUUUAAACAUCCAUUUAUAUGAUAAUUUUGAAGACAAUUAAAAUUUUAAAAAGAAAACGAGACAUUGACACAAAAAUCAAAACAAUCGAAAAAAAAAGUUAAAAACUUAAUGUAAAUAUAAAAAGAAAAUUGUUUAUAAAAAAAAUGGUUGAUAUAUAAAUAUAAUUUUCAUAAAAUAAAAGUGGCUAAUAUAUAUCCAGGGAGACAAUAACGUAAUUGUGAUGAUUGGUGUGUAUUGGGGUGACCAAUGAGAUUGACAGUGACGGAGGAAUGCGAGGGGGAGGUGGGUGAGUUUAUCGGAACUUUUAAUUACGAAUUGGAUAAGGUAAUGAUAGCCGAGUGAGCCGACCCAAAUGCCAGCUGGCAACACCCGAGGUAGAGGUUUGACCACGCGCUAAGCACGUGUUUGAGAAAGUAACGCGUUGCGUUGGAUAAUGUAGACAGUACGGUUGGUGCGUCAUUGAGGUGUAGUCACGAUGUGGAGAAAGGGUGAAAUGGGGAUUGUAUGUUUUUGGGAAGUGAAAAAUCACCGCAGAGGAUAAAGUGAAAAAAAGUUUCUAGAUAAGACAACGAGGUAUGAUCUGGCGUUGCGUUAUCCGUUUUAUUCCAUGAAUUAAAUAUUGUCACUGGUUAAAUUUUGACAACAAAAUUCACAAGACACUGUAUGAAUAAAUAGGAAAGGAAAACAUGGGAGUAUUUUUUACAAGAGAGAGAAAUGUUAACAAAAAUAGUCCGGGCACUCAUUAAGAUUUUAAAUGGUAACCUUUUAAAAAAAGUUGUGUAAUAAAAUCUAUUGAAAAUUGUAAAUUUUAACAUUUUUUAAAAAAUUAUUUAAUUUAAAAAGCUUAAAGAGUUCCCGAACGCGCUCGUUAAUAAGACCAUAUUUACGAUGAUUAAAAGUGUAAAAAAAAUGUUGUUUUUAAUGUAAAACUUUUUUUUUUUACGAUAAUUAAAUCAUUCUACAACAUCAAGUUGUAUGACUUGCCAUUUAAAAUAUGUCACAUCAUAAUUUUUUGGCAUAAAAAUAUGAAAAUAAAACCACAACUAAGUGAUUUUAAAAUUGAGGGAUUAAUUCUAUGAGUGAAUGAAAAUAGGGAGACAAAAAUUGUAAUUAAGCCUGUAUUUUUAUUUUUAUUUUUAUAGAAAAAGGAUAAAUAAAUGGUGUUAACUAUUGAGUUCUCUUAAGGUGAAUGAGACAAUGAUAGUAUGAAAUUUGUUUGCAAGAUAAAUAUAAUUUGAUCAAUAAUUAUCCUACAAAUACUAAUUCCACAAAUAGUUGUGCGCAUAUUUUAAAUUUGAAAAAUAUGAAUCAAACACUGUAGUAUUUUGAUGCAAUCCAUAAAAAAAUCUUCAUAUAGUAAUGACUAGAUUCCUCAAGAAUUAUCUAGGAGACAUGAUUGAAUGUGAAAAAAAGAAACGUUUAUAAUAGAAAAAAUUUGUUUUUGUGUGUCAACCAUGGCAUUCUUAGAGAAAAAAGAUUUGUAAUCUCGAGUUUCACUUGAAAGUAAGUAAAGUCUUAUUAAAAAUUGUUCCACUUAAAAAUUCGUCAUUGAUGUAAAUAAUUGACCAUUUGAGUUUAAUUAUUUAAUUCAUAAAAAAAGCUUUUUAAAAUAUCUUAAAAUCCUAGUUCCAUUGAAUUUAAAGUUAAAUAAAAUCAUAAUGAAUUUAAAGUUAAAUAAAAUGAUAAAAACACGUGAAAAAAAAAACUAUUUUUAUUAAGGAAAAUGAUAUUUAAACAUUCAUCUUGUGACAACAUUUAUGACAAUUUUUCUUUUAUACUUACAUUAUUUUUUAGAGAAAUGAUAUUUGUACAAUCAAUCUUAGAAAACUUUUGUGACAAUCACUUUUCCUCUUUUCUUAUUAGAUAAAAACAAUAGAGAGAGAAAGAAGAAGUGAGAGAAUAAAAACACAUGUGAGUAUGGGAGAUAUGGUCGUUCCAAAAGUUGUCAAAAGUGGUUGUACAAAUAUAAUUUCUCUAUUUUUACUUUAUCUCUCUAUUGUUGUGAUUUUCGUGCAAAUGCAUAUUUUUUUCUUUGUAAAUUAUAGUUGUCUCAUGAUUGUCAAUCAACUGGUUGUUCAAAUAACAUUGCACUUUCCUUAAAUUGUUUAAUAACCUGCUUCAUAAGUACUUAUAUUAGUUACUCUCAUAUGGUCUAAUCAAAAGCAUAAACAAAGUUACCAACGAGAAGUCAACAAAACACAUUCCGAACUAAAAUACCACCAUGCUGCCUUCUCGCGCGCUCUAUAAAAUUUACUAAAAUACCCCUGCUCCGGAUUACAUAUUCCGGACCAAAUUGUUAGUUAUUUCUGGAAACAGAAAUCUGGACCAGAUGUUAUGUAAUUCUCCGUGUCUUUCUUUGAUGUCAAGGAUCUCUGUUGACCGUUAUAUGAACCCCACACAAGCUGCAAUGCAUUGCAAUUGCAGGGUUCCUAUGAACGGUCAACAAUGACCAUGACACCAUCAACACCCCUAAAAAACUAAAAAACAUUUGAAGAAAAUGGAAGAAAAGAGGUGAAGUGAAGAAUGAAGGUAUUUGUUGAAGAUGGAAGCCUAUUUAUAGCCUAAAACAAGUCAUAGGUCAUUAAUACAGUCAAUGAGAUCGUGUUAGUGGUUGUAACCGUCCAAACCCACAAUAAUGGCUCUGAAUCUUUCCGGAGUUUACAUUCCGGAAUGUCCUUAGCCCUACAGGAAGUGCCAACUUUUCUCUCGUUCACCACCAUUAUCGCAUUAAUCCGGAAAAUAUAUUCCGGAAAACAGGUGUGCAUUCCAGAGUUUAUAUUCCGGAAUGCAUCAGUCAUGGCCGGUGGUCUGCACCGCACAUUUUUGUUGGUGGUCAAGUAAAAAAAACAUGGUAAAACGCAUUUUUUGACUGCAUUUAUGGCCUCCCAACCGUUUUUGACUCACCCUCCCUAUAAAUAGCCUUCCAAACCCCACCAUUUCUCACACCAUCCUCUCCCACCCUAUCCUCCUCUUCUUUCUUCUACAAUCAUGGUUUUCCAUCGUUGGCCUUUCAUAGAUAAGGGCCUCGUUGAAAACAUUCAGGGUUUGUAUGAACGAUCAAUGAGGAUGGAACCGCGCUGUAACGAAGCGCGGUUCAUCUGAGGGUCAUGUGGGUCAGUGUGGUUCUUAACUUGGUCUGUUUGGGCGUAAGUUUGAGCACCCCCCAUCUCCCUCAGGGGCAUUGUUCUCUUCUUCCCCUUCCCUCCUCCUCCGGUUUUCCUCCAAUAGGCAAACUACUGGUAUGUCCCAGCACAUACCAGUGGUUAGGCUCUUAGGAAAUUAGAAUUAGGCUCAUAGGAGAUUAGAAAUAGAUUUAGGAUCUUAUGUAAUAAGCUUAAAAAGCUUGAAAAUUAUUGUAAUGUAUUGUUUAUAUAUUAAUAAAAUGAGUUGUUUUUAUGUUUGUGUCUUUUUAUUUUUGUUUUUUAUUUUAUUUGCAUUUUAUUUUACGAAUUUUGAAGAUUAAAAUUGCAAAAGUUAUGGUAAAAUAUUAUUAUGAAUUUUCAAAUCCGGAAAAAUCUGCAAAAUUCCAACAAUGCAAUUCGGAAAACGAAAUACAGACUAGGGGUAAAAUUGGAAGAAAAAAAUAGGGCGCGCGAGGAAAGACAUAGGGUGGGAAAAGUAAUAGUCAUCACAUUAUGCACAAACCAACCCCAAAACACAAAAAAUUCAAUCUCUAUGCCACUUUUCUAAAUUUCGCGUAUAUUACAAGGUCAUAAUACGAAGAAUCUCAAUAAAAUGCGUUUUUAUCUUCACAUGAUAAUUUUUCAAGCUUCGUGUAUAUUACAGGUUCAGAUUAAACAAUUUACUAUCAAAUAACCAAUUAAAAUGUAUCAUGUUGUACCCAAAAAAAAAAGUGUAUCAUAUAUUGUGUCAUUACUACUUUUUUGGUCAGGUAGUCUAUUGGCUGGAUCUCACACAUUUUUAAUGUUGAGAAGUGGGGUGACCGGGGUUCGAACUCCAAUCCCAUAUAAUAUAUAUUUGUCCCUACUAACUGAGUUAAACUCAAGGUGAUGUGUCAUUACUACUUUUUUUUUUUGAAGCAAUGUCAUUACUACUUUUGAAAACAAAUAUUAUACUGUACCUUACUUUAAUUGAGAUAAAUAAAUUAAUUGACUUCUCUAAAAACAAACACUUUGACAAUUGAGAUAAAUAAAACCCAAAGAUAUCUUCGUGAAUUUAACUCAAUUAGUAGAUAUAAUAUAUAAUAUAUGUAAGGUUUGAGGUUCAAAUCUCGGACAAAAAAAAAUAAGGAAAACUCAAAGAUAAUUGAGAAUACAAAUUAGAAGUACAUUAUUUUUUUUUUCAAGAAAAAACUUUCACGUUUUCUCAAAAAAAAGAAAAAACUUUCACGUGCAAUGGUUGAAGUUGAAAACUGAAGAUUUUUUGUUGUUGAUAAUUUCUGUUUUUCCCUAUAAUAUAUUUUUGGCUAUAUUACAUUGGAUGUCAUUUAAAUUAUUUAAUUUUAAUAAAUUAGCUUUUAAGUUUUUUCAUAUCACUUACGUCCUUUAAGUUAUUUAAUUAUAACAAGUUAAUCAUUUAAGUAUUGUUUGUAACACUUAGGUUCUUUAAGUUAUUUAAUUGUAACUUUUAGGUCUUGAAUAACUUACAUUUUUAAGAUCUGAAAUCCUAAAAAUUGAUAUGGUAAAAUAGCUUAAAUGACCUUAUUGGUAGGAAAAAACUUAUAGGAUUAACUUGUUACAACUAAUUAACUUAAAAGACCUAAAUGGUACGAAAAUAAUUUAAGUGGACAAAUUUAUUACAAUUAAAUAACUUAAAGAACCUUUGAUGUAAUCUAACCUAUAAUAUUUUUAAUCUCUGUAAUUAUGUUUUGUUUUGUUUUCCUGUCCCAACAUGGUAGUCAUCCAUUCAAAGAUGAUAUGAUAUUGACAACUUAGUGCCAUGUAACAUCCAAAAUAUGAUGUGGCAUGCCACAUCAAUAUGCCACAUCAUCUAAAUUGAAUGAGAAAAUGUAACAAGAACUAAAACAAUAAGAGACCAAUCAAGAUACUAAUACCAAAUCACUUCCAUAUACUAGAGACCAAACACACAAAUAACCUAUGAAACCAUGCAUGCCGCAACAAGCAAUCGAGUACCGUCAAAUACUACUUCUUCCGUCUCAUUAUAAUUGUCUUUUAAGGAUUGAGUGCGAUUCUUAAAAAAAACAAGUAGUUGAGUUAAAUUUUAAUGGUAAAAUUAAUAUCAUUUACUACUAAAAACAUCUAUUAAUUUAAGGUUCAGAGUUUUAGGGUUUAUGGUUUGGAGUUUAGGAUUUUUCCGUCCCUACGACAUGGUGGUCAUCCAUUCAAUGAUGAUAUGAUACCCAAAAUAUGACAUGGCAUAUGCCACAUCAUCCAAAUUCAAUGAGAAAAUUUAACAAGGACCAAAACAAUAUAAUGUUGGAUUACAAAAAUAUUAGAGUCCAAUCAAGAUAUUAAAACCAAAUCUCUUCUCUUCCAUAUAUUAGAGACCAAACACGGAAAUAACUCAUUUUUUUUAUAAAGGAAGACCAAACAGGCAAUCAAGCACCGUCAAAUGCUACUCUCUCUGUCUUGUUAUAAUUGUCUUUUAAUAUAAUUUACUACUAAAAAUCUUUAUUAAUUGUUGUUAGUAGAAUAGUUAAGUGAAGUGAAGUGAAUUCAAUAAAUAAAGAUAUAUCAGUAGAAAAAAAUAAUAAAUGUUGUUUUGAUAUUAUAAAAUGACAAUUAUUGAAAGAGGGAAAAAAUGUUAAAAUGAGACCAAAGGAAUACUAUUUUGUGUCAAAUAGACUUACACGGUGUCCAAAACAUGUUGCUCCAAGAAAUUAGCUGUGGCUACUGGCUCUAAAGAGCACUCCAAUCUCUUUGUAAAUCAAUUGGAACCAACAUUCCAACUACUACAUUAAUUAUCAUUUGAGUUAUACCACGUAUAUGGCAUGCUUCCCGUGGCAAAUCAACUUGUGUUUUAAUUGCAAAAAUAAAAUCUAUGGGGGGGACGAUGAAAAGGAAAUCCAACAAUGAUAUAAACAAGAGUAAAAUUGCUCAAAAGCAUGGUAGGUCUUUACUGACUAGACAUUUAACACUAGAAAAUGUUUACACCAUCAAGAUGGUUUCAUUGAGAUUUUAUUUGCAUCUUUGAUUUUGUGUGCAAUAUAGAUUGGGAUAGUGAGAAUGAUGAUGAAGUUAACCUAGUUUAGUAGGAUUGCUUUCUAAUCAAAAUCCUAAAGUAUAGAAAAUUUGUUCCUUAAAAUAUAAGUGAUGAUGUUGAAUACCUUAACGUAAUUGGUAUUAAAUUAGUUACUGUUAGGAUCAACACAGAAACCAUUCAAGACAAUGGAGUCUCUCACUAGGAAUAGGAUUACUUCAUAAAAUAAUCUUGAGAAGACAAUAAUCAAUAACAAGUAGAAACUGUUAACCGAGUAUUGUAGCAUAAUUUUCUUCGAUAUGCUAAUAACAACUCUUAAAUAAUAGAACUAUUUUGAAGCUGUUUGGAGCUUUAAGUUGACGAAACUGGUUAUUGCGAAAGUCAAAGCAGAUGAUGUUUGCAGAACUACUUCUAUUCGUAAUCCAAUGAUAAACACCGUUAGCAAGAGUGUUGUAUCUUGAAGGUUGUUGCGUGUCACCGAAGUAAGAGGAGGCUGUUGAGAUUUUGUGUCCAUGAUUUAGUGCUUAAAUUAUAAACUUCUGUUAAUGAAAGAUCCGCCACAAUGGUAUCAGAUAAACCGAGCUUAACAACUUUGAAGUCGUUGUUAACAACACCAAAACCAUACAAGCAUUCAUCGAUGUAACAGGUACAGAGUGACGGAGCUCGAGGAAUGAGGUGGACCUCAUUAGUUCCACACAAUCAACUGAUCAUGAUUAGUCUUGUGUAGGUAAUUGUUGAUCGGUUGAAUUCUUGCUACCUUUGAUCAGUAUAUAGAACUCUAAAGGGAUAAAGAUUGAGAAUAAGUAAAAAAAACUUUAUCAAUUUAAAAAUAUCAAACUGAUUGUUAAUUAAAUCUUGAUAUAAAAACUGACUUGAUAAAAAUAUCAUUACUAUUAAACCAGCCACCUCACAUUCUCAGUUCUCAAAUCAAGCCUUGAUCCACUUGCCUUGCUGUCUCCAUGAUGUGGAUUUACUUUGUAAAGGCAUCAACUGGAGAAAGCUUAACAACGUAACAUUCUCAUUAUCGCUGCUAUAGCCACCACUACCUCUACCCCGACCAAUCCGUCUCGCAUUCUCAAUGCUUCCAUUACCUUUAAACUAUCUUGUAGCAAUUACUGUGCUUGGAAACACCAAUCACCUACUUUUUUCUCUGCGAUCCAAAUAAUGGGCCAUAUUGUUGGAACCAUACUAUCUCAAUCGUCCACAAUUGUUUGAGAUGGCAUCUCCCUUAACCUUGAAUACAUCAAGUGAUUCAGCAUUGAUUAACUGGUCAUUAAUUUCUCUCUUUCGUCCAUGACAUAACAGAAGCAGGAAGUCUAUCAUUUGCCUCAUAUGAUAUUGCUCGAUCUUUGUGUUCACAAUUGAAUCUCGGUAUGUGAACACAUCACCUUCUCAUGUUAUGUCCGUAAACAAUCAACUUCAACUCUGCACAAAGGGAGAAAAAUCAAUCACCGAUUACUUGUUGUUCUCAUUUAGAAGUCUUGCGGAUGAACUUGUUGUUAUUGAUUGAACCCUUUUAGAUGAUGAUUUUACCCUUCAUAUUAUGAAUGGUCUUUGCACUUAAAAUCGCGGCACUUCAGACUCCAUUCGCACAUGUCAACACCCCUUUGCUUUUGAGGAGCUUCACAGCCAUCUACUUGCUCACGAUGACUACCUUCGUCAUUAAACACAAACUGAUAUACAAGUUCCUUUUGCAAAUUUUGCAAUGCUGCGGCGGCAAAGACGGUCUUCUCCCAACACCAUCUCAUGGUCGUGACUUCUUCAAUAAUAAGCCAUCUCAAACAAACGCAUCUUUCUCUUCUCGCAGUACAUAGCUCUCAUUUUCUUAAAACUCGUGGCUUUACCUCGUUGCAACAGACCUCCAUCAAGAUGCAAAUAUUACUCCCUCCUUGGUCACAAUCUCCCACUGCCUUUGCAACCACCUGCUCAUCCUCUCUUUGGCAUGCUCAUUUCAGUCAUUUCUCCUAAAAAAUUCUCACUCGAAUGUUGUCUCUCAACAAAUUUUGAUAAUAAAAACUCUGUAAUGUGUCAUAUUAAAAAAAACAUGAACUUCUGUUUUCUGUAUGUCCAUAAAAACUAGUUGUCCUCUUGAACUCAUUUUUUCUGAUGUUUGGAGACCCUCUCCAAUUAACACUAUCAGUGGAUACAAAUAUUAUCUUGUGUUCGUUGAUCAUUUUACUAGAUAUAAAUGGAUUUAUCCCCUAAAAAGUAAAAUUGACGCUUCUUCCAUUUCCCCCAACUUUUCACAAAAGUUAGAACAUAUUUUGCGCAGAAAUUAAAUCCAUUUACACUGACAGUGGCAUUGAAUAUUUCAAAUUAAAACCAUACUUAAAAUCACAUGGAAUAUCUCACUACACCAGUUCCCCAUAUAUUCUUGAACAUAUUGGCAUUGCUGAACACAAACAUCACCACUUAACAGAAACAUAUGUCACUCUCUCAUCGCACUCUUCUGUUCCACAAAAAUUAUGGUGCUUUUCCUUUUUAAAUGGAAAUGUUGCUUUUGUGUUUAGAAAAAUACCUUGAAAGGAAAUAUACCACCGAAGAGAUUAUCGGGUUGGGUCACGACCAAGUCGCUCUCUUCAAGACGUUUCACAGCACACUGCCCAAAGUUGUGCAAGGUAGACUAUCAACAUGUGUCUGUAAAGCUCUAAAGUCACUUAAUUGGUAUUGUGCAAUGCCAUGAGCAUAAAAUUUGAUACCUUAGUCCACUAAAGAACAUGGGAUAUGGUUCCCUAACCUCACAAUACUAAUCUCAUAGGUUGCAAAUGGGUUUAUGAGUCAAAAGAAAGUCUAAUGGUGAUAUUUAAAAAUACAAAGAUCGAUCUGUAGCCAAGGGUUUUCAUCAAUGACCCGAGCUUGAUUAUAAUCAUACAUUAAUUCUUGUUGUAAAGCCAACAACAAUAAGACUGGUUCUCUCCUUAACACUACAAAACAAUUGCCACUUCGUCAACUUGAAGUGAAUAAUGACUUUUUGAAUGUUCUCUAAGCAAAGAAGUCUAUAUGCAACAACCUUGAGGUUUCAUUCAUCCAAACAGAUGACAACAUUUGUCACCUACGAAAGUUUAUUUACGGCCUAAACCCAACACACCACUUGCCUGGUUCAAAACCUUGUGUAAAUUUCUCUAUGACUAUGGGUUUGUGAACUUCAAAUCCGACUCUUCUUUGUUCAUUCUCAACAACAAAUGUCUUGUUUUAUAUGACUAUGGUUUUCUCGAUGACUGGUGAGUUGCUUUUAUAGCAGCAUAAAAAAUAAGUACUCAAAGUAUCAUAUCCACAAGGACUCGUGCGAUACAAAAGUUGUUCAAUAAUUAACACUGUUCUGAGUAAGGAAAGUGUUUAUUUAAACAUAUAUUUCAGUUUGUUCAGUUUAAUCGAUAAAACAAUAAUAGAGAGAUCAUAUUGUCGGGACUAGCGGAUUUGACAACAUUAUGAAAAGUGACAAUUUGGGACUUUCUGCCUGCCCUUUUCUUUCACUUCGUCAUCAAGCUCCAAAAACCACAAUAAUUGAAGGGAAUCAGGGAAAAAAAAUCUUUAAUUGGCAUUAUAAGUAUAAGGACUUUAUAUUUGCAUGAUUUAUAUGAUUUUUCAUGAUAUUACUUGUAAAACAAGUUAAUAAGUGUUGUGAAUAAGUAUGUAAAAAUAACCGAAAUUUGACACUUAUCAAUGACAUCAUCAACACCACAAGAAAUUCCAUUGUCAAAGUAGGUGAGUGCUUUGCAUUCCUUGGUACAUCAUUCUCUAUCAACGAUUUAGGGCACUUGUACUACUUUCUUGGUGAAGAGGUCAUCCCUACAGCUAGCAACAUGUUUAUUUCUUAGCCAACAUAAAUAUAUUGAAGACCUUCUUGAAGGAACUGAAAUGUUAGAAGCCAAGCUUGUUCUUAUUCCAUUGUACAAAGAUGACGACUUACAAAGUUCUGAUGCCACCUUCUAUCGCAAAAUCAUUGGCAGUCUACAAUAUUUAACUAUGACUCGGCCUGAUAUUCUCGGUCAACAAAUUGGUAUAAUUCGUGCAAAGAUCAACCACUACCCAUUUAAAUGCAUUGAAGAGGCUUCUACACUACAUUGAAGGAACUAUCUUUCACGGUUUUCUUCUUCAAAAACCAACAUCUUCUACCCUCAUUGCCUAUAGUGAUGUUGACUGGACUGGAAACAAAAAUGACUACACCUCUACUUCUGCUCACCAAGUUGUUUAUUAUGGUUCAAGUUUAAUCUCAUGAAAAUCCUAAAAGCAAUGGGUUAUGGCAAGAUCUCCCACAAAAGCUAAAUAUAGAACUCUUCCAAACUCCGCAACAGAAUUAUCCUGGAAACAUUCUCUAAUAGUAGAAUUAGGUGUCGCCACUUCAAAGACUCCAUCACUGUCUCACUGAUAUCACAGACUAAGAUUCGAGGGUUGCUCAGAAUUAUCCUGGAAACAUUCUCUAAUAGUAGAAUUAGGUGUCGCCACUUCAAAGACUCCAUCACUGUCUCACUGAUAUCACAGACUAAGAUUCGAGGGUUGCUCGGAAAUAUUGAAGUUACCACCAAAAAUCUUAAAUAAGGAAAAACAUUAAAAACCUUUAACCUUUAAACCUUUGGUUGGUGUAUUUUAUUUAGGAGUAGUCAUCAAUUUUAAAAUUUGCACGGUGACCAAACCAAAAUGGAUUAGGUGUAAUCACCACUAGUUUUUAUUUUAAAAUAUUUGUGAUGAUUCAAUCAAAGGAGGAUUUGGAGUUGUCAUCAAUUUCGGAAUUUGCAUAGUUACCAAACUAAAAGUGAAUUUGAAGCGAUUAAGAACACACAGAUAAGGGACAAAGUUUAUUCCUCAACGUUAAUUGCUUGAAGAAAGGGAAACAAGGUUGAGGACUAUAACCUGAUACCUAAGCUAAAUUUCUAUUUCGAUUACAAUAAUAUAUAAGCUUAUUUGAGAAAUCACACUAGCUACUUUGGGAGCUGUUAAUGCAGUGGUAGAAAACUUGACUGUAAGCUGAUACUCGUAACACACAUGAAUUGAUUUAUAUACUUCAGCAUUGUCUAUACACUCUACAAUCCACAGUUGUUGCUAUUAUCAUAACGUGAUUAGGUCGACAGAAGGCUAAAUAUAAGUAACAUGUUAUUCACCUAUCAUAUCCUUCCUUAUUUUUUCUAAAACUAAUCAAAAUCCUGAAGUAAGCUUUUACAGAAAGAAAUCCUAAACUAAUCAAAAUAUAUAAGCGAUGAGGUUGACAACCUUAAAGUAAAUGGUAUUAAAUUAGUUACUGUUAGAAUCAAUACAGAAGCCAUUCAAUUCAGUGGAGACUCUUACUAGAAUUACUUCAUGAAAUUAUAUCUCGAGAAUUCAAUUAUCGGUAACAAGUAACAAGAUUAUAUGCUAAAGUCAAAAAUAAUAGAAACACAAUAAUGAAAAGAUAAUUUGAUUCCAUGAUAUUGAUCAAUGAUCAUAGUAAAAGUAACGACGAGAGUAGAAAUGAUAUGCUAUAAACCAUAAGUUCAACACUCAUCUCAAAAUGACUAAAGAUUAUAUGCUAUAAGUUAGCAUAACUAAAAUUGGUAGCAUUGUGAUUUUGGUUUUCAUGUAUAUAUUCACGUAGCAUUUGCUUAGGUAGCUUUAUGGUCUAAGUUUUGAAUUAAUUCCAAGUUAUGUCAAUAACACAUGCCAUCAUCAUACAAAAAAAUUAUAAAUAUCAGAUCAGUGAUAAUUUUGAUGAGCAAUCUACGUUACAUUACCUAGAUGCAUAACCUUACUACUUUAAGAAGCAAACAGUAAAUUACUUAUAACAUCAUCAAAACUUAUAUGAAGGAGCAUGUGUGUACAUGUUAUGUCAACUACUAAUACAUGAGAUAUUUACCAGUUCUUAUUAAAGCAUCAAAUUCUUAAGGGAGCAACUUAAUACUAAGAUCAAUCAAAAUAAAACUCAACAAGCAGUAAAAAAGUAAAUAUAAUCAUUGUUUUGUAUGGCAAAGAAAAGAAAACUGCUUAUCCUAUAUCCUUUUCUUCUUCUUUCCUCAGUCUAAACUCUCAUCAUUAUUUGUUUGUCUCAACAUAAUAGUACUUUAAAUUAAUAAAAAAAACUAAUACCUUCAUCCAUCCAUGACACUUCCUCAUUCUUUCUAAAACUAAUGAAAAUCCUAAUUAAGUAACCUUUUACAUAAAAUCUUGUAAGAUUGUAGAAAAUUUUCUAAUUUUAUUUUAUAAGUGAUGAGGUUGACAACCUUAAAGUAAUUGUUAUUGCAUUAGUUUAUUGUUAGGAUUAGGAACAACACAGAAACCAUCAAGACAGUGGAGCCUCUUACUAAGGUUGCUUUCUUCAUGAAAUUAUAUAUUGAAAAAAUAAUAAUCAGUGACAAGUAACAACUCUCUACCAUUUAAACUGAGUAUUGUAGCAAUUUUCUUGUAUGUGACAAUAACAAUUCUUAAUAGAAAAAUCAAUAAUGAAAGAGAAAAAAGUCAAUUUAUUCCAUAAGAUUGAUCAAUGAUUACAACUCUUUUCAAACAGUUCUUAACACAAAGAAUUCAACACCUCUGCUAAUUAACACCAUCAACUGUAAUAAUAUAUUCUAGGCAACUACUUUGACAAUGGAGCCAUGCUUGGCACAUACUCGUAAUACCAAAAACAAGCAUUCUCUAAAGUAUCGAGUUGAAAUUGGCGAAGAACGUUUCCAUGAUGAUCGCAUGAUGUGAGCUGCCGCUGCCCAAACUCGCCUACAAGGAUUUCAGCACCAUCAUUCCAAAGACCAUAAAUAUGAAAAAUUGACAUUUUUGUAUCAAUGUUAUACUUUUUGGCCCACCCGUUUUGUUCCAGAGUCCAUAUUUCCAACCAAACGAUUCUACACCUAUAUUGCACAACAUAACCAAGAUAACCUUUUAUCUCAAAGACAUCAUCACAGAAAAAGGGGAUAUAGUGACCUAACUUUGGAGCUUCUAGUUUCCGAAACUGGUUAUCGCGAAAGUCAAAGCAAAGGAUUCUUGCAGCAUCAGAGCCAUCAGAGCUUGUAAUCCAAUAAUAAACACCGUUAACAAGAGUGUUGUAUCUUGAAGGCUGUAUCCGUGUGACCAUAGUAAUAGGAGGAUGGCUGACGAGGGGGGUCCAUGAUUUUGUGCUUAGGUCAUAAAUGUCUGCCUUUAAAAGAGAAUUUAUUUUCGCCAUCCUAUUACUAUUAGAGAUGUUUAGUUUGACAACUUUGAAGUCGUCGUUAACAGCACCAAAACCAUACAAGGAUUCAUCAGAGUAAUGGUUACCGAGUGAGGGAGCGCGAGGAAUAAGAUGGACCUCUUUAGUUGUUGGGUUCCACAAAAUCAAUUGAUCGUGGCGAGUUAUGCAUGAGGAAAUACCUUUGAGACAAAAAACACCGUCGCAACUACCAUAAAUUUCAAUUCUUGCAACGUCUUGAGGAAACAAAGAUUUGAUGGGAAUUGAUUUCUGAUCAUUGCCUCCAUCACAGAAGAUAAACUUCAUGUUAGGUGCGUUUUGAAGGAUUAGAAGACGAUUUCUUCUAGUAGCAAAAUAGGGACUUUUGAUGAUAUUGUUCCAUGAUUUUUGAACACAUUUGAAACGCGACAAAGAUUUUGUUGGUAGCCGCAACAAUAUCUCUAUCUCCAAUUCUUCUCCAAGCUUCAUUCUCUCUAUGCUCAACUUAGUUUUUCUCAACCGACUGAAUUUUUUAUUGUGAACAAUCAAGUAACACAUUACCGAGGUUUAAAUAGAAGAGGGUCAUUCUAUUUUCGGAAUCCUGAACAAACUAAAAUUUAUAUAAAAGAUUAUGUUUGUUUUUAUUUUGAGAGGAGAUAAAAGAUAAAGAUAUCAUUUAAUUUAAUUUUAUUUCAAAGGAGAAAGUUAUCAACUAAUUUUUAAAAAAGAUAAAAUUGAUCGUAAUAGUAUUUUUUUUUUUUUAUCUAUAUCUAUUCUAUUCUUUAACAAUAUAUAAAGUGAAGUAUGAUUUUUUUUAAGUGGAUUUUUUAUUAUUUCUAAGUACGUGUUUUUGAAAAAGAUAAUAACUUUAUUUAUAUUUUUUUAUCUUGUUAGUAAAAGAUAAAUAUUUUAUUAAAAUAUGGUAAAAGAUAAACAUAAAUUGUUACUACUCCCUCCGUUCCUUUUGAUUUUAGGACUUUUUUUCUUCCUAUUAUACCCUCAUUUUAAUCAAGGAAUAAAUUUCUAACUUUUUGCACACACUUUCACUUUUCAAUAAAUUUAAUGCCUUAUUUGUCUCAUAACAAACAAUUGUUUGUUACUCUCCUUACUCCAACAAAUUCUUUUUUUUUUUUUUUGCAUACUUAAUCUCUCUCCCAUAACAAACAAUUGUCAAUAAUAUAAAAAUUGUACACGUUUUUUUAAUAAUUGUAAAGCAAAAUAAAAAUUAUUCCGUUUUCAUUAAUCAAAAUAGAAAAGAAAACUGCUGAUGCUAUAUCCUAUUCUUCUUCACCUUCCUCAGUCAAUACAAUACUAUCAUCCAUGUCUGUUUGUUACAACACAACUAGUACUUUAAAUUACUCAAAACUUAACACGUCCACCAUUCAUCCAUCUUCCUUCCUCAUUCUUUCUAAAACUACCUAAAAAUCCUAAAGCAACCUUUUACAAAAAUAAAAUAAAAAAUCUUAUAAGAAGAUAUAAUCCUUUCUUAAAAUAUAUUGCUUUCUUCAUGAAAUUAUAUCUUGAGAAGUAACAACUUUGUUCCAUUUAAACCGAGUAUUGAGAGCCCUUUAUCUCAAUGACAUCGUCAUCACAGAAAUAUGGGACAAAUUUGGGGCUUCAGGUUGCUGAAACUGGUUAUUGUGAAAGUCAAAGCAAAUAAUUUUUGAAGUAAAGUAAUCACUCGUAAUGUUAACAAGAGUGUUGUAUCUUGAAGGUAGUCGAUUAGUGACAACAGUUUGAGGAGGAGGACUAUUGAGGAUAGGUGUCCAAGAUUUAGUGCUUAGAUUAUAAACUUGUGACGAUAAAAGAUAAAGCAUUUUUGUAGUUUCAUUGUAAUUAGAGAGAUUGAAUUUGACAACUUUGAAGUCGCCAUUAACAGCAACAAACCCGAGUGAGGGAGCACGGGGAAUAAGGUGAACCUCAUUAGUUGUUGGGUUCCAUAUGCAAUCAAUUGAUCGGGAUGAGUUUUGCCCGGGUAAAUACCUUUGAGACAAAAAACACCGUUGCAACUCUCGAUUCUUGCUACGCCUUUGGGAAACAAAGAUUUGAUGAGGAUUGGUUUCUCAUUGUCACUGUCACAUGUUCUGAUCAAGAAUUAGAAAAUUGCACAUGACUGAGACAAUCAAUAUAUAGAACCGGGUCACUCCUUUUUUAGAAUUCUAAAAACCUCAAAUUUAUAAGAUUAAAAAAACUAAUAUCCUUUUUCUUUUGGAUGAAUAAAAACAACAAUAUCCCUAAAUCUAUACUAUAGAUAAAGAAAGCAGACCGUUUUAGAUUAUAUUUGUUAUACUUUUUGAAGAAAAAAAAAAUUAUAUUUGUUAUAUUUUUAGUAUCAUUCAAAAAGAUAAGAAUUGAAAUUAUUUUUGUUAUAUUUUUUUAAAGAUAUUAUUUUUGUUAUUUUGUUGUUAUCAUUGAGAAAGAUAAGUAUAAUUUAUUAUAAUUAAAAAUGUACAAUAUCCAUUAUCAAUACCUAUAAUUUUAAUCAAAAUCAAAUUAAUAUCAAUCAAAAUUUCAUAGUAACUACUUUUCGUAAUUUAUAUCCACUAGCGAAAAGACAGACAUGUCUUUGUGCUCCUUUUAUUGUGUUAACGUGUGUAAAUUAUGAACCGUAUUUUAUAUGAAAUUUUGAUUUUGAUUAAAAUUAUAAAUAUAUUAUUGUGACUUUCAAAUUGUAACAAACUCUGAUCAUUUUUUAAAAUGCAGUUGAUAAAGGUCAAAAACUUAUUUGAAUCUCAUUUUGAGUUUGUUUACCAUUCUACAACAAAAGGAAUGACUCUGUUCUAUAUUUAAUUAUACAGUCAUUGAAAAGAAGAAAGAAAAAACAAAGUAGAGCAAAGCAUAUACAAUGAAUUUAGGAGAAGAUUCGGAUAUAGAGAUAUUAUUGCGGCUACCAGCAAAAUCAUUGAUGCGUAGCAAAUGUGUUCAAAGAUCAUGGAACAAUCUCAUUAAAACUCCCUAUUUUGUGACUAGAAGAAGCAAGUUGCAAAUUCAUGAAAAAAGUAAUCCAAUCCUUCGAAAAAAAGGUUCUAUUAUGUGACAGUAACAAUAAGAAACCAAUGCUUAUCAAAUCUUUGUUUGCUAAAUACCUAGCAAGAAUCAAAACGUAUGGUAGUUGCAACGGUUUUUUUUGUCUCAAAUGUAUUUACCCAGGCCAAACUCAUCAUGAUCAAUUGAUUAUGCGGAACCCAACAACUAAUGAGGUCCACUUUAUUCCCCGUGCUCCUUCACUCGGUAGCCAUUACAUUGAUGAAUCCUUGUAUAGUUUUGGUGCUGUUAAUGGCGACUUCAAAGUUGUCAAACUCAAUAUCUCUAAUAAUAUUGGGAAGACGAAAAUGCCUUACCUUUUAUCGGCACAAGUUUAUAAUCCAAUCACUAAAUCCUGGACAUACCCUCGAUUGUCCUCCUCUUACUAUGGUCACACCUCAACAACCUCCAAAGAUACAACACUCUUGUUAACGGUGUUUAUAAUUAAAUUACGAGCUCUGAUUGCUAUCAUGCUACAAACAUUCUCUGCUUUUGACUUCCGCAAUAACCAGUUUCGACAACUUGAAGUAUAUAGAAAAUGCUGAUGUAUAUAAAUCAAUUCAUAUGUGUUAUGAGUAACACAGAACCGAAGUGAUCUUAACAGAAACAAUACACAACUGCAAUUCUGCAAACUGAAAUAAACAUUCUAAUUGAAAACCUACCACAUGCACAAAUAGAAUAAAGUGUUGAAUACGCCACUAAAAUUUUCAUUGAGAUUUUGUCUGCGUCAUUGCCUUUGUGUGAAAUUGAUUGGGAAAAGCGAGCAUGAUGAUGAAGGUAACCACUAAACCAGCCAUACUACAAACUUAACAAAGCAAUCUCUGAAAAUCCAGAAUAUAACUAGAUGUUGAGGACUACUUGAGGUAUUGUUUUUUAAAAAAAAAAUGAAAAUUAUGAGGUACAUAGAAAUAUGUAUUUAAAUUUAUAGAUCAGUUACGAUGCAAGAAAAAAUGAUACGUUAUAAACAAUAAGCUCAAACAUGGAUCUCAAAAUCUUUAUAAAGCUUAUCAGAAAAUUAUCGUUACCAAACAACUCUAUCACCAUAAAAAAAUUAUAAAUGAUUAGAUAUCAGAUCAUUGAUCAAUAUGCAAAAAAGUCUUCAUUUAUUUCCCAACUUUACCUAGCUGCAUAACCUUACUACUUUAACACUAUCAAACCUCAGAUACAUGAACUGAGUUAGUUAAUUUCUGUUUUCUGUUAUAUGUCAUUCAAAUCAUACGAGGGACAACUUCCAUCAAAAGAAGAAAAAACUAUUCAUUUGUUUUAUACCACUUCCAUCAUCAAUACAUGAGAUAUUUACCAGUUACAAAAACAUCAAAGUAAAGCAAAAAAAUUCUCAAGGGACAACUUAAUAUGAAGAUAAACCGAAAUUAAAACUCAACAAGCAUCAAAAAGUAUAUAUAAGCAUAGAAAAUAAAAUUGCUGAUGCUAUACCCUAUUCUUCCUUUCUUCUUCACCUUCCUCAGUUGAUACUCUCAUCCAUCUUUGUUUGUCACAACACAAAUAGUACUUUAAAUUACUCAAAACUUAGCACACUCAUUCAUCCAUCAUCCUUCCUCAAUCUUUUUAAAACUAUUCAAAAUCCUAAAGCAACCUUUUACAAAAAAAAUAAUUAAGUCCUUUCUUAAGAAAUAUAUAAGUGACGAGGUGGACAAUCUUAAAGUAAUUGGUAUUAAAUUAGUUGCUGUUAGAAUCAAUACAGAAACCAUUCAAGACAGUGGAGUCUCUCACUACUAGGAUAGCUUUCUUCAUGAAAUUAUAUCUUAAGAAGACAAUAAUUAGUAAGAAUAGUAACAACUCUGUUCCAUUUAAACUGAGUAUUGUAGCAUUUUUCUUCUAUGUGAUGAUAACACCUCUUAACAGAAAACUCAAUAAUGAAAGAAAAAAGUUGAUUUAUUCCUUAAGAUUGAUCAAUGAUCAAAACUCUUUUGAAACAGUUCUUUCUAAAUAACACAAAUAAACCAACACCUCUGCUAAUUAACACCAUCAACUGUAAUAAUAUAUUGUAGGCAGCUACUUUGACAAUAGAGCUAUGCUUGGCACAUACUCAUAAAUCCAUAAAUUUGAAAUUGGCGAAGUGUGUUCCCUUGAUGAUCGUAUGACGUGAGCUUCUGCUGCUCAACAUUUCCUCCAAGGAUUUCAGCACCAUCAUUCCAAAUACCAUAAAAACGAAACAUUGACUGAGUUGUGUCAAAGUUAUACUUUUUGUCCCACCCAUUUUUUUUUUCCAUAAUCCAUAUUUCCAACCAAACCAUACUAGAAUUCCUAUACUCCACAACAUAACCAAGAGAGCCCUUUAUCUCAAUGAGGUCAUCACGGAAAUAUGAGAUAAACACGGCAGUAUCAGGUAAUUUUGGGGCUUCAAGUUGCUGAAAUUAAAAAGCCCAAUAUCUAUACAAAAAAAAAAAAAACAGAUAUAGUCCACUUGUUAGGGACACGCAUAUUAAAUGCAGAGGCCGGGGUUCGAACCCCGGACAUCUCAUUUCUCCACAUUUAAAAUUUAAACUCCGAUUUUCCACUUAUACACCUUAAAAUGUGGAAUUCUAGCUAAGAGUGUUGUGGAUUGGGUUCGUUCGAUUGCAGCAAUUUUUGGUGAGACAAUACAACUUUUUGUUUCGAACAUUAAGUCAAAAACAACUUAUUUUCAACAAUGUUUUAAAUUUCCAUCCAACAAUCUUUCCAUGAACAUAGACAGAAUUAAAAACAUAGGCUAAAAUGUUAACCUCUUUGUUGAGAAAUGCAAAAGAUUAAGAAUUUAUCAUUAUUUAAAAGUUCUAAAAAAAAUUCUCAUUAAGUUUCUAGUAUUCAAAAUAUAUAUAACAUAAACAUAUAUGCAAAAGUGCAAGUAGAAUUAAACUACACAUAAAUACAUUUUUUAAAUCAAAAGUAUAGAAUAAAUUUAACAAGAGAAAAAACAGGUCAUAAUAAAAAAAUAAGAGAAAAAACAUGUCAUUUUAUGAAAUUUUCCAUUGAAUUUUUAUGAGUACUAGGCUGGAUGAAAAAAGCUUAAUUAAUGUUUAUCUUAUGUUGUGGUUUGGCUUAGUUUGUCUCGAUUAGUAAAAUAAAAACCGCAAAGUGAACCGAACUAUAUAUGCGAUUGUGUAAAAAAAUAGUCUGAAUAUAUCCGAACCAAAUGCGGUUUUUACGGUUUUUGAUUUGGAUUGGUUUGGUUUAUGAUUUUUCUAUUUGGUUUUGUUCGAUUUUAAACACCUCUAAUUCUAAUAACCAUUAGACUAAUUGACUAAAAAGAUGAAUAUCCUUAAAUGAAAAAAAAAACAUUAUCCUUAAAAUCAAUUGACUUGAAUUUUAAUUUUUUUAGAUACACUCUUAAAACAUUCGGUUACAUUCCUUUCCAAAAAAAAUAAAUUCAAUUACACCCAAAGUUAUAUUAAAAUUUAGGGUUAAUGGUGUUUUACCCCCCUGUAAUAUAGGUCAUUUUUUGUUUUCCCCCUGUAAAAUAUUUUUUUUGAUUUACCCCCCUGUAAUUUUUUUUUUUUUUGGAAUACCCCCUAAUAGGUCAUAAAAAAACAAAAAAAUUCUGAAAAAAAAAUAAAGUCGUUUUUUUAUGACCUAUUAGGGGGGUAUUCUAAAAAAAUAAUAAUUUACAGGGGGUAAAUCAAAAAAAAAAUUUACAGGGGGAAAAACCAAAAAUGACCUAUAUUACAGGGGGUAAAGAAAAAUUUAUCAUCAUAAAAUAAAAAUAGUCUCUUCGUACCCAUAUUAACUUUUAAACACCUUGUUGAAAAAAACUUUCAAACACUGCUGCAUUUUUAUCUCCCAAUCUUACUCUUUCACCGGCCUCUCUCCUACGAACAUUCAUUGAAGGUGAGUAAAGUAUGUUGAAAGAUUAAAAUCUUUCAUUAAUAUUCUAUUCGUUUUACAUUUAUGGUGGCAGCAUCACCUUGUUUGUUUGGAGAUUGGCUGAUUUGUUUUUUACAUUGCUAAACUCUUGAUUUUGGUCGGUUUGUUGUAUCGUUUGUAACUUUGUUUUGCCUCUAUUUGCACUCCUUGUGUUAGGGAGAAAAACUUUUGGUUGUUAAUAUAUAUCUCAUUUUGCCUUGUACAAAAAACAAAAAUUCUAUUCGUUUUACCUAUAAAAAAAUAAGUAUCCUUUCGAUCGAUAUCACAUGUCCCCCCCCCCCCCCCCGUGCAUUUUACCGCAUAGCACUACAACUCCAUCCAUUAGGAUCGUUUAUACGAUCUUUAAAGAACUCCCAACUUUGUUGCCGGGUUUUACGGAGUCGGAUACAAUUAGGUUUCUCUAUAUAAAGGUGGUUAUGUGCCGCAACAUGGAUUCUCAUUUCACCACUUUUCCACUGACAUUCCUAUUAAGUCUACUCUAUAAUCUCAUUGAAGAACUUCUUACACCGUGAAAGAGAAUAUCUUUUCGAGUUGGAAAACUCCUUGUAUACCCUACAUUGAUUGAGUAUACUGCGAUCUAGUUUACACCAAAUCAUUAGCUUAGAAGAAGGGGAAUCAAAAGUAUCGAUUCCUUUGAAUAUUCACAAAUUUAUCAGGGUAAUAAUAUUUUGUUACUUUGCCGUUAAGCUCAACUCGUUCUCUUUCCAAUAGCGUUGUCAAAUGCGUAACUUAUUCCUGUCUGCAAGAUCGCACCAAUCAUGUUCCUUUGAUGGUUGAAGGUGACGCAAAAAAUGUAAUCUCUUCGAUCUAUGGAGAUCGUUGCGUCACCGUCCUUUCUCCAGUUUGUAGAAAUUACAGUGCCAUUGUUCUUCCUCUGGCUCCACAACGAGAGAUUCUUCCAAUCUCGGGGAUUCAAGAGAUUCUUUAAACUUUAGCCAUUCGUCCUCAACAAUUUCCAUCGCCUUUUCUCUACAAGAACGUGCAAAGCAAAAAUCACCAAGCAUAAUUCUUUCAGCACUCAGUAGCACAGUUAGACGUCCUUAAUGUGAUGGGUGUGCUCACAAACAUUGUCAACCUACUCCAACAAUAGAAUGCGUGUCUCACUCAAGUAGAAGAAAAUCAAUAUAAAAUUUCUGCUGCAAAUGUGACUUAAAUUAAGGUCGUUCAACGAAAUCAACAAACCGCCACUCCAAUGAAUGUGGUAGAAAAUGUUGCUUCUGAGAAAGAUGAAAAUCAGGAUCCAUGGCACAAAGUUCCUUUUUCUCCUCGUUGCGGAGGAUCUCCUUUGCACGAUUCAGACGGAGGCGUAAGCGGUCACACUCCUUCAUCCCGUGAGAGACCUAAAAAAUCCCCUCUUAUCAUUACAGUCCAAAAAAAGGAAACACUCCUAAAAUAUAUCGAAAGAUUCACCAGAGAAGUAUUUGAAGUUUGUGGAGUGAACGACAAGCUUAAAUGCUUUAUUUUCAAGAAUGGUCUAAGGUCAUAUUGCAUAUAUUAAGAAAAAUUGGGCUUGAAGGAGCCCAAAGAUAUGAAUGAGUUGCUGGUCAAAACUCAACCAUAUAUCAACUAUGAAGAGAAAUUGAUUGGCGAGGAAAUCCAGAAGAACAAACCCUCCAUCAAAGGAGGAAUCAACAAGCACUAUGAAGACAAAUAUAAGGAUAAUGGUAAGUUUCGAGGACUGUUCUCUGAGUAUUCCCCCGGAACAUAUCUAGGGACAUAGUUCUCCAAGAAUUCGCAAACACUAUAUUUAGGAAAGUCGAAGUGUGGAAUAUGCUGCUUAUGAUGUAUCCUAUAAGAAUCGACAAGUAGAAGUAAUAUCGUUUCUAUAAAUCACUCAGACGCGAUACAAACGAUUGUUUCAUACUAAAGGAUGCCAUUGGAGAACUAAUUAGUAAAUGUAAGUUCAGAAGGUUUACAAAGGAGAAAAACAGUGUAAAUGAUAAAAAGAAGUGUUUUAAGAAUUAUAUUUUGAAAUCCUUAAAGAUUUCAUUUCUGAUUUUGUGUCUUGGACAGAAAAAGAUUUGUGUUUUGGAUAAAAAAAGGCUUAUAUUUCAUGUCUGAUUUUGUGUCUUGCACAGAAAAGAAUUUGUGUUUUAUGAAUUAAUUUUUGAAUCGAUAAAAAAAAAGGGAAAUUCUUUGUAUGGUGGGUAUUUGUACCCAUGAUCUUUUAAGUCGGUUAAAAUGUUAGCCGGCGUCAUAAGAUUUUAUUUUUUUUUAAUUUUUUAAUUUUUUUUAGGAACGAGGUUUGCUCUGAUACCAGAGUUUUAGCAAAGUGCGGAAGACUUUUUCUAUAGACAAAUUUAAAUUCUUUUGUCUAGUUUUUCGAGUUGUAGAGACAACUUGAGCUUUCUAAUUUAUUUAUCUAUUUUUGUUCUGAGAUUUCAAAAUCUCUUUUGGGUGGUGUUACUCUAAGACUUUAAUUCCCGAUCAAUGGUUUUUCUGUUUCUUCGAAUAGAUAUUUCUCAGCUUCUAUCAAGGAAAAACUAUUUCUUGCUAAAUUUCUAAAUAUAGGUGACUUUAGGGUAACUAAAGGUGUAAAUAAUUCAUCAAGUUUUUAUAGGAACGAAAUACUUAGUAGUAUUGAACUUCAAUAUUCAUUGAUUACAAAUGAGAAACGAGGCUCUUAUUUAUAGUGAAAAAUGGCUCAAAAAUUGUUCACAUGUCCCUUUCUCGACAGCUAAUAAAGAUAAACACCUAAAGAAAAAGAUACACAAUAAUGUACAUAAUUAUCUCCUAAGUGGUCCCUAUCUGCAAUAUCAUAAUUAUCUUCUAGUUAUUAUGUUGUAGAAUAAUUACAGUGGUACCUUAUCAUAUCUGAGUAAGAUAGGGACCACUUAGGAGAUAAUUAUGUACAUUAUUGUGUGUCUUUUUCUUUAGGUGUUUAUUGUAACGCCCUAUUUCUAUUAAAGCAAUAAAACAUGCGAAUAAUAAAAUAUUCAAGAAAUAGACGCUACUUUCACGAAUCGAAAAUCCAAAGAUCGAAAACCAACAUGCAUGCAAUAAAAUCUCAUCAGUCGCAGCGGAUACAAAAUCAUAUAUAUCAAGCAUACAUGUCACAUGAUCUCAAAAAUGCAUAAGCAUAAAAAUCUCCAAGUCUGACACGUGGAAAAAAUCUCAAAGUGUAAAAUAAUCCAACAAAGAUCUAGAGCUAUCAAACAAAAUUCCUAGAUCAGAGCCUACUCUACUAUAAGACCCGAUAGUGGAGAAAGCUCCCAUUAUCCAUGCAUCACCGAUCAACUCACCGAGCAACCACUCCUGCAUAACGUCUACUCACCCAUACAGGCAAGUAGGCGGUUAAAACCACUAAGGGUGAGCAUUACAUCAACAUAAUCAUAUAACAGAUAAGCAGGAAUAAUCAAUUCAAAUAUCAUGUAAUGAAUUAAGAAUAGGUAAGUUUCCAAAAACAUACAUUCAUACCAACAACUAUCAUUAUCUAUAAUUUCGUCACCAAACAUAAACAAUAACCACCAAUGUACAUCCAUACAAUCCACAAAGAUCACAUCAUUCAAUAAAUUCACCAAUGUACAAGUUCAUCAAUCCAUGUAGUCAAUCAUGAUACAAUCAGUUAAUCAACCAUUCAAUCAAUCAAUUCAUCAAUGCAUGCAAUGUUCUAGACUCCUCUAGAGGCAUAUGGAUUCAAGUUCACCAACGUCUAGGUCGUUACCCAUGAUGCCAAAAUGAUACAUCAAUGUAAGAGUACACCUCCUCUUACACACUCUCCGAAGUAAAAUAAUGAUCUCUUUUACAACAACCAAAUGAAUGCAUGGACAUAGCAAAGACCCAACAAUGUAAUUACUCAACUUACAUACACCAACACAAUGUAAAAGUACACCUCCAAUUACAUUGCACAACUCCAACAACAAUUGCAUUAUCAAGUAAUUACGUCCACACAAAUCAACAUAGCACAUAUCAAUCAAGUGUCAUCACAACAACCACAAUAAUCAUCAAUAUCAUUUCAACAUCUUCAACAUUAUGUAAUCACAUCAUUACAAUAUUUCUCACAUACCAAGUAAGAAAACAUACAACAUCUCGUAAUUCAUUCAUACAUCUCCAUUUAGUCAUACAAAACUAAACAAGAAAGAUUCGUAAGGUGAUUGGCUUAAAAGGAUAUUUUCAUCAAUGUUCGUCUCUCUUGACAUUUUCCAAGAAUUCCCAUUUUCAAAACCCAAACCAAUUAAGACUCAAGGAAACCAAUCACAACCAUUUUCAAUAAUCAUAUAAUCAUUGUACUAUCUUAAUCUCAUUUUAUUUCCUUGAAGAUCCAAUUUUCGGAAAAUUCAACGUUCUUGGACAAUUUUCAAAGUUUGAUUCAAUUUCACAAAACAAGUCCAAAUCUCAUUCAAGGAGAUGUUCCAGUAGGAUUAAUUGUACAAACAGUGAUUAUACAAGUUAAAAGAAGUGUUUAAAGAAGUUAGGAUUGGCCCUAGGAAACCAAAAAUUCAAAGAACUGGAAAAUGAAUUGCUUGCUUAAGCGACCACUUGGUUCGCUUAAGCGAACGAGUUACAGAAGCUACAGAAAUGUACGCUUCCCAGCUCUCUUGCAGCUCGCUUAAGUGACCACCUGGUUCGCUUAAGCGAACGAGUUACAAAAGCUACAGAAAUGUACGCUUUCCCGCUCGCUCGCAGCUCGCUUAAGCGACCAAUACCCAAAAAACACUAUGAGUGUUCGCUUAGGAGCUCGCUUAAGCGACCAUGCAUAUUUUUCCAGAAAAAGUUACGGGUUCCAACCCAUUUUCACCAAAAACUCCUCAUUUUAAUCCCCUAAUGCCCAAAUGUGUUUCUAGAAAUUGUUUAUAGGUCACAUAACUCAUAAGAGUACUCAAAAACACAUUGAACAUGAAAAUCAACCUCACUUUUAGCCAAUUCACCAAACUCUUCAAAAUAUACUAAAACACCAACAACAAUUCAAAUUUUCAUCAUCAAUUCAUGAAUAUGUAUACCCAAGCAAUGAUUCAUCAACAACAACAUCAAUUAACAACAAUAACAUCAAUUGAACAUGAAUCAUAUCUCAAUUCAACAACAACUUAGGAAAAUUCACCAAUUGAGCAUAAUUUUCACAACUUCACAUUUUUACAUAAUGGAACAUGUAAUUUCACCAACAAUCAUACAAUUAUCAUCAAUUCAUGCAUACAAACAUAUCAUCACAGUUGGUGUAACGCCCCAAUUUUAUUUAAUUAUUAUUAGUCGAUUUAAAGUCUUUUAUAUAUAUAUAUAUAUAUAUAUAUAUAUAUAUAUAUGAUUUUAUAUAGUUAUGUUGAUUAUGUGGUGUGUUAUAUUUUAUUAAAUGAGUUAUUUUACUAUUUAAUAGAAUAAGUGGGAAUUAGUAAUUAUUGAAGUUUUGGGGGUUAUAUUUUAAUUAAAGGAAUUAAGAAGGAGUUAAGUGUUAUAAUUGAGGGAAGUUAAGAAUAGGGGGAAGUGGGGUAACUGUCAGUCAGAAAACAUUCUCACGUGGAAGCAGUUUUUGGGAGAAAAACCAAGAGAAAGCCAAGAGAAGAGCCAAGUGGGGAGAAUUCAGAUUUUUGUUAAGCAUUAUUCAUCAAUCUAAGGUAAGGGUGAGGCUAACUUGCAAUGAUUUUAGUUUAUAUAAUUCUGAUUCUGUUUAAUAAAGAUUAUGAAUAAAUUUGGAGAAUUGGGAAUUAGGGUUAAGGAGAGAAUUGAUGAUUAAAUGAUGAAAUUAGGGUGAAUUGAUGUAGAAAUGAUGAACAGACUUUAGAUAAUUCAUAUAUUGAUGUUUAGAAUCAGUUUUAAGGUUAGAACCAUGGAAUUGGGUGAAUUUUUGAGAAAAACUGUAACCUGGCCGUACUGUUAUUCAUCGCUCGCCUCCCGGGUGAUGAUCCUCGCCAUAGCGAGUGAUGAAGAUCAUAGCUCGCCUCGCGAGCAGGAGUUACUCGCCUCGCGAGUUGCACCUUGCAGCUCGCCAUGGCGAACAAGUUUACUCGCCGUGGCGAGUGUGACCAGAGAGCUUGUAAGAUUUUGCGUUUUUGAGCUGUGAGUUUAACUUUGGGUGUUUAUGAGGGCCUGAACAUGUACCUUAAUGAUUAGGCGAAGUUUUAGAUUGAGUUUGAACUCAGAAUAGAGUCAGAAUGGAUUCUAGAGUGUGUUACCCUAACUCGCCGUGGCGAGUAGAGGCUCUCGCCUCGCGAGCUAGUGCUUGACAGACUGCUUGGUUUAGGAUUUCAUGUGACUUUGUCGCACGAGAGGUUGUGAGCUGAACUUUGGGAUAGCAAUGAGAGAUGUAUAGGAUAUAAAUGAUGAACUGUGAAGCUGGUUAUGGCAAAUUGAGGUUAUUAAUGUGAUAAAAUUGUACAAGUAAUACUUGGUUUAUGUUAUAAUGCUAGACAUCGUUGGAUUGUAUAAGAUAUUGUUAUAUCAUGCUGACGUAUACUGUUGUUGUUGAUUGAUUAUGAUUGUUAAUGAUCGCUGGUUUAUAUUUAAUUGCAUUCAAUUAGAAUGUACAAUGUGUUGGUUCGAGUUGUCGUUUCUAAGUAACAGAGUCAUAGGUUGUUGAUGUUGACCAAGUUGGGGAGUGAGUGAGUUAUUAUGCACGAUCGUUGUCGUCACCUAUGUUGUUGUUGUCGUAGUUGAGUUGUAUGUUGAUAUACACAAGUGGAGUCCUUUCAUGAUUAGGGAACUGUUGAGGGCUCAUGCCCUGGAAUGCUUUGUCAUUCAACCGUUGAGGGCUCAUGCCCUGGAAUGUUAAUCAUUCAACCGUUGAGGGCUCAUGCCCUGGAAUGCUCGUCAUUCAACCGUUGAGGGCUUAUGCCCUGGAAUGUUAAUCAUUCAAUCUGUUGAGGGCUCAUGCCCUGGAAUGUUCAUCAUUCAAAUUGUUGGGGGCUGUUAUCAUGGUUUUUGGGUGCCAAGCCAUUAAUUGGACUUGAACCUUUUGACCGUUGAUAUCUCUCUUUUUUCUUGGGAAGGGAAAAAUUGAGAAAAAACCCUUAGAUUCUAAGUUCGGGGGUCGGCUUUACUACGGGAAGGUGUUAGGCACCCGGAGUAACUAUAGUCCUCUAUAGGAGCCGUUUUCCUAAGUUAAUUUCUACGCUUAUUUUUACUUACUUUUUGAAAAUGGGAGGUUUAUUUAGUUAAGAAUGGGGGAGAGAAGAAGUAGAAUUGAAGAAUGGGGGAGAGAAGAAGUAGAAUUGGAUUUUAUUUCGGCUUGGAUGAGUUUUGACUCAUUGCCUACGUACCCUUUUAAGGGAUCAAAACCGUUCGUAGUUCUUGGUGAUUUCUCUGUGAUUUUCUUGGUUUGAUCUAACUGACAAGAAAGAGAAAAAUUGAAUCUGUUUUGGUGAAGUGGCGUGUAAUCCAUGGCUUUGAUUCUGACUCAAUGCUUAUAUAGUUGACAUGUGUACACUUGAGCCAAUGAAAAUGUGACACCUGGAUUUGUAUGGAAAUGGCACGGCCUGGACCUGAAAAAUGAACUUUGGACUUUUCUGCAAAAAAUAAAACUUCAAGGACUAAACUGCAAUUUGACAAAAAAGACUGAAAUGAAAAUUAAAAAAAGGUGGACUGAACUGCAAUUUUGGAACUCUUUGAGGACAAAAAUGCAAAAAUAAUAAAAACACUAAAAAUUAAAAUAAAAUUGGUAAUUUGACCAAACGUAAAGCGAAACACAAAUAAAAUUGUCAAAACGGACUAAAACGAACCAAUGGCCUAAAUGAGGUACUUCAAAGUAACCUCCCCAUGCCAAAAUUUCGUGUGAAAUGACCAAAAUGCCCCUAGGGCUAAAAAUGACCUAAACAGAUUCAAAUUGACUUGACGCUGACUCAGACGCAAAUUUGAAAUGAAUUUUAACAAAGUUUACUGAUGAAAUGUUUAAAAAUAAUCUGAAAAGACUCAGAGACAGUCACAAGGAUGAAAAUGGGUCCCACUGCAGGAAAUGACCAAAAUACCCUUCUGUAUGACUUUUGCAAAUUUUGAAAUAAACUGUAGAAAAAGCAAUGUAAUGAUUCAGAGACACUUUUGAAUGACUUAUAAGACAAGUAAAGACAUUUUGAAAGGUUUUAUGCAAGAAAAACAUAGGUAAAAUUGUGAUUAAAAAUACUGCGAGGCAGAGACAAAUUGAACCGUGCAGUUGAAAUUUGAUAAUUGACAAAGUUUGAAAUGAAAUUGGGCCCGGUAUUUUUAGGUCCAAAAACAGGGUAUAACAGCUGCCCCUAUUUAAGUUUCUUUGUCUGGAGAGUCAAGAGACGGAGUCUUUGGCUUGACAGGACGAAGAUACUUGAAUAUUAGCAUUUGCACUGUGUUUGGACGUAAAAAUACGCCUACCCAUAUUCAAAUAAUAUGCAUGCCAUGCAUCAUUUGGAUUAUGGAUGCAAGACCUCAUGGGGAUUGGAAUUAACAAAAUAUGUCGUAUCCAUUGCGGGAUUGGUAGACAUUGACAAAGAUAGUGAAUAGCAGAGUAACGGGAAACUAGAAACAAGUUGGACAGGUACAAGCUGUUCUUGGAUUCGAACUAGCCACUUGACCGGGGAUGAAACAAACAGACAACUGCGGGUUGUUCUUAUGGAUUCGAACUGGUCACUUCACAGGGGAUAGAGGUUACUGGACAAACAUGAGUUGUUCUUAUGGAUUCGAACUGGUAACUCACUUGGGUAUAUUGGAAAGUGCGAGUUGUUCUUAUGGAUUUGAACUGGUGACCCGACUGGGAAAAAAAAGAAAAUUGGCAAGUACGAGUUGUUCUUACGGAUUCGAACUGGUGACUCGACUGAAAACAUGUAAAAAGACAGGUGCGAGCUUGUUCUUGGAUGCGAACUGGUUACUCCACCGACAGAAACAGAUAGCCAGGUACAAGCUGCUCUUGGAUUGAGCUAGGCACUCGACCGAUAACAUUGAAAAGUAAACGGGUACAAGUCGUUCUUGGAUGCGAACUAGUAACUUGACCAAACAGAAACACAUUCACUGGGGAUUGGUUUGUUGACAAAAUAUAGAUUGAGAUUGACUUGACGUCGAUUUGAAUUGAAAGGUAAAAAUUGACUGAUAUUAUUGGCUCACAAGGUUUUGACAGAGAACCUGACAUGAGUAUUGAAUUGAGACUGAUGUUGACAUUGGAAAUGCAAUAUGCAUGGAUGAUAUAACAAUUUCAUUAAAUGCAUGGGCACGUAAUAUGCAUGAUUAUGCAUGUAUGAAUGCUUGUAAUGCAUGACUGUUGGCAUUUUGUAGGCACGACUUCACGGGGAAGACAAGACAUCAGAGUAUUGGGCACGUAGUGGCUCGUGCUAUAUUACACAUUCUUGGAAAUCCUCUUUGGAGAUGACGUCGUUGGGAGACGUGUCGGAACCAUAGCUGAGGGCAGGUAGCUAUGCAUCUUGCUGGGGAUAGAAUCUUGGAAGACCCGACCGGGGAAAACGCCGUUGUGCUGGGCAUUUCAGCGCUGGGUAUGUUGUAAACAUUGCAUCUGUGGUCAAUGCUUUUGCAUGUUAUAUUCUCAUUUUCAUUCAUCAUUUUUUUCAUCCCAUUUUUGCCUGGAUCGCCCUUUCGGGUUUUCGAUCCACCGGGGAAAUAAGUUCUUUUCAAUGCCCCAUUUUUGCCUGAACUGCCCUUUCGGGUUGUCAAUCCAGCGGGGUGCUCAUUUUUGCCUAAGCCGCCCUUUCGGGUUUUCGACUUAGCGAGCCUUUUCAAUUUCAUGCAUUUUCAUUCUGUUUUUUCAUUCUUGCCAUUGACCACAGACUAUCCUGGAGGAGAACCUGCUUGUAGCAUAUAUUGAAAUAGACAUUCACAUACCCUCGCUCAUGCAUGUUUCAUUUGAUUGUACCCUGUUGCUCGGGUUUGCUUUUCAAAAAUAGACAAAAGGUUUUCAAUUUUCAAAAUGUUUGUUUCAAGCAUUGUCAUUAUCAAAAUAGAAAGAAAAUGUUUUUGUAUAUAGCUUUGAAAGUAAAAAGAAAACAGAGUUUCAAACAAAAGCACAGUCUCAAAUUGAUGUAUAAGAGUGGUGGUCAGCCGAAGGCAUGACUCCACGGAUUCACAAAGCUUGAAAAAUGGUAAUUUUAUUGGUUGGUGGUACAUUGAACACAGCAAUCAUUACAUUUCCUGGGAACUUCGAAUCCACAAGUACAGAAGCUUUUUGAUGAAGACGGUCAUUAACAGCUGCAGAUACCCCCCAAGGGGGACGGUGGUUAGCCAGAUAUAGUUACUUGCCUUUUGUUUCAAUCUCAUUUUUGCAUGAACCGCCCUUCCGGGUUUUCGGCUCAUCGAGACGCUCAUUCUUGCCUGAGUUGUUUACAAUCUCAGCGAGCUUUUCAUAUAUAUUUUUUUUGUCCCUUAUUUUUGCCUGGACCGCCCUUUCGGGUUUUCGAUCCACCGGGAAGCGCAUUUUUGCCUAGGCCGCCCUUUCGGGUUUUCGACCUACCACGCUGUUCUUUUCAUAUUUCUAGGCAAAGUAUUUCUUGACUAUAUCGGCAUUUACUGGAUUUGGAAGCUCUACACCAUCCAUGUGUGUAAGGAUUAAAGCACCACCGGAGAAGGCCUUCUUGACAACAUAAGGACCUUCAUAGUUAGGCGUCCACUUGCCCCUUGGGUCGGGUUGCUGGCUUAUCCUCCUUUUCAAUACAAGUUCCCCUACCUUGAAUUCUCGGGGAUGGACUUUCUUAUCAAAAGCAGUCUUCAUUCUUACUUGAUAUGACUGUCCACGAGCCAUGGCAUCCAUACGUUUUUCCUCAAUCAAAUUCAACUGAUCAUACCGGCUCUGGCACCAUUCAGCCUCUGAUGACUUUGCUUCCAUGAUCACACGGAGAGAUGGGAUCUCCACUUCCAAAGGAAGAACUGCUUCCAUACCAUAUACAAGAGAGAAAGGGGUUGCCCCGGUUGAACUGCGCACGGUAGUACGGUAUCCAUGCAGAGCAUAGGGUAACAUCUCAUGCCAGUCCUUGUAAGUGGUUACCAUCUUCUGGACAAUUCUCUUGAUAUUCUUGUUGGCGGCCUCAACUGCACCAUUCAUCUGAGGUCUAUAGGGAGAAGAGUUAUGGUGCUCAAUUUUGAAUUCUUCACAAAGAGCUUGCACCACAUUGUUGUUCAGGUUGGUACCAUUGUCAGUAAUAAUCUUGCUGGGAACACCAUAUCGACAGAUGAUGUUGUUCUUGAUGAACUUAGCUACCACUUGCUUGGUCACAUUGGUAUAAGAUGCUGCUUCAACCCACUUGGUGAAGUAGUCAAUUGCCACUAAGAUGAAACGAUGACCAUUUGAAGCCUUUGGUUCAAUUCUUCCAAUCAUGUCGAUACCCCACAUUGAGAACGACCAUGGGGAUGACAUAACGUUGAGAGCGUGCGGAGGCACAUGAAUCUUAUCAGCAUAGAUUUGACAUUUGUGGCAUUUCCUGGCGUAUUGGUAGCAAUCAUGCUCCAUGGCCAUCCAGUAGUAACCUGCCCGUAGCAACUUUCUUGACAUAGUAUGCCCUGUAGCAUGGGUCCCGAAGGUACCGUCAUGUACAUCAUGCAUUAACUGCUCUGCUUCGUGUUCAUCAACACAUCUUAGCAAUACCAUGUCAUAGUUCCUCUUGUACAGAAUAUCUCCAUCUAACAGGAAUCUACCGGCCAAUCUUCUCAGGGUCUUCUUAUCUUGUUUGGAAGCACCCGGCGGAUACUCACGGCUCAGCAAGAACUGCUUGAUGUCAUAGUACCAAGGUCUAUAGUCAACCCCAUUUUCACCAGCCUGAUCGAUCACAUCCCCAAUAGCAAACACAUGCGAAGGUCUUUCAAGGCGUUGCACUUUGAUUAAUGGCACAUCAUUCCAAUGGUUUACUCGAAACAUGGAAGAUAGAGUAGCAAGAGCAUCAGCCAUUUGGUUCUCAUCACGAGGAAUAUGGUGCAGCUCAACCUUUGUAAAAUAUGUCAGAAGACGUCUCGCAUAAUCACGAUAAGGAAUCAAAUUAGCAUGGUGUGUCUCCCAUUCACCCUUUAUCUGAUUGAUGACGAGCGCAGAAUCUCCAUAGAUGUCGAGGUGCUUGAUUCUCAUGUCAAUUGCUUCCUCGAUCCCGAAGAUGCAUGCUUCAUACUCAGCCAUGUUGUUGGUACAUUCGAACAGAAUUCGAGCGGUGAAAGGAAUGUGAUGCCCCUGCGGGGAUACAAUGACUGCCCCAAUUCCCUUACCAUAAGCAUUGACAGCACCAUCAAAGACUAAACCCCACUUGCUAUUGGGAUCUGGACCUUCAUUAAUCAACGGUUCUUCACAGUCUUUGGAUUUCAAAUACAUGAUCUCUUCAUCAGGGAAGUCGAAUUCAAUUGGUUGAUAGUCAUCAAGAGGUUGAUAAGCAAGGUGAUCGGCGAGAAUGCUACCUUUGAUUGCCUUUUGAGUUUUGAACACAAUAUCAUAUUCAGACAAAAGCAUCUGCCAGCGUGCAAUCUUUCCAGUAACAGCAGCUUUCUCAAAGAUAUACUUGAUCGGAUCCAUUCUGGAUAUCAACCAAGUUGUAUGAUUCACCAAAUAAUGACGCAGGCGUUUGGCAGCCCAAGCUAGAGCACAACAAGUCUUCUCAAGCAUUGUAUACCGAGUUUCACAAUCGGUGAACUUCUUGCUUAGAUAGUAGAUAGCGUGCUCUUUCUUUCCAGUUUCAUCUUGUUGACCAAGCACGCAUCCCAUGGAUUCAUCAAACACUGCCAAAUACAUAAUCAAAGGCCUUCCUUCCACGGGUGGGACAAGGAUAGGUGGUUCCAGCAGGUAAUUCUUGAUGCUAUCAAAAGCUUCUUGGCAUUCAUCAUUCCAUACAACAGGCUGGUUCUUUCUAAGUAGCUUGAAGAUCGGCCCGCAGGUUGCAGUCAUAUGAGAUAUGAAUCGGGAGAUGUAAUUCAAACGUCCCAAGAAACCUCUGACUUGCUUCUCUGUCUGUGGAGCUGGCAUUUCUCGGAUGGCCCGGACUUUAUCAGGAUCGACUUCAAUGCCCUUUUGGCUGACAAUGAAGCCUAAUAACUUUCCGGACCUGACACCGAAUGUACAUUUGUUGGGAUUCAAUCGCAGCUUGUAUUUUCUCAACCUUUCAAACAUCUUUGUUAAAUAUUCAACAUGCUGCUCCUCAUCUGCUGACUUCACAAUCAUGUCAUCCACAUAUACCUCAACUUCUUUGUGAAUCAUGUCAUGAAACAAAGUAGUCAUUCCCCUUUGGUAGGUAGCACCAGCAUUGAUUAGGCCGAACGGCAUCACUUUGUAGCAGAAGGUACCCCAUGGAGUGAUAAAAGAUGUCUUUUCUCUAUCUUCAGGAGACAUCUUGAUUUGAUUAUAACCGGAAAAACCGUCCAUGAAGGAGAACACCUUAGAUUGAGCAGUAUUAUCAACAAGCACAUCAAUAUGAGGUAAUGGAAAGUUGUCUUUCGGACUGGCUUUGUUCAAGUCCCUGAAGUCAACACACAUCCGGACCUUACCAUCCUUCUUUGGCACAGGCACAAUAUUGGCAACCCAUUCGGGAUACUCAACCGUCAUGAGGAAACCCGCAUCAAUCUGCUUUUGAACUUCAUUCUUGAUCUUGAGAGCCAUAUCAGGAUGGGUCCUUCUCAAUUUCUGCCUGACGGGAGGACAUUCAGGCUUGGUAGGGAUCCGAUGCUCCACAAUCAUAGGGUCUAGACCUGGCAUAUCUUCAUAGGACCAUGCAAAAAUAUCCGGAUAUUCCCGGAGGAGUCGGAUGAUCUUCUGUUUAACCCCUUCCUCUAGAGUAGCACCAAUCUUGAUUUCUCGCUUGUUUUCCUCGGUACCUAUGUUAAUAAGCUCAAUCUCUUCCUGAUGAGGUUGAAUGGCUUUCUUUUCUUGCUCAAGUAACCGAGUAAUCUCAUAUGGUAUGUCAUCACCUUCCUCAUCUUCGGCUUCAUACACAGGGAAUUCAAAACUUGGAGGAACCGUAGGACUACUGUGUUCAACGGGUUUAUUAUGGUUCAACCUGCAUAUAAUGAUUGGAUGAUUUUAGAAAAUGGUUUUUUUUUUUUUCAUGCAGAUUUUUGAAAUUAAUAAGAAAAUACAGACGUUUUGGUUUUUUCUGGCAUUACCAUUGUUUCCAAGGGAAAAAAAAGCACUAAAAAAAAGUAGUCGUGGAAGAAACGACAAAAUUUUAUUAAUCAACGGCAAUGCCGAAACAAACAUGCCCUUACAGAAAAUAUCACUCUCGCUUUGGGCAGAGCGAGAGGAUUGUUAUUUUGAAAACAAAGCAUUAAAGCAACAAGACACAUUACUUAGAAACAUGCAUGAUUGAAGGAAUGUCAAUGGCAUCCCAAUUUGUCGCAACGCCUCCUGGUGUAACAAAUACAGGCCUGAGACCAGAUCCAGUGGCUUCUUCAGAGAUAGCAUUAACAAACCCUGCACUGUGGAAGACUCCCGAGGAAACCCUUGAUGACGGGGAGAACCCGAGACCUUCUUUACGCUUGUUCUCACAGAGCUGUAUCACCUUGCCCCAACCGGCAGUCUGACCGUCCUGAAUAACCUUCUGAGCAUCUUUCAAUGAAGCCAUAGCAGUCCCAGCUUUCUUAGGCUCCGCACCUUCAAUGGUCAAUCCUUGGAAAGCAGUCCCUUCAGCAGACCCUGCUUCAAUACAAGAAAAGGAAGAUAGCUGGCUAACUAAGUAUGCCUCUUCACCAUGAAUGGUAACAAGCUUUCCAUUCCUUAUGAAUUUCAACUUCUGAUGUAAGGUAGAGGUUACCGCACCUGCAUCGUGUAUCCACGGUCUUCCCAGCAGGCAACUGUAGGAUGCAUUAAUGUCCAUCACUUGGAAAGUAACCAAGAAAUUCUCAGGGCCAAUGGUUAUCGGCAAGUCUAUCUCUCCCAGCACAUUCUUUCGAGAUCCAUCAAAAGCUUUGACCAAGAAAGUACUUCUCCUCAACGGGGUCCCACGGUAGCUCAACUGAUCUAGAGUCGUCUUGGGCAUUACAUUGAGAGAGGAACCGGUAUCCACCAACACAUUUGAUAUCAUGUCUGAUUUACAAUUUACCGAGAUGUGCAAAGCCAGAUUGUGACUCUUUCCCGCUUCCGGCAACUCUUCUUCACUAAACCAGAGGUUGUUGUAAGCAGUAAUAUUUCCCACUAUGCCACCGAAACGAUCUACCGUAACUUCGUGGUCAACAUAUGCCUGCUCCAGCACUUUCAACAAGGUAUUCCUGUGAGCCUCAGAGCUCAAGAGUAAUGACAAUACAGAUAUCUUCGAAGGAGUCUGCAGCAACUGAUCAACGAUCUUGUAGUCGCUCCUCUUUAUUAUCCUCAGAAUCUCAUCUAAAUUUGAAUCCUCUAUAGACUUGCCUGGCUGAUUCAUAUCUGUAGCAAUGGGUGAAACAACGGUUGGAGUUGCUUCUUCAACUUGUGGAGCGAUUGGCGUAGCUACCUUCUUCUGAAAUAACGGCGGACGGACUUUCCCGCUUCUUAGCGCUGCAGAAGUCCCUUCGGCAAUGUUGCUUACUGUGGCAAAGGAGGCUAGAGGCACCUCUACUCCAUUUUCUAUCAUAGUAGCAUUGUAUUUGUAUGGAACAGCCUUAUCCGAAACAUAAGGAAUUGGUCCUGGCAACCUUAUCACCAAAGGCUCAGCAUUCUUCUUCAAAGGUGUACUCUUGACAGGCGGAUCGUGAAAAACCGGCACAAUCACGCAAACAUCACUGACAGUCAGAAGAUUAUCAUUCAUCAAGCUUUGGAUGUCUUCUUGAACAGUAUAACAACCCAAAGGAUCACGGAGACAUCCCAGACACUUGGCAUGAUCAUGAUUGAACAGAGAAGCUUUGCACAGCUUGAUGUGUAGAGGUACCAGAGGAGUUGCGACGUUGCGGACAUCAAGUCUCGGAGCUUCUUCACACACCUCGAUCAUAUUCACAGCGGCAUGAUUUGGAAGAGGAUUGUCGAGGACGUGUGGGACAUUAUUCUCAAAAGUCAGCUUUCCCUGAUCAAUGAGCUUCUUCACGAUAUACUUCAAAGCAUAACACCCCUCGACAUCAUGACCUAAGGCACCUUGAUGAAAGUCACAUUUGAGAUCAGACCUGAACCUUGGAGGCAACGGGUCAGGUGGGGGCUUACCCUGUCUAGUUGUACAAUGCCCUCUCUGGAGUAGAGUUGGAAGAAGCUCUGCAUACAACAUUGGUAUAGGAGGAAAAGUAGGCCUAGCUUGCUGAUUUUGUUGUUGUUGUUGAACCGGCAACUGUUGUUUCAUCUGUUGGGCAAUUGCAUUGACGGGCACUUGAGGCUGGCCCGGUGGCAAAGGGUACUGAUGAUAAAACGGUGGGAAGAACGGAUGCUGAGAAUAUGGCAUAUAUGGGUAUGACGGAGGCAUUUGAGCUGCAUUGAUAGGAGCAACAGUAGCCAUUGAUUGACCGGCUCCAGCUGAUACCAUCCCCACUUCAGUUUCUUUCUUCUUGUGGUGUCCAUUACCAUACCUCUUCGAUGCACUCGUAGAAGAUUCAGCUUUCUCAAACACAAUGAUUCCAUCCCUGACUGCUUCCUCAAGACGGGUUCCCAUAGUGACCAUCUCCGAAAAGUUGUUCGGGGCAGCGAUGAUCAUCCUCUCAACGUAAUCUUUCUUCAACGUUUUUAAGAACGUCUGGGUCAUUUCUUCCUCAUCUAAAGCAGGAGUGAUACGGGCAGCCGCCCCUCUCCACCUUUGCGCAUAUUCACGGAAACUUUCCUCCUUCUUCUGAGAUAGGGACCUGAGAAACUCCCUAUUUGGCCUCAGUCGAGUGUUAAACCCAUAAUGGCUCUUGAAAGCGGUGGCUAACUCAUCAAAGGUGUGGAUGUCAUUCUUACUCAAACUAGUAUACCACUCUGCGGCAUCCUCCAUCAGACUAUCCUGAAAACAGUGGAUCAUAAGGGAAUCAUUGUCUUUGUAAUUGCCCAUCUUCCGGACGUAUUUGAUGAUGUGAUUUUGAGGACAAGUUAGCCCGUUGUACCGGUCGAAGUCCGGAAUCUUGAACUUUUUAGGAACAUCCACUUUUGACACUAAGCAAAGGUCUUGAGUUUUGACAGAGUCUGCACUCCCUCGAUUGGCCUGGAUUUCGUGACGGAGUUCUUUAGCAAGUUCCUCCAUCAUCUCUUCCAUAGUCUUGGUUACGGGGAUGCUUCUGUGCUGUGUGUUGAUGUUAAUACCUUGAGGCAGAGUGUGGACCAGAGGCUCAGUGACGGCUACUGUUGUUUGUGGCAAAGUAGCAAUGACGGAGGCGGCAUUUGUUGCCGGGAUCAAAACAUUGUUAGCAGUGCCCGAGGUACUUGCUGUAGCGACGGGAGUGAAGAACGGUGGAAGCCCAUACGGAAACCCCACUGGCAUAGUAAAGCGAUUGUCUGCAGAAGUGGUAGGGAGCACGCUUGUAGUUACUGGUGCAGCUGUGGUUGUAGGGAUAGCUGUAGCUGAUUGCUCUUGAGCAGCUAGUAGAGCAGUCAUGACGUCAUUAGCUUUAGCCAAUUCCUCCUUUAGAGAGGCUACCUCGGUGCGAAGCUGAGCGUUCUCUUCUUCCAUAGCCCUUUUCUUUCUUCUGUAUUCUCUGGUUCGAUCAAUUCUAUCUGGUUCGUAAACUCUCUGAGCACGAGCCACCUUUCACACUGCGGCAGAGGAACCAGGAGAUAGUGAGCACUUGGAAGCCUUUGUGACCAAUGCAUGAUGCAUAUGAUGCAUGAUAUGCAAAUGCGAAUGCAAAAGACUUAUUUUUUUAUCGAAGGAUUUUAAAACAAAUUAGAAAUCUUGCAAAUAAACAAAAUUACACAACAUUUUCAACAAGGUAAACAAAUAGAGCUCUCAAGCAUAGGAAGUAGUCGGAAGAUCAUCGGACUCGGAAUCUGAAUCACAGUAUCUGUCAAAGAAGUCUCGUCGUCCUCGGGCUCUCUUGGAAUCCCUCAUAAGCAGCUCGUCUUUCUCUUCUAGUUCCCUCCGGGCCUUAGCUAGCUCUUUCUUCAACAUCAGAUUCUCAUGAGUCUUCUGCUCAUCUCUACCAUCCAAAGUCAUGAUUAGAUUCUCGGCUUGAUUGUACCGAGCUUUCCACACUUGCUUCUCACGACUCUCCAUAGCUAGAUGCUCCUGAUACAUAUCCUGAGUCGCGGGGAGUAGAGGUAGAGGCAUAGAUGGAGUAGACGAAGACACGUAUCUCAUAGCUGGAUAAGGCAUACCAAUCUCCUCAGCUCGAUCUAUCACCCACUGAGUAUAAGCCUCAUGAGCGACACCGGAUCUCACACCUAGAUGCUUCACACUCUUCCUUCGGACCUUAGACCAAGCAUCCAUGAAAGCUUUCCUUUGUCCGGUAGGAGCAUUCGCGUAGAAGAAGAACUCUGGAGAUGUAGCAAGAUUAAUGGGCUUCGAUUUCAUAGGGAAACCGAACUGUCUCAUAGCAAGCUCGGGGUUGUAGUUGAUUCCUCCACGGGUACCAAGAAGAGGUACAUUGAGAAAGUCUCCACAACCCAUGAUGAUUUCCUUGGCUUGAGCGGCGGGAGUGAUCCAGACCACCUCAUUAGGAGUGAGAGCCAUAAUCCGCUGCGAGUAGGACCAGUUUUCCGAGUUAUCAUGGAAGGAACUCGGAAGGUGCGAAAUAAACCACCUAUACAGAAGAGAUGUGCAGCAAAGAAUAUACCCACGGCCCUUGAGAGUCCUGUCAUGAAUGGCGUGGUAGGUAUCUGCUAGCAAAGUAGGAACCGGGUUCUUGGAAUGAAAGAUCUCGAUAGCAUUCAUGUCCACAAAGUUGUCGAGGUUCGGAAAGAGGAUGAGCCCGUAGAUAAGCAAAGCAAGAAUAGCCUCGAGUGUAUCCUGACGAGUAGUACUGAGAUUAGCCUGAUCAAGAAGAUACUUUGAAGUGAACCCCCGGAUGUGAGACUUGGUAAUAAGAUGGUUGGAGACGUCGGAAGUCUUGAGGUAGAGAUCCUUAGCGAUAACCAGAGGAGUAAGAGAAGUCCCGGGACCGGUGAAAGGCGUCUUUUCGGCUAUAGGUAAACCCACUAGAUUGGAGUAAGCCUCGAGAGUAGGAACCAACUGGAAGUCCGGGAAAGUGAAGCAGCGGAAGCUCGGAUCAUAAAAUUGCACCAGAGUGUGCACUAGCUUCUCGUCCACAUCGGUUCGGAGCAAAGUAAGCAAUCCCCCAUACCGGAGUCGGAACCCUGUUUGACUCUUGACCUUGAGUGCCAACUCUCUCAAACUAACCAAAUCCACUUCCUUGAACUUGUAGCACUUAGUCUUCUUCAUACCUGUGAUUAUUUACAAAAAUUUCCAUUUGUUUAAACCCUUCGAUGAAUGCAUGAAAAAUGUUUAUGCAUGAAUGCAUGUAUGCAUGAUUGUGUUGUUUAAUUACAAUGUGGGUUGAGGUUCAAAGUAACGGGGCCACGGAUGGACACGGCGUCCGGUGAACUAAGGCUUUGGAUAGUAGUAACCAAGGUUCUAACACAGUUCCCAAACUGCAACCUCUCUCACAUAUAUCAUGGUAGUACAGGACGACACCCGUUCCAUGAUUAUUUGUGAGAAGGUCUAGUUUGAGUGUAGUAUCGCGUGACGACUAAAGUUUGAGACAACACUCAAUUUAGCCACCGCACUACGCCCUAAAAAGGCUUGGAUGGGUUUGGUAACUACGGUUCAUAGCUUCGUCGAACAAUUGAAAGUGAAGUGCCUAAGCAUGACAACACACGCCGACAAUAUCACCUUCAAAAUGCCUCAGCUAUGUGAGAUUGAUCGCAUAAUCCAAUACACGAGGCAACCCCCGGAUCGAAUUGUCGAUUAUAUCUCUACCUAAACAUAAGUUCACUCAGCCCGGGUAUAGGACUUUUGAUAUUCUCACCCCACACGUCAAAUGAAAAUAAACAAGUAUUCACAUAUGUAAGCAAUAAAAUAAAGCGUAAAUAUAAACUAAGGAAAACUAGGCGUGACCCGCUAAAAGAAAUCCCCAGUGAAGUCGCCAUUUCUGUUAUCAUGGUUUUUGGGUGCCAAGCCAUUAAUUGGACUUGAACCUUUUGACCGUUGAUAUCUCUCUUUUUUCUUGGGAAGGGAAAAAUUGAGAAAAAACCCUUAGAUUCUAAGUUCGGGGGUCGGCUUUACUACGGGAAGGUGUUAGGCACCCGGAGUAACUAUAGUCCUCUAUAGGAGCCGUUUUCCUAAGUUAAUUUCUACGCUUAUUUUUACUUACUUUUUGAAAAUGGGAGGUUUAUUUAGUUAAGAAUGGGGGAGAGAAGAAGUAGAAUUGGAUUUUAUUUCGGCUUGGAUGAGUUUUGACUCAUUGCCUACGUACCCUUUUAAGGGAUCAAAACCGUUCGUAGUUCUUGGUGAUUUCUCUGUGAUUUUCUUGGUUUGAUCUAACUGACAAGAAAGAGAAAAAUUGAAUCUGUUUUGGUGAAGUGGCGUGUAAUCCAUGGCUUUGAUUCUGACUCAAUGCUUAUAUAGUUGACAUGUGUACACUUGAGCCAAUGAAAAUGUGACACCUGGAUUUGUAUGGAAAUGGCACGGCCUGGACCUGAAAAAUGAACUUUGGACUUUUCUGCAAAAAAUAAAACUUCAAGGACUAAACUGCAAUUUGACAAAAAAGACUGAAAUGAAAAUUAAAAAAAGGUGGACUGAACUGCAAUUUUGGAACUCUUUGAGGACAAAAAUGCAAAAAUAAUAAAAACACUAAAAAUUAAAAUAAAAUUGGUAAUUUGACCAAACGUAAAGCGAAACACAAAUAAAAUUGUCAAAACGGACUAAAACGAACCAAUGGCCUAAAUGAGGUACUUCAAAGUAACCUCCCCAUGCCAAAAUUUCGUGUGAAAUGACCAAAAUGCCCCUAGGGCUAAAAAUGACCUAAACAGAUUCAAAUUGACUUGACGCUGACUCAGACGCAAAUUUGAAAUGAAUUUUAACAAAGUUUACUGAUGAAAUGUUUAAAAAUAAUCUGAAAAGACUCAGAGACAGUCACAAGGAUGAAAAUGGGUCCCACUGCAGGAAAUGACCAAAAUACCCUUCUGUAUGACUUUUGCAAAUUUUGAAAUAAACUGUAGAAAAAGCAAUGUAAUGAUUCAGAGACACUUUUGAAUGACUUAUAAGACAAGUAAAGACAUUUUGAAAGGUUUUAUGCAAGAAAAACAUAGGUAAAAUUGUGAUUAAAAAUACUGCGAGGCAGAGACAAAUUGAACCGUGCAGUUGAAAUUUGAUAAUUGACAAAGUUUGAAAUGAAAUUGGGCCCGGUAUUUUUAGGUCCAAAAACAGGGUAUAACAGGGGCUUAUGCCCCGGAAUGCUUAGUCAUUCAAUGAGUUGAAAAUAGUACCCCGUCGUUCGUUGUCGUUGAUGUAGUGGAUGAUGUUGUCGUUGUCGUUGAUGGUGAUAUUGUCGUUGUGGUAGGUUGUGUUGUGGUCGUUGUUGUUGAGGGAGAUAUUGUUGUUGUGGUCGAGUUGUUGUUGUCGUUGUUGGUUGAUUUAGUAAGAGUUAUUAAAGUCGAAGAAGUAUGAAUAUUAUUGUUGACUUAUAUGUUGCUUAUUACGUUAUUUAAUUAAGUUGAUGAUUUAUAUAUCUAUUAUUAUUGUUUGUGAAUCUCACCCCUUCUGCUUGGAAUUGUUGCCCUUCGUAUGGGUAACUUGCAGGUAUUGAAGUUUAUUAGAAGUGGUGGCUCAAAGUGUCUAGGGCUCUGAUACGUACGGGAUGGGAUUUUCUUAUUGUUUUUCAUUCCUAUGUAUCAAAUUUGAAUAUUGCUGACGUAGCCCUAUGGUUGUUGAAUUUAUGUUGAUAAGGCUUUAUGCCAAAGAUCUAAUUAUGGAGAUUUAAACUAUUGCUAUCGUUGUUUUGAUGCAAAUUUUCCCGCUGCAAAUUUAAUAAUGACUUGAAGGACGUUUAUUAAAUAGAUUUUAUAUUCUAUUUAAGAAAUUUUGAAAAUGUAGUGUGACAUGCCCGUUUGGGAAUUACUCUGAUGCAUGAAUUAUUAAUUAAUUGAUUUUUGGGAAACGGGGUGUUACAGUUGGAGCACGAAUUUAGCAACAAUUAUCCAAUUAUGAAAAAUUCAUACCACAUUUGAAAAAUUGCAAAAAUGAUGAUGAUAAUUAUGAUGAAGACUAACCCCCUUACCUUAGAUUAUGAUUAACCUCAACUUAGGCUCCACUUUAGCUCCUAAGCUCACUCCAAUUCUUGAUUCUACAAGUUUCUCCUUCUCUAACCCUUUUUCUCCUCUUCACCACUUUCUCUCUCUACCUCUCUCUAGAAUGAUCUUAUCAAAUGAAAUGAAUGAUAUUUUCUAAGACAAACUCAUAAGGUAUAUUCCUCUAAAUGGGCUUAACCUAGUUUCUAGUGGACUUAACUCAUUCUAACACAAUUCCAAAAUGUUACUACUAUUCUCAACGGUAAAAUUCUAUUAAUGAUCACUUAGCGGUAAAACACUAUUAACAGUCACUAAACGCUAAAAUACUAAUUACUACACUAAUAACUUAAUAAAACGAUACUUCUCGCUAACACUAAGAUUAAUCCUCCUCCAAAUUACUAAUUUACCCUCUGUAGUGAAAUGACCAAAAUACCUUUCUAAUACGAAAAUCUACCAAAAUGCACCCAAUGACAAUUAAUCACAUACGAGCACAUAUAAACACGUAAUAAAACAAUUAAAAUAAAUAUAGCGAAAAAUCGGGCUGUUACAUUUAUCUUUAUUAGCUGUCGAGAAAGGGACAUGUGAACAAUUUGUGAGCCCUUUUUCACUAUACUACUAAGUAUUUCGUUCCUAUAAAAACUUGUUUUUUUAUAGAAGUAGAUCUUGAGACAAGACUCUGGAGGAGCUAGAUCCUUGAGGUAAUACUCUGGAGGGAUCACCGAAAUCAAAUAAUAAUCAUUCGAAGAUUAUAUCUAGCUACAACAAAACCAAAAAUAUCAACAAAAUCUCAAAGAAGAUCAAAUCAGGUAUGAAUAUAUCUUUAUUAAAUUCAAAAUUUACUUUUCCGUAUCAUAGUAUUCACAUAAUAAACAUUAUAGAAUAUGACUGAGGUUUCAUACUUUGAAGGAACAUCUAGUUAUUAUGCUGAUGACAUAAUAGAUAAUAAGAUAGAAGAAGCAGAUUUAUCUUUAACUGCUGAAGAAAAUUUCAAAAGAAAGUUUAAUAAAUUAAAAGAAUUCUUCUCAAGAAAAAAUAUUUUGAAAUUUGGAAUAAUGAUAGGAGAAGAAGCAAUUUCAAUCGAAAAUACUCAAGGAAAUAUAGUCAUAUCUACCAUACAUAAAACUCAAAUUGAAAAAAGAAUUGAAACAUUUUCUGAAAAAGAAAAAAGCAAAAUUGGUUAUAUUCAUAUAUCAACUAUUCAAAUUUUAAUCAAAAGUACCUUUAUGAAAGGUAUUGAUUCACCUCUAAAAAUAGCCCUAUAAGACUCUAGGAUUUUAGACAAAAGACAAGCAACAAUUGCACAAGUAAAGUGUAAUUUAAAAUAUGGAAAAAUAAAAUUUGAUAUAAAUUUACAAAUGGGAUUAUCCCUAAAAGAUAAAGAUCUAGAUAGAUCUAUAGUUUUUCAUUAUAAGUUGGAAACUCGAAUUUUAUGAAAAAGGGUAAUCAUCCUUUUACAAUCUGUUAUAGAAUUAAUUAUGUUUUGAGUAAUUCACACCAUAAUAUAGAAUAUAUAGGAAAAAAUACAAUUCAUAUUGAUGAAUUAUUUACACCUUUAGUUACCCUAAAGUCACAUAUAUUUAGAAAUUUACCAAGAAAUAGCUUUUCCUUGAUAGAAGCUGAGAAAUAUCUAUUUGAAGAAACAGAAAAAUCAUUGAUCAUGAAUUAGAGCCUUAGAGUAACACCACCCAAAAGAGAUUUGGAAAUCUCAGAACAAAAAGAGAUAAAUAAAUUACAAAGCUCAAAUUGUCUCUACAACUCGAAAAACUAAACAAAAGAAUUUAAAUUUUUAUAUAGAAAAAGUCUUCCGCACUCUGCUAAAACUCUGGUAUCAGAGCAAACCUCGUUCCUAAAAAAAAAAAAAAAAAAAAAAAAAAAAUCUUAUGACGUCAGCUAACAUUUUAACCGACUUAAAAGGUCAUGGGUACAAAUACCCAUCAUAGUAAGAUGGGUACACAAGUUGUCACCAAAAAAUUAAGGGUUAAAUAUGUUUUUGAUAUUUAUAAAUAAUAAAAAUUUUAUUUUUAGUCUAUAUAAAAUAAAAUAGUAUUUUUUAAUCCUUGUAAAAAACUUCGUCAGCAUUUCUAGUAAAAAUACUAAAGGACAAUGUUACAUGAUUAAAAAUAUAAUUUUAUUUUGUAAGUACUAAAAACUAAAUAUUAAAUAAUUAUAGAGAAAAAAAAACAUAUUUAACAUAAGAAUUAAUUUUGAAAGCUUUUUAGUUAUAGAAGAUGGUGAAGAUCUCACCAACAAAAAAAGGGUGGUGAAGAUCUCAAUUUUUCAUCUAGGGUGUGUUAUCAUUGGAGUCCAUUGCAAAAUUAAUUGAUUGAUGUGAAUCUAUGCUGUAUAUAAAGAAAAUAACCUAAUUUAACUCUUUUGAGUUGAUUUUUUUUUUUUUAAAAAAAUACUUUUAAUUUUCAAUACAAAUAUCACAUGUAACAAAUAGAUAAGAAUAAAUUUAAAUAUUAAAAAAAUGUAACAAAGACGAUAUUAAUAUAUAUAUAUGGAGUUUGCUACAAUAGACCAACUCAUUUUCAUGAAGGUCUAUUUUAGCAACCAACACCUUUUCACUUGGACAUAAAAAGCCCUUGUUUUUUUUUUUGGGAAAACAAAAACUAAAGGGCACAAAUGUCAUUUUGAUUAAAAGCUCAAUUUUUUUAUUUUCUAUUUAUUUUUACGAGAAUCUUCUAGUCCACUAUCUUUCUUCCUCCAUUGUUUUUUUUUUACGUGACUUUCUUUCUUCUCUCACCAUAUGAAUCCAACAUUCAAUUAGGAUAUGAAGAAGAACCAUCAUAUGAAUCUACCAUAGAUUCUCUUCAUUGGAAACAAGAAAACUAAUCGAUUUCCAAUUUAUAUUACUCUCCCUUCAACGUAUCUUCCACAUAACAAUUCUGGAUGGGUCACAUAAUUCUUACUUUGUUAUGUUUAUAUGGUGUUUAUUCUUUGACCCUCAUCAUGAUACAUAAGCUGCAAGUUCCACUUAUGAUGAAAAACUUUGUGGAGAAUGAUGCAAAAAUGUCAAUAUUAUCACACAGGGGGUUGUUUACUUUGAAGAAAGUUAUGUAAAAAAAUCACAGAAGGAAGAAAGUGUAAAGAAAACAGAAGGAAGAAAGAGAAUGUGUCUAAAAAAUUCUCGUAAAAAUAAAUAGAAAAUAAAAGAAAAUUUAACCUUUUAAUUAAAAUGACAUUUGAGCCCUUUAAUUUUAGUUUUUCCAAAAAAAAAACAAGAAUUUUUUGUGUCCAAGUGAAAAGGUGUUGGUUGCUAAAAUACACCUUCAUGAAAUUGAAUGGAUCUAUUGUAGCAAACCCUAUAUAUAUAUAUAUAUAUAUAUAUAUAUAUAUAUAUAUAUAUAUAUAUAUAUAUAUAUAGGACAUUUCAAAUGAGAGGAGUUUUAAAAUGAGAGGAUGAGAGCAUGAAAUAGUGGCCAUUGAAUUAAAUAGAUGACUGUUAUUAAAUGUUAGCUUUAAGUGACUCACGUGACACUCUUUGCCAAAGAAUUAAACACUUUCUCUCACUUUGACUGUCUCUAUGCCUUCACCGUGAACGUUCCUUAUUCAUCUUCUUCCCUUCAUUCAACGUAAAUGCUUUCUCUUUCUGCCGAAACCAUUCUUCCUUGCUUCCUUGUCUUUUCUUCUUUGCGUCCUUGUCUCUUCCUUGUUCCUCCACUGUUUUUUCAAGCUGUUUAUUUCUUAUGUUCUUAAGUUAUCUUUUAUGUUCUUUCAAUCACUGAUUGUUCCUUGUUCCUUCUUUAUUUCUCUCACAUUUAUCUCUUACAGUUAUUUCUUAUGUUCUUAACUUUUUAAUUUGUUUUUGUUUAGAUAUGUUUCGGAGUUAAAAUGUUAAUUUAUGUUUAUGUGUUUUUAGGUUUUGAAGAAUUGCUUAGACGAAAGAUGGAGAUAGUUAGACAAGAUGAAUGGCAUAGAACAAACAUGGAUGAUGGAGAUAAUUAAACAAGUAGGAUGGCAUAGAAGGAACAUGGAAGAUGAAGAUAUUUAUGUGUUUAUGUUUCUGAUAUACUAGCAAUACUAUUUUUAAUUUGGUGUAUGGAUUAAGUCAUUGUGCUAUUAGUAAUCUUUUUUAUUUGGCGUAUGAAAUAUUUAAGCUAUUUGGUUGAUGCCACAAUUUAGGCUAUUUGACUAUUUUUGAGAACGCAGAAUUUUGAAGUAUCAGUAUGUAUACAAAAUUGUAUGUGCAGAACAGCAUGGAAUAAUUAAUUUAGUGAAUGCAGAAUUUAAGUUACCUAGUACCACUCCUAUUUCUUUUUUUUAAAAAAAAGUACCACUCCUAUUAUUAUGUUUGGAUUCCUCAAUAUAAGCAAGAAAGUAGUGCCAAAGUUAUGCUUGUGCGGUUGCGCUUGUGCCUACUUUUAUGCAGCUCAUAACAAAAUGCUUAUUUUUGUGCCAAAAUUAACUAGAAUACAUUACUCUAGUAACAAACUAGUGCUGAAAAAUUUUCAUGCCUGUUUUUGUGCCACAAUUAAAGUAGAAUAAAUUAUUCUGGUAUCUAAAAUGCCAUGUAAAUGCUUGGCCUCAUGAUCUCCAUAUAAGUUGACUGUGGCAUAAAAAUUUGUUUUCUAAACAUAAUAAUAGUAUUUAUAAACAGCGACAUGUGUAACUGCGGCAUACAAAAUUGCGGCAUUUGAAACUGUGGUCUGUAAAACAUCGGCAUUUGAAACUGCAGCAUGUGAAAAUUGCGGCAUACAAAACUGCAGCAUGUUUUUUUGAAACUGCGGCAUACAAGGCUUGCAAAGUAACAGAUACACAUGCCUGAAGGCAUAACCCCAAAAAUAAACUUGUCCUUGUAUUUCGCACAUACAAAAUUAUCAAAGUCUUGACUUAUAACAAAACUAUCAGUAAAGACUAAAUGCUUCAUUCAUCUUGUUUUUUGAAAUUCUGCAUUCACAAUUUUAAGUUACUGAUACAAAAAUAUGCCAGCAUGAUCACAAAUAUGAGCAUUCUUCCACAAAUUCUAUGUUAUUCAUCUGGUUUGUCUAACUUCCUUCCAAUAUUUGCUCCACUACAUGCAAGUAAUAAGCUUUUGUGACUUGAAUUCACUUUCCUUGCAGACCUUAGAAAAGGUCUCUUCAUAGGUGAAGCAAGUGGAUGUGUAUGGCUUUCAUGAAAUCGAGCUAUCUCAUACUUACCUUCCCCCACCCAUUUAAAAACAACAUUUGCAUUGCAUCAUUCUCUUGUUAAAGCCCUUCUUCUUUUAGCCUUGACAAUAGAUUCACUUUGCUCCUUAUCAUCCGUCUUAUUUGGCAAAUAACCCUCUUUCGAGCAAACAAAAUACUUCCAACGCUUCACGCCGUUUUUAUCUAUAGUCGAUGAUGAUGAACGCACACUAAAUCCGAUAGAGAGUGCGUAUUUUUCGUAAAUUUUUUUACCUUCUUGUAACGUAUCAAAUACUUGUCCAAUCUUAGGCUUUAAUUCAUCAUCACAAUUUGGCACACAUUCAUAUUCCUAAAAUUAACAAAAUAAAUAUCUUCAAUAAACAUAUUUUAUUAAGAAGCCAUCAACAAGAUAUAAUCAACAACAUAGGCUGCAGCAGGAAAAAAAGAAAAAAAAAGAACAAUAAGUCAUGAGAGAUUUAAGCCAUACUAAUUAUAAUAUACCUGAGGAAUUUGAAAAGAAGUUGAUGUAUCUUUGUCCAUGAAGAAUGAUGAACGUAACUCAAUAGAAGUGCAAGUUAAUCUCGUGAUUUUUUGGAACCCUAAUUUGUGAUGUCGCAGAAAAUGCGAUGAAGAAGGAACAAGGAACAAUCAGUGAUUGAAAGAACAUAAAAGAUAACUUAAGAACAUAAGAAAUAAACAGCUUGAAAAAACAGUGGAGGAACAAGGAAGAGACAAGGACGCAAAGAAGAAAAGACAAGGAAGCAAGGAAGAAUGGUUUCGGCAGAAAGAGAAAGCAUUUACGUUGAAUGAAGGGAAGAAGAUGAAUAAGGAACGUUCACGGUGAAGGCAUAGAGACAGUCAAAGUGAGAGAAAGUGUUUAAUUCUAUGGCAAAGAGUGUGACGUGAGUCACUUAAAGCUAACAUUUAAUAACAGCCAUCUAUUUAAUCCAAUGACCACUAUUUCAUGCUCUCAUGCUCUCAUUUUAAAACUCCUCUCAUUUGAAAUGCCUUAUAUAUAUAUAUAUAUAUAUAUAUGUCUGUUUAUGAAUAUAUUUAUAGUUACUUUUUCAUUAUUCUAAUCAUACCUUUAGAUAACUUUUUAUAUAAUAAAGAUUGUUAGUAUCAUUAAAAAAAAGAAUUUAGAUUAUAUUUUUUUGUUAUAUUGUUGCUGUCAUUGAAAUAGAAAAACAUGAUUUUUUUUUUUUUUUUUUGUGAUUGCCGGGGUUUGAACCUCGGACCUUGCAUAUUUUAUGCAUUGUCCAUACAGCUAAGCUCACGAGGACUGUUUGUUAUAACUUCAAAGCAACAAACAUUUAUAUUUUUAGUUUUAAUCAAAAUCAAAAUUUAAUAAAAAAAAUUGUGUUCAUAAUUUUUAAACUUUAGUGCAAUAAAAAGAGCGGAAAGACGAACACUCGAGUGCCCGUCUUUUCACUAGUGACAAUAAAGAAAAUGAAUAUUUUUAGAUUUAGGUGUGAACCUUUUUUUGUGAUCUUUUUAAUGAGAUUUUUUAUUUUUGUAAAAAAAAAAAGAGAUUUUUUCUUAUUCACCUUUUUUUUUUAUAAUUUUUUUUUUAAUGUUUUUAAGGUAGAAAGGGGUAAUAUUGGCAACAUAUUAGAAGAUUAAAUUGAAAGAAAGAUGGGAAAUAUAUAAUUUGAAAUUAAGUUUUUUUUUUUUUUUGGGUAAGGGUUAAUCAAGGUAAUUUUGAAAAGAAAAUAAAAAAUCAUUUACUCAGUGCUCCGAUCCAAACCCUCAUACUCAAAAACUUAAACCUUCUCUCCCAUCGCGCCUCGUUUUCGAUUUCCCGACCCCUAUCGCUGCAAAGGUACCUUCUCGUCUUCUCUUCUCGCUCUUCUCAAUUUUCAUUUCAAUUCAAGUUUAUUCAUUCUUCUUCAUCUUCCUUACACCGUGAUCUUUGUCUUGUUAAUUUUUGAAGGUUUUUUUAGGGUUUAGAUUGUAAAGAAAGAAGAAAGGAUGAGUGGAACAGAGAAAAGUGGUUCAGGAACAACAAAAACCCCAGCUGAUUUCCUCAAAUCCAUUCGUGGUAGACCUGUGGUUGUCAAGCUCAACUCCGGUGUUGACUAUCGAGGUCAGAUUUCUCUCUUUUCUAUCAUCAAUUUGUAAUUGUAUGGUUUUAGGUCACUUUGGAAUUUGUGGAUUUUGAAUUCAAGUUUAGGUUCACAUUCGUAGGUCACAGUAAUUUGGUUGAUACUUUAAUUUUGACACCGUAUUUUCUUAUUCAGAUAUCUUAGUUUGCAUUAUUUGAAGAUGGGUUGUGGUUGUAGUAAAUUAAGUUAGAAAUUUUAUCUUUUUAAUGUGAUUUUUUUUUUUUUAAAACUCGGUAUCUGGUCCAAGGACCGACUAAUCCAGGGACCAAUCCCACUGUCUAGGGGAAAUUAAAGCCAAAGCUAAGCUCUGUACGGACUAGCCCACAUAAUUUGGCAUCGUAGGAUUCAGACAAUAGAUUUUUAGAGGUGCACACUCUAAAGUUCCUAGCCUACACAAUCAGGCAACACCUUGUAAUUUUUUAUUGUGAAUGAUUAAAUGAUUUGUCCAUUCAAUUAGUAUUGAUGUGUAUGUUACACCUUUUGCUUUGGACAAAAGAAAAUUGGGUUCACUAAUCAGAAAAGGCUAUAAUGUUUGGUUUAAUGGAAAGAGAUGGAAUGUGGUGGAAAUAUUUUAAUUUCUGUCUAACUUAAGUUAAUAUGAGAUUGAACUCGACUUUUAUUUCAGAACUGUGUAGAAAUAGUUGAAGAUAUAUAUAUUUUCAAAACACCAUAUGUGAGUACAGUUGAGUAUCAAAGUGAGAAAACAGAGAAACAGUUGAUAAGAAAAAAAAAAGUGAGAAAACAGAGAAACAAUUGAUAAGAAAAAAAAAGUAAAAAAGAAGUACAUUGGGAGAAAUAAGCACGACACAGGAUUGUAUUGUCUCUAACUUAUGUAGCUUUUCGUUUAGUUAUUCAAUAUGAGCAGAAAUUGAAAUGGGAGGGAUUGUAGGGGAGGAAAGAAAAAGUUAGGUUUGAGUGGGGAGGGAUUGUAGGCAGAUUCUUAGGUUGGAUUGGGGAGAGUAUUAGGAUUCAGGGUCCCUCAAACACCUUGGAGCGGGUGACUCGUAUCACUUCAUCUAACACCAUUGGAUCUCCUAGACCCAAAGUGGUAGCUCUGGAAUAAUGCAUUGAUUGUUUCUUGGUUGUUCAUUAAGUUACCUCUGUUACUAGUUUGGUUCUAUCAGUUAUUUGUGUAGAUUGGUGCAUAUGUCAAUCUGUAUUUGUUAGAUUAUGCUUGUAUGGUUUUAGGUCAUUUUGGAAUUUGUGGAUUUUGAAUUCAAGUUUUGGUUCACAUUCCUAGGUGACAGUAAUUUGGUUGAUACUUUUCAUUUUGACACCGUAUUUUCUUAUCCAGAUAUCUCAGUUUACAAUUAUUUGAAGAUGGUUGGUUUGUGGUAGAAGUCAAUUCAAUUAAGUUAGAAAUUUAUCAUUUUAAUAUUUGAUGUGAAUGAUUUUUGUUUGUUUUUGUUUGGGAAAUUUGGUAUUCGGUCCAAGGACCUGGAAACCAAUCCCACCGUCCACUAUGGGUGUUCGAACCUCAGACCUUGAGAGGAGCACACUCCAAGGUCCCAAGCUUACACCAUUGGGCAAACCCCUGGGAGUUUUUAGUGUGAAUGAUUAAAUGAUUUGUCCAUUCAAUUACUGUUGAUGUGCAUGUUGCACUUUUUGCUUUGGACUAAAGAAACUUGGGUUCACUAAUCAGGUGUCUGUAAUGUUUGGUUAAAUGGAAGAGAUGGAAUGUGGUGGAAAGAAAUAUAAUGAUAUUAGAGUUUCUUAUUGUAAUUGUUUCAAAUUUGAAUCCUUGAAAAGGGAUAGAACUUGAUAGUAUUCAAUUUACUUUCUCUGUCUAAUUUGAAGUUAGGCUUAAUUGCAUGUUUGGUCCCGUAUGUUUAUCUUAGGUUUCAAGUUGGUCAUUUAUGUUUUAAAUUUUUUAAGUUAGUCCCUUAUGUUUUAAAAGUUUCAAAUUCGUCCAAAACGUUAAUCACGUUGAUAUAAGCUAGUCCCUUCUGCCCAAUAAUAUUGAGUUUAAUAAAAUAGAAAGAAUUAAAAAAUGUUUUAAAACUCAUUCUGUAAAUAAGAAAUUCCAACGCCUGUAUUCUCAACCAGAUCUCUAAAUGCCAAGUGAUAGAAAGGGUUAACUUACUCCAAUUUGAGUAACAUUUUUGACCAACUUGAAACUUUUAGAACUUAAGAUCAAGGUAGCCAAAAACGAGUGCUGGGUCGUAGGAUCGUCCGAUCCUAUGUGCCACGGCCACUCAAUCCUGCUCCGAUCUUGCUUGGGAUCGUUUUUGGUUGAUUUUGUGGGCAGAUCGAGUUUUUUUUUGUUGCCAAAAACGCAUAUAAAACGAGAUAUAAACAGAGAAGUAGAAAGAGAAAGAGAGAAAAGAUGAGGAAUGAAGAUGAAAUCAAGGAUUUUGGUUGCUGUUAAUGUCAGAUCUGAAAGAAGAAGACUGGAAGAUGAAGACUGUCAAGCUGUGCGGCUGGAAGAAGAAGAUUGUCAAACUAAGUUAAAGUUGUAGAAACUUAUCUGGACCCUAGGGGCUAAGGCCCAAUACUAAAUGUUUUCCUUUUAUAAAACACUUUACUCUUUUACUAACACACACCUGACUUUUAAAAAGAAAAAUAGUACUGAUACUCUUAUUCUCUAAACAAAAUAAAAUAAUAAAUAUGUUUUUGCUCCCUAUAAAUAUACCAACUUUUCGUUUUAGUCCCUCAAAAAUUUUCCUUUUUUAGCCAAAAACGAGUGCUGGGUCGUAGGAUCGUCCGAUCCUAUGUGCCACGGCCACUUAAUCCUGCUCCGAUCUUGCUUGGGAUCGUUUUUGGUUGAUUUUGUGGGCAGAUCGAGUUUUUUUUUGUUGCCAAAAACGCAUAUAAAACGAGAUAUAAACAGAGAAGUAGAAAGAGAAAGAGAGAAAAGAUGAGGAAUGAAGAUGAAAUCAAGGAUUUUGGUUGCUGUUAAUGUCAGAUCUGAAAGAAGAAGACUGGAAGAUGAAGACUGUCAAGCUGUGCGGCUGGAAGAAGAAGAUUGUCAAACUAAGUUAAAGUUGUAGAAACUUAUCUGGACCCUAGGGGCUAAGGCCCAAUACUAAAUGUUUUCCUUUUAUAAAACACUUUACUCUUUUACUAACACACACCUGACUUUUAAAAAGAAAAAUAGUACUGAUACUCUUAUUCUCUAAACAAAAUAAAAUAAUAAAUAUGUUUUUGCUCCCUAUAAAUAUACCAACUUUUCGUUUUAGUCCCUCAAAAAUUUUCCUUUUUUAGUCCCUAAAAAAUUUUCCGUCUACACUUUUGGUCCCUCUUUUAAAGUAAACUCAUAUUUAGAAUACAUAUUUCUGAAUAAAAUUUUGCAGAAAAUUUUAUAUGUUUGACGGUUAAAAAUUCAUAAUUAAUUUAUGUUUUGUUAAAAAAUUCUAAUUUUUUGGGGGAAUAUUUUUUACAAUAUUCUACACAUUUUUGCACAAUUUCAUUAAAAAAAUACAAAAAUUAACUUAAAAAUAGGGAUUAAAAGUAGUGAUUGAAAAUUUUAUAAGGACUAAAAGUUGAAGGAAAAUUUUAGAGGGACUAAAACGAAAAGUUGGUAUAUUUAUAGGGACCAAAAACAUAUUUAACCCUAAUAAUAAUGCACAUGACAUUAUUUUAUAAAUUAUAAAUAAUUAUACCUUGUCUUUUAUUCAAAAAUCACCUGACUACUAGUAGAUAAUGGUAUCAAAAAAUGAUAUAAUACUAUUAAUUAAAUUAGUUUAAUGUUGUAAUUUAUAAGUUAUUUUGUUUUUGUAUUAUAAUUUUUAUGUUUUUGUGUGUAUAUGUGAAGUUACAACUUUGCCCUUAAGUGGGUUCUUACGAACCGUGUUACGUUCCUUCACCAGCCAAACGAACCUACGUAGAAACUUGUUCCUAACUACAUUGCUUAAGAAACCAACUUAAAACUUUUAAAACAUAAGGGAUCAACAUGAAACCUAAAAUAAACACCAGGGACCAAACAUGCAAUUAAGCCUUGAAGUUAUUAUGAGAUCGAACACGUCUUUUAUUUUGGAACUGUGUAGACUGUGUAGAAAUAGUUGAAGAUAUAUUUUCAAAACUCCAUAUGUGAGAGCAGUUGAGAAGAAUUGAGUAUUAAAGUGAGGAAACAGAGAAACAGUUGAUAAGAGAAAAAUAGUUAUUCAAUAGGAGGAAUAAAGGAUUGUAUGGUUUCUAACUUAUGUAGCGAUUCGUUUAGUUAUUCAAUAGGAGGGAAAGAAGGGAUUGUUGAGGAGGAAAGAAAAAGUAGGUUUGACUGGAGACAGGAUCAGGGUCUCUCAAACACCUUGGAGGAUGACUCAUACCAUUUCAUCUUCUACCAUAGGAUCUCCUUGACCAGAGUAGUAUCACAUAUUGGUGUAGAUUAUGUUGUUAGCAGCGCUGCAAUCACAGAGCAGCAGAACGGAAAGGACCUCUGGUGCGACACUCAUAGCUUGCUAUCUCUGUUGUUGAUAAGCGACCAAUAGUAAAAAGUGAAUACACUAGGAGAAAUGGCACAUAGGAUUGUAUCAUCUCUAACUUCUAUAACUAAUUGUUUAGUUAUUGGACAAGAGUAGAAGUUGGAAUAGGAAGGAAAUGGGGUAUAGUGGAGAAGGAAAGAACAACUUAGGUUGGAUUGGGGAGAGCAUCAGGGUCUUUUGAACACCAUGGAGGAUCACUAAUAUCACUUAAUCUUCUACCAUUGGAUUUCCUUGGCCAGAGUGGUAGCUCUGGAACAAUGCAUCACUGUUUUUUGAUUGAUCACAUAUUGGUGUAGGCUGGUGCAUCCAUCUAUAUUUGUUAUGAUAACAUAUUGGUGUAGGUUGGUGCAUAUGUCCAUCUAUUUUUGUUACAUUAUGCUUAAAUGAUUAAAUGGUUUGUCUAUUCAAUUGGUAUUUAUGUACAUGUUGCACUUUUUGCUUUGGGCAAAAGAAACUUGGGUUCACUAACCAGCAAUGGCUAUAAUGUUUGGUUUAAUGGAAAGAGAUAGAAUAUGGUGGAAAAAAAAUGUUUUGAUUUUAGAUUCUCUUAUUUAAAAUGUUUCAAAUUUGAAUGGACGAACUUGAUGAUAGUAAACAGUUUACUUUUCUGUCUAAUUUGAAGUUGUUAUGAAAUCGAACUCGUAUUUUUUUAUUUUAUUUUGGAACCGUGCAGAAAUAGUUGAAGACAAUGUGUAUGAUAUAUUUUCAUAACUCCCCAUGCUGAGCAAUUGAAAAGAACUGAGUGUCAAAAUAGAGAACAGAGAAAAACAGUUGACAAAACAAAGAUAGUAAGAAGGUAGUAGUACACUAGGAGAAAUAAGCACAAUACAUAAGAUUGUAUCACCUCUAACUUAUGUAACUAAUCUUUUAGUUAUUGGUUAAGAGUAGAAGUUGAAAUACAAGGGAAAGGGUAGAUAGUCGAGGUUGAAAGAAACUUAGGUUGGAUUAGGGAGCAUCAGGGUCCCUCGAUCACCUUGGAGAGGGUGACUCGUAACACUUCAUCUAACACUAUUGGAUCUCCUUGACCAAGUGGUAAUUCUGGAAUAAUGCAUUGAUUGUUUCUUGGU